UUUUUUUUUUUUUUUUCUUUCCUCAGAUUAAGGAGCUCCUAGAGGUCUCCCUAUUUUAGGAGGUGGAUAAGGAGCAUGGUUGGAGUUGUAUUUUUCCAAUUCCUCCUUAAAAUUUGUCUAAAAAUGUGGUUUAAGAAGCCUAUUGUAGAUGCUCUAAGGGCCAUGUAUAAGACCCUCACUAUAGAACGACUCUAGAUAAGUGUUUCUUUAAAUUUUGCUAUGAUUAGACCGGCCCUAGAGUUUCAUGAAGCUUUUAGGCCCGUUGGUGCCCCAUAUACAAUCAAAAUUUGCACCCCAAUAUGUGAGGCUAUAAUUUGCACCCUCAAUAACAGGGGCUUAUUCAGACCCAAAAUUAAACAAGGGCUUACGAGUGAGCCCUUAAUACUCAUCUAAUCAAUGGAAAUGUUAUUAGUAGACGGCUAGAUUGAAUCCCUCACUACUAUAACUCCUCAUUAUAGAAGUUUGCCUCCACCUAUGAUCCAUAAAUUUGAUGAGACGCAGAUCAAAUAAAUUUUACAAUAUGAUCAAGGACACCUGCAAAAGCAUGCCUAGGGGUGGGCACCGAAUAUAGAAAGGGUUGAAUUUGUGGGUUUGAUUGAAGAACAUGAUAGCAUGAGUCACAUGGUGUGCUUGUUUAUUAUUAUGCGUACUUAUGAUUACAUUGAUAUCUUCCUUCUCCCGCAAACAACAAUUUGAGAUAAAUUAAUGCAUUAAACCUUAAUUAUCAAUCAUAAUUACCUCUCUAAAAUACCAUUUUGUUCAUGUCAUGCCUAUGGCAACAUUCACUUCUUGGUCAUAAUUUUUUUUUUCCAUCCCAAGCCUCUACAUAUAGCUAUCGUGCAUUUACUUGCAUUUUGCUACAUCCUAAUAAUCUAAUUGCUUAAAACAUGCCACAUCAUCAAGCUUGAGUUUUUUUUUUUAAACUCACGUUUUAUGCCUUCAAUUUUGAGCGUCUUGCCUAGUUUGAGUGUAUUUCUUCUGAUUGUUUAUCGUACGUCUUUCUCCUUUCUUUGUAAUUCAGCGAAUUAAUGUUGCCCAUUGUUGGGAGAGUUUCAUUUCCAAUAAGGCAAAACUAGUUUUUCUAUUCUUCUUUUCCUUUUUUCUUUGCACAUAUUUUUUUUCCUUCCUCUUUGAAAGAUACCAACACAAGGUUUUGCUUAUCAGUGGAGGAAGAAGAAGUUAGCUAAUCACUCUUUCUUCCCAAAAGGCGAAGGGAAAAAAAUAUGUGAACUGGAAGAAGAAAAAAAAAAUCUAAUUUUACUUGAUUGGUUGGGAAUUUAAUUUUUUUUGCAAACAUGGGAGUUUUUCCAUUACAUGACAAAGCAGUAACUCAACCCAGGUGAAGACGCUCAAGGCAUGAAGGCAGAAAAAAAAAUAAAAAAAUUUAGAGCAUUAAUGUUAGUUCAACGUCAAUUUAGAAAGAAAAAAGACUUAAAGCUUGAUGAUGUGGCAUCUCUUAAGCAUUUAGAUUAUUAAGAUGAUUUGGAUGUAAUGAAAUGUGGGUAAAUGCACAAUAACUAAAUGCAAAAGCGCUCGUCCUCUUAAUUAACUUCUCCCUAGUUUGCUGCUCUCUUGGUCCAUGAGCAUGCCUAAUGAAUAUGUCGCUGGCUCCAUAACUUUAAUUGAUUGCUUAAAAUUGAAAGGGACUUUGAAUUAAGCUUGACUUGUCCACAAGCAAAUCCAAAUAGUCUAUAAUUUAUAUUUAUCCCACUCAUUAUUAUAUAUAGCAAGUCAAUGUUCUCAAUCGAAUUUCACUUCCAACCUUUUAUUGGUUUCUCUCCAAAAUUCAAAGUUGGUGCUGAUUGCCUUCACCAUAUCCCUCACUGCAACUUCAACUGCAACAUCUCCAUCUUGGAAACUCGGAGCACGUUCAUGUGUUUGGUAGUUACCAUACCUUAUAUAUUCAGCUUCAUCAUGAUUAAGUGCCGCCGCCAUAGGUUAGUAAUUAUUCAAGUAUUUUUCUUUUUAUUUUUUUCAACAAAUUCAGCAUGACAUUCUGCUACUAUCAAUCUGGAAAUAGUAGCGUGUUUUUGGUUUUCAAGUUGGAAAUAGAUUUUUUUUUUUUUUUUGAACGCUUCAUGGUGCCAAUAUAUAACAGAAGGGGUAUAAAAUUGCUCAACUUUUCUUUGCUAAUAGCUUUAGAUUGAAACUUAACCUAUUUAAAUAGUUGAUACAGUGAAAUUUUCACUUGGUUUUUCCUCAUCCUAUAUCUAUAUCAUCAGGCCACGUCUUUACGUCGAUUUGUCCUAUUUUUUUUUUACUCUGAGUGAGAACCAAUCUAAGCAUAGUACUCUGCCAGCACAUAAAACCUACUUUCAAGUUGGUGCCAAAAAUAUAUGUAUGGAACUCUUGCUGAUUGAAGUAUACCAUAUACUUGCCUUCCACGCUUUGAAAAGAUUAAUGAUAUGCAUAACUGCAUUUGCCAAGCUUUGCAGCAAAGCAAUAUUCAUGUUGCUGAUAUAGGUCGGCUUAAUCACAUCAUUCUCUCUUCUUUAUUAGUUGGGAGAUUAAAGAAGUAGAACCAUUCUAUAUAGAUAGGCAGAAACUGUGAAAUAUAUUAUUGAAAAGAAUAAGAUAAAACUAUCGAUCGUAAUCUUCUAUGUAAUGUAAUAUUUCAAUCAGCUGACAGCCUGACAUAUACAAACAUUUCUACAAAUCGAUAUCCACCACCUGGUCGAGUUCUUUAAUUAGCAGCCUACAUGGCAUGCAAUAAUCAACGCUUCAACUUCAUUUCUUGCAGCAAACUCAGCUCCACAGUCCACCUGUUAAUCCAUCUUAGAAGAAGCUGACUAGAGUGUUGGUGGACUUAACUUACUACAUACUAGAACAGACAAGAAAGUUGAGGGCUUAAUUAAGUUACAAUCAUGAUGUCGUUUUAUUAUGUACAGGGAAUUUUUGAGUUCAACAACCUCCUCCACCUUCCCUUUUAUAUAUGGACUUAAAACCUAUGAUCAGUAUAUACUACUAAAAUAAUUAAUUUCAAGGUGUCACUUCCAUACUUCGAUUCGAUUAGACAACUACUGGUUGUCGUUUACUUGUAUCUGAAUGUCAUUAUAUAAACAUAUAGACAUUAUCAAUAGGGCAUAUAUAUAAUCUCAUGAGUAGCUAUUUCCCUUAUUAGAAGCAUCAUCCUGGCUGAGCUGUGAAGCUACAAACUUGUCAAGCAUUCGCCAAUCGGUCAGUUGAUCUACGGCUUGCUGAUGAUCAUCAUUACUGUUAUUACCAUAGACUGCUCCAUGAAAGUUUUGAUCUUGAUCCGACGGCUGAAAAGUGCAAGCGUGGUUUAUGUCAAUACUAUAUGCAUGAGCUGCCAUGGAGUUGGAGCUGCUUACACCUGUGGCUGAAGAUUGGAGUAGUUUUGGGCUCCCCAGAAGGGGGAGCUGGAAGAAGUGCUCAUGGGGAACCUGGAAAGCUGGCAAGUGAUCCAGCUCUUUCUUGCAAGGGUAAGGAAGGUGGUGGUAUGGUGCCAUAUUAAUGUUGGAGUUUGAGUUUUGGUUUGGUGAGUCCAAGUCCGGCAUGAAGGAGACUUGGUCAUCAUACCAACAUGGUGACUCAUGUUCACUCAUUUUAAUUCUCAUGCUUGCAAUUUUUUUCUUGAAAACCCUACACACAACCCAGCCUUCUUCCUGCUUCAAUUGCAAAAGAAAUCGAGUUUGAAUGCAGUGUAAUAAGAAGAAUCAAACUAUUUGUUCUAUCUCAACCGACACGCUCUAUGAUCAGUUGAAAUGGUACAAAUAAUAGCCUCUACAUAAUGCAAGAAAGUCGUACGUAAUAUCAGUGAAUUAAGUUCUUACCUGUGGAGUUCCAUUUUCAUCGGUUUCAAGACGGUAUUCGUGCAUAAUCCAAUCUGACUUUUGUCCAUUUGGGGCUCGCCCUUUAUAGAAUACUAAGGUCUUCCUCAUGCCAAUUAAGUCAUGCUUUGAGUAAAUGGCCUUGUCUCUACCUGUGGCUUUCCAGAAGCCUGCAGCGGUGGCUCUAUUUGUUCGAGUUCCAGUGGGAUACUUCUUGUCUUUGUGGCUAAAAAAGUACCAUUCGUUUUGCUCUUCUGUCCCUAUUCUGCAUAAUUCUGUAUGUCCAAAUUCAUGUAAGUCAUAUUAGUAUGCAUUCUUGUGAACUGACUCCGAUAUACUGGUUGUGAGAGUAUACAUACCUUGAAGAUCCCAUGGCUCAAUUUUAUAGAGGUCUACAUCUUUGAUAACAUCAAGGUCAAUCCUUCUUGAACUAACCUUUUUCCUGAGGUAGUAAUCAACAAGUUCUUCAUCCGUUGGAUGGAAUCGGAAACCAGGAGGAACAUGUGAAAAAGUAUUCAUAUUAUCCAGCUUAGCUUCUUGUUCUUCAGUCCUGAUUAUAUAUAGGAAUGCGUGUAAGGGUUCAAUCAAGUGGAAUUGUCUAACACAACUCUUCAUCAACAUAUAUAUAUGUAAUCACCUCCAUUAAUUUGAUUUUAGUUAAGUUCAACUCUAACCAAAUGUGAAUGUCUGCAUGUCAAACCUGUCUCUAGCUUCAAAGUUCAAUGUCAUACAAGGAAAGAACAUAUAUACGUUCAGACUAAUAUGCACAUUAUAUGAUUGAACUUUUCUUAUACACACCACAAUUAAAUCUUUGGCAUUCGUAAAAUUGGAAAAAGGUGAAGAAGAAAAACGUUUUGACAUUAUAUACUAAUCUGUACUUCAUAUUGCACUCAAAGGCCUUUAUGUAAUUGGAGAAGAAGCCUGUAAUAAAGUUCAAAACUUUCAUAUUGCAUGCACUACACAAAUUUAUUUUGCAUGAGUAAUUAAUGAAUGAUGACUGAUUCUUUUUGGUUAUAUAAACAAAAUGAGCUCUGAUGACUGAGAUUGUUUCAAGUUCCUGAAACUUAAUUAAUUUUUUUAAUUAAUUAAAAAACUAUUUGCCCUAAUUAAUGUGGGAAAAUAUCCAUUGUGAAGGUGAUAAUGAAAAGUAGUAUUUAAUCAUGAAUAUUCAAUGAGUUGAACGAACUCGUGAAGAAAAGGGGAUUCUUUUUGGGGAGUUCUAUACCACAGAACAAAUUUCACAAUACAUAACAUGUGGGAGAAAACUUUUCCUGGAUGAUGAUUAAUAUUAUUAUGCUUGUGAUAUGAUCAAUCUUUGUACGGUCUCACGAUGAUAUCAAAACCAGCAUAUGCCAUUCGAUUACUACCAUUAGUACAUGAAAAAUACAAAUUAAUGAUCUCCAAUUAUGAUCAGAUGCCACUUGUAUUCUUCUCAUAUGAUUUUUAAUCACUGGAAUUAUAGAACAUCAUUAAAAAGAAACCAAAAAGACAAGAGCUGAUCUUUUCCCUUAAAUUGUACGUUAGUGUUGGUAUCUUUGAUAGGUUUACAAGGUCAAUGAGAAGUCCAGAUUAUGUAUAAGGGAAAGUAAAAUCUUUUGAGAUGGUUGAUGAAGAACAAGCUCCUACGCUUAGCUAACCCACCCCUUAACUUCAAGAUCCAUAUAAUAUUGAAAAUAUAUAUAUCCCACAACAAGUAUUCAACCCAUGAACACAUCGAAGAGCAACGAAGCAGAAUUUCAUGAAGCGAUGAAUAUUCAAAAAGAGAGAGAGAGAGAGAGAGAGAGAGAGAGAGAGAGAGAGAGAGAGAGAGAGAGAGAGAGAGCUUACAGAUAAGCAACAAAAUCUCGAGCUUUGCAAUCCCACACAGAUCUGAUCGGUUAUAUUUCAGGCAAGCUAACUUCACUUGUUUGCUAUAUGAUGUGCUUCUCAAACCCUCACUACGCCAAAGUAUGAGACAAGGAAACAAAUUCAAACAGCAAGACAGAACAUGUAAACACAGUGACACAUAUAUAUAUAUAUAAGAAUAUGAGCACUGCAACCCUAGGGAGUUGAACACCAACUUGUUCUCCAGUCAAAACUGCUGUGUCGAGUUGUCGGGACUGGAUCCUAAGAAAUGAUGAAAGACAGGCCAAGACAGACGAAAAAGUUGAGGAAUGGAAGAAUAGAGGCCAAGUUGGUUUAAAUAAGAAGCUGCAAAACCCUAGAAGUUAUAAAAAAGGGGAAAAAAUGACGAAGCAAAAGUUAAGUAGCGUCUUGAGAAUGUCUUAAGCACUCGUUGUCUUGUCACUCAUUGUCGACAUAAGCUAGAUUGCUGGGAAAGAUUAUAGGCGGGAAAAAAGGGUGGCGCAAAAUUGGCUCAAGGAGAGGAAGCAAAGCUCUCUCUGUCUCUACUGCCACCUCUACCCGCAACUGAUAGUGAUAGAGACCCACCUAUUCAAAUAUUCAAUAUUUCUCUUUCUGAGCUAGCCAGGUCUCUCUCUGCCACAGACAAAGAGAAAUAGUCUAAGAGAGAGAGAGAGAGAUGAGGGAGAUGAAGAAGAAGAAGAAUAAAAAUAUCUGAGCUUUAUUGGUUGGGAUAUAUUGGUGACGUAAUGGAACAGCCAACAGCCAAAAAGUUUCUCAAAUGUGGCAUGGUGGCCCUAGCUUCAGCUUCAACUCUAUUCCUAGUCCCUACCCCCAUGGCCCCUUCCUUGUUCAACUCUCUUAACUGCAAGGGAUAUCAUAUAUGAUGAUGUACUGUGUUCCAUGUGAGUCUGUCCCAUGGUUUUCAUGGAUGUUCUAUCAAAUUCUCCCGGGGCAAAGACACGUGUAAUCCCGAUGGAUGAUCAGACAUUGUACUAGGGGAUCAUUGUGAAUUUGUGAUGGCAGUGUUUGUUUGCACACAACUUAAAUUUAUAAUUAGGUAAAUUUAAUAUGUGCAGUAAGUAACAUAAACAGGUGGGUUCAGUUGUAUUAAUAAUUAGUCCCCAUAAUUAAAGUAGAAAUGAAAUGGGUCUAAAUUCAGUUUGCAACAAUUAUGCACGAUUCAAGUGUUGUUGAAGAAAAUACCUCUCACACAAACCCAAUAACCAUUAUGUUUUUUGUGAUUAUUAUCCAACAUUAAGAACCCAACAAACAUACAUUUACAUUAUGCUUCUCUAUUAUUAACAUGUACUUGUUGGCUGCUGCUGAUCAACUUUGUUUAACCACAAGUUUAAGGAAUUGGUGGUUAAAUUAGCAAAAAUUACAGCCCUAAUCAUCCUAUAAGUAUAAAAUAUUAUUAAUAUUAUAUUUGAAUGCGCUCAACUCAGCAGCUUGCUCGUGACAAAUACGUUUCCAUUGUCAUCAUGAUACGCGGUUUUCAAAUAUAUCUACCUUCUUCUUCAUCAGCUGAGUCGACCGUUACGGAGCUCAAGCCCCCGUUCUAACGGCUAACGGGUUUCCACGCCCCAUCGUUUGAAAGGCCGCCACACGUGGCAUCGUCCUGGUGAUUAACGUUGUAUCUAUAGUCUUUAUUAUCCUUCGCUGCGAGUUAGUUAGCUUUGCACGAGUGGUUCGCGCGAAAAGUGUGGGCCCACUAACCGACGUUUAACAUCCCAAAAGUGACACUCCUCCAAAUUGGCUUCAUUGACCGAGAGGCUUGAGCCCAGCCGCGUCUCAGCCGAUCAGGGAGUGUUGAGGAAGAUUUGUUCGGAUCACUAAAGCACCGCAUGUAUGGUGUGGUGGUGGAAUGCGGGACCCACAAGAGAGGGAAUGAUGGCCCGGACGGCUUGCGAUGGAUCCGGCGUGGGCUAGCCACUAUCAUUGAGCUCGCAAGUUGAGGAAGGGAGGGAGGGAGAGAGGGGAGGUGUCUUUUGCUGGUUUGCGUCUGUGGGUCCCCCACCUGUGGUCCCUUGUUGGGCCCGCCAGAAUGUCCCAAAACAGGGCCGACUAGGCCCUACAAGUAGGUUUUAGGAAUGAGCCCACUUCUUCUCACUCGGACUCAGCAGUCAGUAUCCGCUUCCAUCGACAGGCAGCCCAAAAGCAUGGGAAAAUUAAGAUCAACAACGUGCGUCCAUUAGCUCUGGUCAGGUUAGCGUAUGAGAAAUUAUCGUAUGAUACUUUAAUAUAGUCACGAUAUAAUAUGGAUGGAGAGUAGGGUUGAUAAAUUCCCAUUUUAAGAAUAUAACUUCAAUAAAUAUUCACUUGAAUUAUAAUACGUAUGCCAAUUAUACCACAUAUACAAGUAAUGCGUGGACCUUGCUCUGGUAUCACAUUAUAAUUACUCAGGUGUAGCGACCAAGAAAUUAGUGUAUGAUUUUGGUCUUUACAAAAAAAAGAAAAGACAAUGUGUAGGUGUUUAAUUUUUGUAUGUAUAUAUGUAUUGUAGGUCCCAUAAUUUUCAUGAUGACGGAUAUGAAACAUCAUUGUUCCCGUCCGAACGUUUUGGGUGGGUGGACGGUAGGACUCCGUUGUUACAUUGACGUGUCGUCAUUUGGGUGGAUCGACUUCGCCGCAACCAAUAAGGAUGCGGCUUCCCUAAUACUCAUUGGGCCCCACCCAAAUGUCACUGUUUUUAAUCUAAUCAUGUAUAUGGUGUCCCUACUUCUACUCUCCUCUUCUAGGUCCACACCUCGUAAUCGUAUCAUCUACAGAUUUGGAGAAUGAUUUUUUUUUUCUUUUUCUUUAUCGUUUCUCUUGGGUCCAUGAGGUUGUUCUGUUUCCUAAACUAAUUUGUAAAGAUAAUAUUGCCAAAAGAACUCUUUUUUCUCUACAAAAAAAAAAAACAAAAAAAAGCCAUUCCAAUGUCAACUAAAUUAACUUUUUCAUUAAGUGUUUAAUCCUAUUUUGAAAAGGACCCGCUAGUAUGGUGGUUUGGAACAAUUGAUCUUUCAGGAAAAGUCCUUGGUUCGAGUCUUAGCGUCUGUAUAAUGUGUGUGAAUUUAAUAUAUUACCGGCCAUCUUAAUAGAAAAUAUAUGCAAAAAAAUCCUAUUUUAUUUGACUUUUCAAUGCAAGGAAAUGCCAUUUAAUUGUUUAAGACAAUAUCACAUCCAAAUUUCAUGUAAUUGAUGUGAGGUUACUUUCUCCGCAAAAAUGCACAUCAUAUUGGUAUUUGGUUGCAACGUGCGGUCCAUAUAUUUGGUCCGAUAUGCUGUGUCUCUGAAAGUUUACUAAAAUAUCUCUAAUCAACCCUAAUUAGAACGCAUUUUCAGGCCCAAAAAUCAGCAAGAUGAGGGCAGAAAGUUGUCAAGGUGACGCAUGGUUGACAAUUUGUGCGCACGAAGACACAAAAGUACUUGACAAUUAAGUGGUUUAUGAUUAUAAUAAUUGUGUUUUUAGUGUUUAGUUGUCACUUCAAAUAUAAAAAUGCAAUGCAAAAGUCUUACCUAAACUUGGAUAAUUACAAAACAGGAGAAUGAUUGCAUUGUUCGGUUUAUAUGUCACCUCGAAAAUUGUGAUAACUAUUAUUACCAUGAUCAUGGUGAAUAAGAUAUCAGAACAAAUAAAGCUGGAAAUAGUGAAACCCUAAAUAAUUAGGAGACGAUAAUCACUUCCAGUCCCUUUUACUAAUAUUCACAAUGACUAAUAACGACGUCACAAAUUUAAAAGGGGGUUUUCAUUUCGGGUGUCUUGAUCAGAUUUUAGGGGUGCACCGUGCACCAUACAAUCCCCUUUAAAUACAACAGUGGUUUUCAAUGAGUCGGGUGUGUUGAUCAGAUUUUAUGGUGCAUCAACAAUCUUCCUUAAAUCUUAAAAGGAUUUUGGGCCCCUCGAAGCCCCGUUUUUGGGUACUGAAAUUCUCUCAACUACACCGUAAUUUUGCAAGAAUAAAAAGUCUUUAUUUCCAAGUUAAAGAAUUUUCAAUACAAUAAUGAAAGAACCAAUUGAACAAUUGUUUUCAAACAAGUUGAUACAUGAUUGUACACCAAUGGCAGAAUGCAAUAUGUUAAAAUGAUCAGAGCCCAGCAGUAAAUGGCACGUUUGUAGCAGGCAACCAUGAGCUUCCAGCUAUGAAAUUACCCACAGUAAAUUUCGAUGCCUCUGACGAACUAGUUAUCACAUGGUAGCCACCCCAAUUAACCCGGCCGCUCGUAGAUGAACCCGGUCCAGUGUUCUUGUACUCUCCAUAGUACAAAGUCUUGAGGGCAAAAUUGCCAUCCCACUCAAGCCACCCAGCUGGGUCAACCAAAGUGUCCAGGUAACUUUGCAAAAAAACCGUGCGUGAAUACUCCUUCCACGGUCUACCCAAGUAUGUCUUGACCGAACUGAGGACCGGUUUGAGGUCUGACCCCGCCAUGACACGGGAGUCGUGGAUUGAAAUGCCCGUGUUUUGAUUCGGGUCGGUCCUGCCUUGUGCCGUGAUUGUGUUCUUUUGACCGUUCAUGGGCCUUCUUGCGUAGAUCAUGCAGUUUUGGAGGACGACAGCGGCGUUGCCAAAAAUGAAGUCAACGGUGCCGUACACGUAGCACUCUUUGUAGAAUUGUCGUUGAGAGUGGACGUAGAGGGUGUCUUGGUAGCCUUCGAAGCCACAACGGUAGAAAACUGAGAGGUCAGCUCCUGAUCGGAGGGCUACGGCUUGAUGGUUCUCUGGACCAGCUGUAUUGCGGAAUGUGAUGCCACGAGCAAUGAAGCCAUCUCCAGUUACCGCUGUAAAUAAUUAAUUACACAAUUAGAAACAAAUUCAUUAAUUAAAAUUAUGAAAUUUUAAUAAAGGGAACUAUUGUGUAGUAGUUAAACAUUACGUUGAUAUGUCAUCAACUCAUGAUUUAUUAUUUUCAAGUUAGGAUUAAUUUGUUGGAGACACAUUUUUCAUUUUCUUUGUUUUAGUUUUUCUCUUUUGAAAACCAACAAUUCUCCCUCACUUUUUCUCUGUCGAGACAUUUUCAAUAUAUAUGGCACACACAUUUUGACAUUUCAUACAGUGGAAGUGACUUGUGUGAGAGAGAGACUUACCAACAGUUGCAGAGUUGAAAGUUGUAGAACCUCCGACAACACUACGGCUACCGGUGAUGAUAGUAUACCUCAGACCAUCACCAAGCAGCAUAAUGUUCUUCAAUUUAAUCUCAAGGUUCUCCUUAUAAACCCCACGCUUCACAUGUAUCACAAACCUGUUGCUCCCACUCCUCUUCUCCGCCGCAGCCAACCCCUCUUUAAUCGUCUUGUAGUUCCCUGACCCGUCUUGGGCAACAACUACGUCCGCGGCCGGCGACGACUGGAGCAGUUUCCUGUCUCCGGGAGAAACCCAAGUAGGGAAACCCUCCUUGUACCUAUUUGUCACAGCCGGAACAUUUGAGCCAUUGCCAAUGGACAAAGUGUUACUUAUGAGCUUGGACACAUUGUUGGACAUAAGAGGCAGCACAAAGUCCGAGACCCCGAGCUCCACAAACCCCGCUCGGCACGUGUCGAGGUUGGUGAGAGCAGUGCUGAGCCAAGUCUGUGCGUCAUAGUCGGUGCAUUUGGUGGCAGGGUCUAUGGUCUGGUUGAGGAGCAUGAUGGUGUCUUGGUAGAGGCUCAAGCAAUCGGCCCAUGCAGCCUUUUCAAUCUUGUUUCUGCACUUGGGGCCUAGCCACUUGUUGUGGCUUUGGGCUUUGAGUGCCUGCUGCAUUGUGACUUGCACUGCAAGUUUCUUGAAAUCGGACAUGCGUGUCGGGACAGAGUAUUUUUGGGCGUGGGUCAAGGUGUAUUUGCAGGUUUCAGGGUAGGGGGUUUUGCUGCACCAAGAGUUGAUGCCAGUGUUGAGUAUGUUAGAUAGGGCUGGCGAGAAUAGUAAGGCGAAGGAGAAGCAUAGAAGGAAUGAAAUCAUUUUUGUCGCCAUGGAUAGGCUUCUUUUUGAUUGGCUUGUGGUUUUGGGACUGUGAGGGUUUUGUGUUAGUGAUCAGAAGUUUGCUUAUAUAGGGAAAAUUUUUGAGAGAUGAGAAAUGGGGUACGGUGGUGACAGCUGGUUUGGCUUAUAGUUUGACCAUGGAUGGAGGGGUGAUGGAGGCAGUAAGAUAAUUAUAAAAAAUGCAGAAUAAUUACAGAAAUUCUCAAUCGAUCCUUGUCUUAUCAUUCAUUAGAAUAUAUAUAUAUAUUAGUCUUUACGUACGUAGCCAAUGAUGAAAUGAUGUAAAGCAUGUACAUCAUAUAUUCCAUGUUUAUAUAUGUAAAAGGAGGUGGUGUACUGUCUUGAUCACAGAAGAACAUGUCGUAUAUAUAAUUAGAGAAUUGCGGGCUGUGUGAUAUUCUCUUCAACCAAGCACACAUAUUAUUAUAGAGACUGAAAAGAAAUUGGUAUUGGCUAGCUCAUGCCCUCUCUGUUCAAACUUGAAACAAAUUGAGUCAAACAUGAAUUAUGGAAUAAACUUAAAUGGCAAAUACUAAUUAAGCUCCUAAUUAUUGUUUUGCAUGUCAUUUCAUAACACCUGGGCAAAUUGGCAAUAACAAGCUGGAAGUCUCUGACUAUUUUUUUUAAAGCUGUUGACUUUGAACAUUAUUUUAAGCAGAUAAGAGAGCCAAUCCAGAACGCGUUACCCACACCUACCACUUUUCUUUAAUUUUUAUUUUUAUUUUAUUUUUUAUACAUUAGCUGGACAAAAUAAUUGUAUAGUUGGGUACCCUCACCAAGACACGGUUUUCCUCUUCAACAAACAAAUAUGCUUUGCUUGCUACAUUUUCUUAAUCUGUAUUUGAACAAUAUUAUUUAAAGUCUGCACGACCUUGACCGUCACUUAAUGCAUAUUAUAUAGUACGAAAAUAGAUAAGCCAUACCAGAGGCAGAGACAGAGGCAUGAAACCUACAAGAAAAAACUAAAAUCAAUACAAUACAAGUAGUCUAAAAUCCACCGGAUAGACAGAGGCAUGAAACCUUCCAUAAUCAUUAGAUUUAUAUGUAUUGAAUAACAUCAGUUGACAUAUGCAAGUCUUUGUUUACGAAUUUGGACAAAAUGGACAAUUCACCUUUUAUUGGACCACCACAAAGACUACGAGGGUGUCUUAUUUCGAAACACUUGGAAAACAUAUUCAAUUAGUUGAAAAUUUUAUAAUAAGUAUUUUAUGUUAGUGAUUGGUUACAUAUUUUUAAUUUCGACCGUUGAAUGCAAUUAAAUACACAUCUAAUAAUCUAACAACCGAAAUUAUAAUGGGAUAUUCAGGCCACUUGAUUCUACUUCUUCUUAGUGUUUACAAGUUUAUGAAUAAUUAUUGGGUGUAGUUAGUUGUUGACUAUGUCUGCUAGCGGUUUGGGUGGAGAAAAUUGCCCUUUGCUACAACCUCACCCUGCUUACAAAUUAAUUUAAUCGGUAUGAUUAUAAAUCAAGCUAUUUUUUCUUAAUUAACUAUCUUUUAUAGUCUACAAUUUCGGCAUGUAAAUAAACUAUGAAUGAAUAAAUAUAUUAAGGUUCACAUGAAUUCGGUGGCCAAACAUUCUGGCUUAAUUGUAUGAGCCAAUUAUGAGGUUGGUCUAAUACAUAGUUAUUAACAUGUAAUCCAAAUUAUAUAUGUAAAGUAAAGUGGAAAAUUAAGUUCCCUUCUGCUCCUAAAUUUUCCUUAACUACAUUAUUAAGAAAUAAUUAAUCAUAUUCAUUCCUUGUGAAAAUGUACCAUAUAUUGUCAGUAUAAUGUACACACACAAAAAUCCAACCCCAACAACAUCCACAAGACGUAAUAAAUAUUUUUUUUCUUUCUCCCAAAUAAACAAAUAAAAUACAAUCAAUUCACAAUCAUAACAUACAGGUCCUGAUCAUAACCCGGCCGUGUAUGGAACCCCGGUGGCUGGCAACCAGGACCGACCGGUGAUAAGGCUGCUGACGGUGAACUUUGACGCCACAUUUGCACUGGUGAUGACAUGAAAACCAGGCCACUUCACUCUGUACCUGGUAGACGAAGCAGGACCAAAAUUCUUAUACUCCGCAUAAUACAAAGUGCUAAGCGCAAAAUUACUUCUUUGCCACUCCAACCAGCCCACUGGGUUGACCAAGCUGUCCAGAUAACAUUUCAUGAAAACAACCCUAGAGUAUUGCAUCCAGGGACGGCCCAAGUAGGUUUUGAAAGCACUGACCACGGGCUUGAGAUCUGCAGCGGCCCGAACUUGAGAAUUAUGGAUUGAAAUUGCAGUGUUUUGAUAUGGGUCGUUUCGGGCUUGGGCUGUGAUAACAUUGACUUGGCCCUUCAGGGGCCUUCUCACAUAAAUAAUGCAACUUUGGAAAACCGCAGCUGCGUUGCCAAAGAUGAAGUCUAUGGUGCCAUAUAUGUAACAUUCUCUGUAGAAUUGGCGCUGAGAGUGCACCAUGAGGGUGUCUUGGUAGCCUUGGAAGGCACACCGGUAGAAGACCGAGAGGUCAGAGGCUGACCGGAGGGCCACGGCUUGGCCCUUUAGUGGGCCGGCCGUGUUGCUAAAUGUGAUGCCACGAGCAAUGAAGCCUGGACCGUCUAUGCCUAUAAUAAUCACACAUUUUGUAACCAGCCACAAAAGAAAACGUUAAUUACUCAAGUUUUGGAAAUUAAAUCAAAUUAGGGAGACAAUUAGAGAUGGAGAGAACUUAUAUAUAUGUACCAGCAGUUGCGGAAUUAUAGGUUGUGGAACCUCCAUUGACACUUCGGCUAGCUGUGAUUAUGGUAUAUCUCAUGCUAGCACCAAUCAGCAUGAUGUUAUUAUUAGUGUUGCUAACUUCAAUGUUCUCUCUAUAAACACCUUUCUUCACAUGGAUAAUAAACCUACUAGUUAUUUUCCUCUUAGCCGCUGCAUCUAUGGCCGCUUGAACAGUCCGAAAAUGCCCCGAUCCAUCUUUGGCAACCACAAGAUUUGCCUUGAUUUUUGAAGCUUGCAACAGCCUCCGCUCGUGCUUCGAAACCCAAUUCGGAUACUCUUCAUCUGCGUAAUUUUCUUCCGUGCCUAAAAGUUGUGAACCAAUUGCCAAACCGUUGCUAAUUAGCUCGGACACAUUGUUGUUGGAGGUGUAUAUAGGGGCUAUGAAAUCCGAAACGUUCAGCUCCAUAGACCCAACUUGGCACGUGUGAAUGUUGGUGAGGGCAGCGCUAAGCCAAGUCUGUGCAUCAAAGUUGGAGCAAUUGCGUUUGGUGCCUAAGCCUUCAAGGGUAAUGUUGAGCUGGUGGACGGUGUCCUCGAAAAGUUUUAAGCAAUCGGCCCAUGCGGCUUUUUGUUGAUUGUUUUGACAGUUUUGGCCAAAUUGGGAGGCGUAUGAUUUUGCAUUGAGAGCCCUCUCCAAGGCCACUUGCACCAUCAUUUUUCGAAAUUCGGAGGUGUGUUUCGGCACGAGACGGUGGCGGCUAUGUGACAUGCAGUAGUUGCAUGGCUCGGGGUGGGGGGUUUUCUGGCACCACGUACGUAUACGGCUAGAGUGGUGAUGGCUUCUUGAGAGAGCUGUUUGGAAGAUGAAAGAGAAAAUGAGUAUGGAGAGAAGUAGGCUUGGUUUCGUGGCCAUGUUUGAUGAGCUUUGAAAUGAAUGUGUUUUGGGUUUUGAGGGUCAUAUCUUGAGGCCAGGGAUUAUUUCUCUUUUAUGUGGGUAGGAGAAGGAAGAUGUGGGGGGGUAGAUAGAUAGGCUGGCUUGUUUGACAUAUAAAAGAUGGCAGGCAAGAUGUGUGUAAAUGCAUGAUGAGUAAGAUUGCAACACAAGAUAUACCAUGUUGGCUUUACGUAGAAUUGUGUGCAAAUGAUAAUAUUAUAAUUUCUUUUAAAUACUUCACGGAUGAUGCAACAUGCAUGUUAACUACAUAUUUCGGAUCUUAGUAUUGAGAGCUAAGGACGAUAUUGAAUUAUUGAGCUGCGUAAGUCUUACUGUUAUUUUCCUUAUUGUUUUGUUAUCAUAGAAUCCUCGUUUAAUAGUAUUUCGCUUUUCAAUGUUGAAAUGAUUCUCAACACCCGACCCAAAUGAAUAGCCGAACAACAUAUAUUAUGUAGUGCGAUACAUUUGUGUGGACCAAAAACAUACUCACUCUCUUUGUUGUGCUUGUGGUAAUUAAAAAGAAAUCGGCAGUCAUGAUUGCUUGAAUUUCUCAACAACUUAUUAACGGUUUCGGACCAAGAAAAUCAAAUGUAGGUAUAUAUGAUUGUGAGAUGAGAUAUAUGCAUAUGCCUCUCUGUCGACAUGUAAUUGGUCAAUCCCUGUGACUUUAUACAGGCGGCAUUUAAUUAAGGAAGUGCCUAAUUGAAAAACAUAUAACAUGCUCCGUACUGCAUGUUACAAUGCAGUACGAAAAUUAAUAUAAGAAUGGGAAUUUGAUCAUGUACGUUGAAAGUAAGAGUUUCUUGAACGAAAUGAGUGAUGUCCUUAUAUUACUAGGCACUCAACGUCCAAUAUCCUGCCCUAAAGUUUAGGGUUACCCCAUGUGCCACUUGAUUAGUUUGUAAACUAAGCAAAACCAUCUCCUCCUCAUGCUUCAAAUUCAACGAUGAAUUAAGUAGAAGGAGGCUUAGCCUUAAGACUAAUUCAACUUGAGGAGAUUGAACAGCUAUAUUCUAUUGGAUGAAAUACACAAGAUUGGCUUGGGUUGGUGCCAAACAAAACAAAAGAGGUGCGUGUUUCUAGGCCCAAUUUCAACUAACUAAUGGAAAAGUUGGCCCAUGCUCAUGAGGACAGAAAAUAAAUUGGGCAGCAGAACCCACACCAAACUCAUGUCGCAUGUUGAUUUCGAACGGCACACAAAUUUCAAGUUUUCAACUCCAUCCAUACCACAACAGAUGAAAAGAGUCUACCUAAAACAAUCACAUUCUAUUUUAUCCUAAUAGGUCCUCCUCCAUCCACCAGCCUUUGCACAAGUCUGGUUUUUCCUACAAGUAGAACAACUUGAGCCUUAUUCAAAGUUCCCACUCUCAUAUUUGCAAACACCAAGCCUUCAAUUAAAAGUUAAAACAAAAGAAAGCUGGUAUGAUUGUAAAUCAAAAGUGUCCAAUUGAAACGGGGUUGGGGUUGGCAUGUUCUCAAAUUCAAAUUCAAAUCCAUGAAGGAGAAACAAAACACAAGCCUACAAACAAACCACUCUUGACUGGGUAAGUAAAGCUAAGCCAAAGACAGCAGCUCAGCAUCAGCAAUUCAACUAAGAAACAUCUGCUUCAUUCAUUUCAUGCAACCUGCAAGAAUAAUAUAUAAGGAAGUUGGAACAACAACAAUGCUUCAUAUUUGAUAAUUUGUCAAAACCAACACACACAACACAGAGAGACGAGACCGAAACAAAAUACAAUUAGUUUCUUCUCAAUGAGCAUUCUUCUUUGCCUUAAAAUUCAAACCCACAAAACAAAAACCAGAAUCAGCUUUUUUACUUCUUAAUCAAUAUGAUAAGAAGAUGUAUUCUACUCCAAUAAUAGUUGGGUUGGCAAGGUAAAAAUCUUUGUUGUUUAAGCUGCCCCCUAAUGUAGAAAAAUAUCAUACGAAAACUACUAAGACGGAACAAAAAUAAAGGAUUUAUACUAACUAGAGUACAAAUGAUACUGAAACAAGCAAACACACCAUACUAUAUCAGAUAACAUUUGUUUUCAUCAAGGCCAUUUGUUCAGACUAAAUUUUCAUUGUUUAUUUACACAAUCCCCUUUUAUUUCAUCCUAAUAUGUCCUCCAUCCACCACCCUUGCAGAACAAGGCAACUCUGUUUUUUCCUACAGGAUGAAGAACUUGAGCCUUACUCAAAGUUCCCACUCUCUCUUAUUUGCCACCUUCUUCUGUGCUCACAUCACAUAAAUUGGGAAUGUUUUCAUCAUCAAUGGCCUUCAAUUAAACGAAAAGAACGCUUGUAUGAUCGAAAUUCAGAAGUCUACAAUGGACAAGGGGUUUGUUGUCAUGUUCUCAAAUUCAAAUACAUGAAGGCACGGACAUUUGAAACAUCAGAAGAAUAUCACAAUGUUUUUACCAUCCAUCAGCAAUUCAACUUGCAAAAAUAUGCUUCAUGCAAGAUUGAUGACAGGAACAACAACAAUACUUCAUAUUUGAUCCUUUUGGCAUUUUAAGUCAAUACAACAAACACAAAACAUACACAUGUGACAGAAACAAAACAAACAGAAGGACAGACAACAAUAUAACUGGUCCAUCCCCAUUACCAGAGUUUAGGCAUCAAAAUCCAAAUUAAGCAUCAAAAUCAAAUUACCCGAGUUUAGGUACCGAAAACAGAGUUUCAUUGUAUGGAAUCACGUCGUACACUGGUCCAUCCCCAUCAUUAACGUUAAAUGGGGUACUGCAAACCGGCUCCGCUUCUCUGCGGCAUUCAAUCCUUACCAACCUGUCCCUAAACCUCAACCUGAAUAUAACUGUACCACCUUCGGUAACGAAAAUGGCUUCAUAACCGCACAAAUUCCCACCCACCGAUUCAAAUACAUGAUCCGUGUUAAAUUUGAAGAGCAUAGACCAAGAUUCACCCACCCCAUAUUCUCUCAUAACCCAGAAUUCCAUGAAAUUAACGCCACCACGUCUCCUAGCAAUCGAAACACAGAGGCAUUCUCCUCCUCCUCUUGAAACUACUUGAACCCCCAUGUCAUGAACAUCAACGUCAUCGGCAUCACCAUCAAAAGUGGGGAAUGGAACUUCCCUGAACUCCUCCUUUGCCAGAUCAAAAGCAAGGAUCGUUGGCUCCACCUCACCGACUUUGCGGUAGAACCAAUGCAGUGCUUCAUUUGUAAGGGCCCCCAAGCCAGUGGUGGUGGGGCUUCUGAAAGAGCACGGUGGGUCGUGCUCACGGACGUGAAUGGGUUUCCAAGAGUUCAAUCUGGAUGAGUAAAUCUCCAUAAACGUCUGGGAAGGUCUAGUAUAAACAUCAGCAUCUAUGAAGAUUUUGUAGUCGUCAGUGGAUGACACAUAACCCAGGCCAGAACGGCCAAUAUCAGAUUCAGCGAAACGAGACAGGUUUUUCACUGCACAUACAAAAUCUGAGUCGGGCAAUUCGCGUUUGAAUCCGGUUGAUGGAUUCCAGAGAGACAAGUCAUGUUUUUCAUAACCAUCAACAUCUACACAUACCAAACCAUUACAGCAGCCCAGUAGGUUGCUAAAGUGGGCGAAGGUGAGAUUAUUGAGCGAAGAAUUGUUGUCUGCGAACGACGGCGUUUCCGGGUCCAAGGAUCGGAGUUGAUAGUCGGUGGAGAUGAGGAGUCUCUGGGUGAGGGUUUUGCGAUCGGAGGCUAGCUUGAAGUGGGAUUGGGCAAACUGUGGGUCCUCAAUUAUGAGAGAAUGCCACCGUUCCGAAACGGAACUGAAUCGAAUCAGAGGUUGUAUCGGCAACCGGCACAGAAUUUGGACUACAAUUUCUUCAGGAAGGUGGCGGUUGUGGUGGAGCUUCUUCGUCGACAUUGGAACCUUGGAAACGAAUAGCCCACAGACACAGCCAGUGGAAGGGUUUUGGGAAGCUGCUUUUCCGUUUUCAGAGCAUUUCUCGCAAGUUCACAACAAAGGCAUGAGCUUGACCGCUUUUGACUUGAGAUUUUCGUUCGUUUUCUUUUUCCAACUGCAUAAAAUGACGAUGGUACAUGUGGUCAUGACCGUAGAUGCAGUGGUGUUGAACCUGUACGGAGAAUUGCUGAGGCCAACACGUGGAAUUAGAUUUGGCGGGUCUUCAUUGCCGAUUGGAAUAAAAAAAAGAAAAGAAAAGGAAUUUGCUUUGGGUGUCCAGAGACUAAAAGUGUGUGUCCGUAGAAUCAGGGAAAAGGAAUUAUUUUCUGUUUCUCAGUUACCGUCAUUUGAUUUAAUAUGCCUUCAUUCUUUUUGUCAUGAAAAUCAGAACAGAAGAUUUGAAGAAUUAAUUUUCUAUUAUUUAUUAUGUUUCCCUGUUUUCUGUUUAUGAUGGUGUUAAUUAUUUUACGUUUCUGUGUUACUAUUGCAACACCGCUUUCCACGGAUGCAUGAAGGUUUGUAGAAAGAAAGAUAGAAAGAAAAAACAAAAAUAAGGACCCUGUUAAUUAAACACUAAAAUUAACUAAGUAUACUUAUUAUUAAUUUAUUAUCUGUAAGUUUCCUGAGAUUAACACUUUGCUACACAGUUUUUUUCUUCUCACUUUCAUUCCCAACGUUUAUUUUCAUUAUCAAUUUCAUACAUCCAUUAGUAUUUCCGUCAAGCUCUCCGUUAAUCCAUGAUGUGGCGAUCAAUGAGCUUGGAAUUAAUGACGUGGCAUGACUUUGACCCACUGGAUUUGUACCACAUGGACAAACAAUUAAAUAAAUAAAAAUUUAUUUUAACAAAUAUAAAACAUAACUAAAUUAAAAAACUGGUAAAUCAAGGCUUCAAUUCUUUCCUUUUCUUUUUGGCCAAGCAGUUUGUUUCCUACAUUGAUACAUAUAUACGAGUUUGCUAUUCACAAGAAGCAACACAGAAAUCAAACUCUCUCUCUAAAGCCAUCCACGAGUUUGGAAAUAGAGAAGCACGUGAAUAGCAAAUCUCAUAUAUAUGUAUAUUUGGGAAACAUUGUUUGUGUCCUAUUUCUUGAAGGUCAAGUAUGUAUUCAAUAUUCAAUAGGUUUCCUAAUCAUACAUUGACUAGUCUACACACCCUAUAAAAUCCUAACUUCUGUGCCGUUUUGACAACACAAUUUGCUUUCUUGCAUUAUAUUCUCGUUCAAUCUUUCAAUCUUUCAAUCUCUCAAGUGGACGAGCACAAAGAAGAAGAAGAAGACCAAAUGGGGUGGCAUUCAAGCACUGACAGCGACUUUGAUGGCAUCUUCAAUCGCAAGUUGACUAAUAUGGGUUGGUUGCUUGAGAUUGUUAGGUUUGAUACUGAGAAAUAUAUGCAGGAAGACCUUUUGAAGCAAACGAGUAACAUCAACAAAGAACCAAAUUGUCCAGCAGCAGAGAGAGAAUCUGAAAUUGCUGAGGCCGCACACCCAGUUGCCCCAUCCAUGGUGUCGUCUGAGUCCAAGGGAGAAGGUUUGAUGAAGGAAAAGGCAUUCAAGAACCCUGCACUAAUAGAGCCAAAGAAACAAAGAUCAUCGGAUGGACCAAAGCUUAUGCACACUGCUAUUGCUUCUGCGAGAAAGACUAAUUCUUUGAAAAGAAAAUUCCAGAGCAGAGAUGAUGAUGAUAGUACUAAUUGGGCGCCUGUUGAAUGCAAGAAGCAAAGGAUGAUGAUGAUGUUGAAGAAGAAAAAUGCCAAUAAAGGCACCAGCUCGAUCAACAAGAUCACUCCGAAGAAAAAAGAAGAACUGAGUAGUCUUUCCUCAUCAGCUCAUCAUGACUUGCCUGAAGCAUUUAAGAGAAAAAUUGCCAGUUUGGGUGGGACUAAAGUGGCUUUGGUGAUACAGAAAAAACUGAGGAAAACUGAUCUAAGUAAAAGUGGUAACAGGAUGUCAAUGCCUCUGAACCAAAUCUCGUCGACUGAUUUCUUGGAAGACGAUGAGAGAGGUAGGCUUGAGAAAGAGGAGACAAUGAAGGUUCAACUGAUAGACCCUGGUCUUGUACAAGGAGAUAUAAACUUGAGACGGUGGAACAUGAAAAAGAUGAAUGGGAAAAACAGCAAAAUCUAUGUGUUGAGAACUCAGUGGAGUGAUUUUGCUAAGCGAAACCAUCUGAAAGAAAAAGAUCUUGUUCAAGUUUGGUCGUUUCGAGUUAACGGAGCUCUUUACUUGGCUCUUGCUUUGGUUAACGAGAGUUGUGGUGGUGAUCAAAAGGAGAGUGAUGAUGGUGCGUAUAAGAGUAGUGUUGUUGAUGGUGAAAUUAGUAGUGGUGGUAGUCACGGUGGUGCAGAGGUAAUUGAAGAAAGGAGAGAUGGGAAUAAUAUUGGGGAAAGUAGUGUGACCAAUGGGUCUAAUCAUACAAUAAGUCCAAGCCAUAGUGAAAGUGGCAGCAAGCAUGAACAAGCUGCACGCAUGGAAGAUAGAAGACGAAAGGUUUUUUAAAGGCUCACUUUUUCUUUUUAUCAAUUUAAAGGCUCUAACUUUAAAUCUUCUUUUUGUUUGUAAAUAUCAAUCUAACCGAGUUUUCAUCAAGGUUUGAUUUUUAAUACCUAAGAGGUUGGUAUGCCUAAACUCAAUGUUGAAAAUCAUAAUAUAUAUGUCAGUCAAAAAAACAAAUGGUUGAAAUUUAAUUCAGUCCCAAAGAAAAACAGAAAAUCUUUGAUCUUUAAUUACUGUGCAUGAAAUAUACCUAAGGUUUUUAUUAUCACAAAACGUUCAUGAAGUUCACGAAAUUAUCAAGUUGCGUCAUUUAUGGUUUUUUUUGUCAUCGCAGAACGUCCAUAAAGUUCACGAAAUUAUCAAAUUGUGUCAUUUAUGGUUUUUUUGUGUCACUACCUGUCUCCUACCACAACAAUCCGUUUGACACCCAUUAAGAAACCUACGAUCACCACCCCCAACCCAAAAACAUUUAUCAAGACACCCAUUUACUGCAUCCGAUCAUGGGAUGCAUUGUCAGUUUGAUUUUCAGGUGGGGACCAAUAUUUGCCAAAGUGACAAGUUCGCAAAAGAUGGGCAUCUCAAAGGCUUAGUAUCAGUUUCAAUUGCUGAGACUUGAAAUUUGUAGAUGAGAUAUGCUCUAGUGACGACACAAACAAAUUAACUCUAACUACAAUGAAAUCACAGCAUUUACAGACGGAUUCCAAACAGAACCCUUGGCUUGGGUGGCUAGUUUGGGUGACUACAGUGGCUUGGGUGGCUAGGUUGGUGGGGUGUGGGAGGUGGCUGGGUGGUUGUUUGUUUUUGGUAUUGGCGGGGUAAGUCGGGGGAGGGGGCUGGGAGGAGAGAGGAAGAAAUCUUUUUUUCUUUAUUUUUAAUAUUUAAUUCUACUUGAAAAACAAAGAAUUUUUAUUUUUUACUACUAAUUUUUUUUUGUCCACAUGUCACUGUGUUAUUGGAUAUAAGAUCAUACAUCAGCAAACUAAGCUCAUGGCAGGGACCCCUUGUGAGUACGAGUGUUGAUCUUGACAACUGUUAGUGACAAAAAACACAAAGGAUGCAACUUGAUAAUUCGUGACGUGAUAAAAAACCCUAAACGUAAACAAAUUCGGAGAGUGUGAGCAUUUAUGCCAGUCCCAAGUAGUGUGGUAAGUUCCUAUUAAUGUGACUGGCAGUGAAGUGAAGUCUGCUGUUACCAAAGUGUUAGUUCCUAUUAUUUCUGACCUAAACAAAGCAAGAAGUAAGGAUCACUCGUGCCUACAUCUCAUCUUUCCUUUAUGAUAAUUUGUUGUCACCCUCCCUCCCAUAUAAACUAAACAAAAAGCAGAAAAUGUAAAAUUGAAUGGCAUAGACUUUAAAGAAUAGCAGGAUAAAAAACGUAAGUCAUUAAAGGCAGCAAUCAACAGCAAAGCAAAUAUGGCUCAUUUGAUAGCAGCAAGCUACCCCAGCAUUAACAUAUCAGGAAAACUCUGCGCAGAGAUUUCAUGUGGAUUUACUACUACUCUUUCUAGACCAGCUAGGAGGACUAAAUUGAAAAUGAUUCAUUUUGAGGGGCAGUUUGAGAGAUCAGAAAGUAAUGCUAGUUGUUGUGUGGUGCAUUGCUGCAGUACCAGUUCAUCAAGCUCAUCAGCUGCUGAGGAAGUUGGGUUUCUCAAAUUCAAAUCCAAAUGAGACGCGCAUUCAAUCUCCUUUGACUGGCAUGGGGUGAAAUGAAAUCAUUAGAAUUGGUCACAGACAGGCAGGCAUGAAAAAAUUGAUCUCACAGGUUCCUUUUGAUUAAGGUGCAAGGGUAUGUCUUAACAAACAUGCAGUGCGUAUAAUAUUCAUGGACUGAGAAAUUUCAUAACAUAGAAUAUGAACAAGUUAAUCUUGUGGUGAAGCAUGCUGGACUGAGAAAUGCUCAAGGCAUAUUCCAUCAUCAGUUCAUCUUGUGUUGUGAAGCCAACAUCUUUGUGAAGACGCCAUUGCACUAGUGCAGGGACUACAAAGAUUGCAAUGGUAAAACAAGUUUUUUUUUUCUUUUUCAAAUUCAAAUCCAAUUGACAAAGAUGUCCAAUUGCAAUGGUAUGAUUGUAGAUCAAAAGCUGGUAAAACAAAAGAAAGGAAACCUUGUAUGACUGUAAAUCAAAAGUGUCCAUUUGAAACAAUUUUUGCCCUGCAUGUCUGGUGGGUCUCUGUGAGAUAUUUGAAUUAAGUGCAGAGGAACAUUACAAUGCUUUCAGCAUCAGCAAUUCAACUAAGAAAUAUCUGCCUCAUGCAAGAUUGAUGGCAGGAACAACAACAAUGCUUCAUAUUUGAUAAUUUUUGGCAACUCCAAUAGUCAAUACCAACAAACACAAAACAUAUACAAGGACAAUAAUAAACUCUCCAAAUCAAGCUUCAAAAUCCAAAUUAUACAAUUUGAAGUCCAUAACAGAAAUAGUCAAAGCAGUUGGUUUUUUAUUUACUGGGCUGUGAUGUGAGGAGGCUAUGGUGUUACUGCACUCUCAAUCUUUCCCAAUCUGCCACCUCAAGUAAAGGAGUGUUUCUAUAGGGUGACUUCACGUUUAUUCUUGGCAUUAAAAUAAUUUCCAGGUUCAUGCUUUUGGUUUUAGGGGAGAAGAAGAAUCAAUUAAUUCCUUCUUAAUCAGCAUUCUUCUUGGUCUUUCCCUUAAAAUUCAAACCCACAAAACAAAAACCCUAAUAAACUUUUAUACUUCUUAAUCAAUAUGAUAAUAACAUGCGUUUUCUCUAUAAAAAAUAUAUGUAUUAGCAUGCAUGGGCUUAGUCAAGUCGGCUAGAGCGGAUAUGCUCCCCACUCUACACCCGAGUUCGAAUCCCCAUCGCCGUAGUUUAGAUUAGAUUAAAGUUGAAUAUCGCUUGUAUAUAAAAAAACAUGUAUUCACUCCAACAACAUGUAUUCACAUUGACUUUGUUAUGACUAUGAAAGAGGUUGCCAUUCCUUUGUUGCAAGCCUAUUUAUAAGCCUAGUUCUUGGCUUCAAAAUCAUUUCCAUGUUCGUGCUUUUGGUUUUUUGUGGAGAAGAAUCAAUUAAUUUAUUCUUAAUAAGUCUUAUUCUUUCCCUAAAUUCAAACCCACAAAACAAAAACCAGAAUCAGUUUUUUACUACCUUGUUUUUCGGUCUGAUUUUUUACUUUUUAAUCAAUACGAUAAGAACAAGUAUUGUAAUCCAAUAAUAGUUGGGAGAAAAGUUGGGUUUCCUUAAAAAAUUUAUGUCUCACAUUCAUUUUGUUAUCAUUGAGGUUGCCAUUCAUAUUACAAUUUCAACUUGGCCUGCUUCCGAGCAAAAGAGAUGCCAUUUUCAUUCUCCUUUAAAUUUCGUUUUCUGUUUUUGCUUUGGUUAUUAUAUCUUCGGUUAAAUUUAUUUAAAUCCUAGUGUGUGACCAUCUUUUAUACUUCUAGGUUGGAACAUAAUUAAAUUACUCCAAUAAUAAUUUGGUUUCCUUAAGCAAAUUACGGAUCACACUUAUUGAUUAUAAUUGUUCUUGUUCCUAAUGAAAUUGUCAUUCAUAUGUUUCUUUUUCUUUCUCAAACAGUUUGUACUUGACAUAAGUUACAACACACUCUUCACCUCAACUAAAAAUGUUCAUUGUUUAAGCUGCCCCUAAUGUAGGAAAAAAUAAAUAAAUAAAUAAAAAACUAUGGAACAAAAAUAAAGGAUUUAUACUAAGCAGAGUACAUAUGAUACUGAAACAAGCAGACACACCAUACUAUAUCAGAUAACAUUUGUUUUCAUCAAGGCCAUUUGUUCGGACUAAAUUUUCAAACCAGGCUGUUGUUUAUUAACACAAUCACCUUCUAUUUCAUCCUAAAAUGUCCUACGUCCACCACCCUUGCAGAACAAGGCAACUCUGUUUUUUUCCUACAGGAUGAAGAAAUUGAGCUUUACUCAAAGUUCCCACUCUCUCUUAUUUGCCACCUUCUUCUGUGCUCACAUCACAUGAAUUGGGAAUAUUUUCAUCAUCAAUGGCCUCUCAAUUAAAAGAAAAGAAAGCUUGUAUGAUCAAAAUUCAGUAAUGUACAAUCGACAAGGGGUCUGUUGGCAUGUUUUCAAAUUCAAAUACAUGAUGAAGGCAGGCACAUCAUUAGAAACAUCACAGGAAUAUUACAAUGCUUUUACCAUCCAUCAGCAAUUCAACUAAGAAAAAUCUGCUUCAUGCAAGAUUGAUGACAGGAACAACAACAACAACACUUCAUAUUUGAACAUUUUGGCAACUCAAUACAAGCAAACACAGAGUAUAGAGAUGUGACAGAAACAAAACAAACAUAAGGACAGACAAUAAUAAGCUCACCAAAUUAGGCAUCAAAAUCCAAAUUACCAGAGUCCUCUCCAUGGUUAGUUAGGUACUGAAAGCAGAGUCUCAUUGUAUUUAAUCACGUCAUACACUGCCCCAUCCCCAUCAUUGACGUUAAAUGGGGUACUGCAAACCGGCUCCGCUUCUCUGUGGCAUUCAAUCCUCACCACUAUGUCCCAAUCCCACCUCAGCCUGAAUAUAACUGUACCACCUUCAGUAACGAAACAGGCUUCAUAACCGUGGAAAUUCCCACCCAACGAUUUAGAUACAUCAUUCGUGUUAAAUUUAAAGAGCACAUUCCAAGAUUCACGCACCCCAUAUUCUCUCAUAACCCAGAAUUCCAUGAAAUUAACACCACCACGUCUCCUAGUAAUCGAAACACAGAGGCAUUCUUCUCCUUCUCCUCUUGAAACUACUUGAACCCCCAUCUGAUUAACAUCAAUGUCAUCGGCAUCACCAUCAAAAGUGGGGAAUGGAACUUCCCUGAAUUCCUCCUUUGCCAGAUCAAAAGCAAGGAUCGUUGGCUCCUCCUCACCGACUCUGGAGUAGAACCAAUGCAGUGCUUCAUUUGUAAGGGCCCCCAAGCUAGUGGUGGUGGGGCUUCUGAAAGAGCAUGGUGGGUCGUGCCCACGGACUUGAAUGCGUUUCCAAGAGUUCAAUCUGGAUGAGAAAAUCUCCAUAAACUUCUGGAAAGGUGUAGAAUAAACAUAAGCAUCUAUGAAGAUUUUGUAGUCGUCAGUGGAUGACACAUAUCCCAGGCCAGUACGGUCAAAUUCAGAUCUAACCUUUUCUGUAUUCGCCACAGACACAAAAUAUGGGUCAGGCAAUUCGCGUUCGAAUCUGGUUGAUGGGUUCCAGAGAGACAAGCUAUGAUUUUCAUAACCAUCAACAUCUACAAAUACCAAACCAUUACAGGAGCCCAGUAGGUUGGUAUAGGUGUGGAAGGUGAUAUUACUGAGCGAAGAAUCGUUGUCUGCGAACGACGGCGUUUCCGGGUCCAAGGAUCGGAGUUGAUAGUUGGUGGAGAUGAGGAGUCUCUGGGUGAGGGUUUUGCGAUCGGAGGCUAGCUUGAAGUGGGAUUGGGCAAACUGUGGGUCCUCAAUUAUGAGAGAAUGCCACCGUUCCGAAACGGAACUGAAUCGAAUCAGAGGUUUUAUCGGCAACCGGCACAGAAUUUGGACUAUAAUUUCUUCAGGAAGAUGGCGGUUGUGGUGGAGCUUCUUCGUCGACAUUGGAACCUUGGAAACGAAUAGCCCACAGACACAGCCAGUGGAAGGGUUUUGGGAAGCUGCUUUUCCGUUUUCAGAGCAUUUCUCACAAGUUCACAACAAAGGCAUGAGCUUGACCGCUUUUGACUUGAGAUUUUCGUUCGUUUUCUUUUUCCAAAUGCAUAAAAUGACGAUGGUACAUGUGGUCGUGACCGUAGAUGCAGUGGUGCUGUACCUGUACGGAGAAUCGCUGACGCAAACACGUGGAAUUAGAUUUGGCGGUUCCCAACGGGUUGGUUUUGGGUUGGCCCCGCCUUAUAUGAAAUCGGGGAUCAUUGCUGAUUGUAUUUGGGCUUUGAAAAACAAUAUGCUUGGGUGUCCAGAGACUAAAACUGAGUGUCCACAGAAUCACUAAACAGACAAGAUAUUUGUUGGCCUUUUCAUUUGUUCAAUUCAAUCAACCGCAAUUUCAACUCCUAUACAUAAAAUUAAAAAAAAAAAAAGUCGUUUUCUUUUGUGAUUUCUACAAAUUAUUUGUUUGGAUAUUUACUGCCCUGUGAAGCAAUCUUGGAGGCUAUAGUGUUACUGUCCUCUUAAUCUUUCCCAAUCUGCCACCUCAAGUAAAGGUGUGUUUCUAUAUGGUGACUUCACCUUUAUUUUUGGCUUCAAAUUCAUUUGCAGGUUCAUGCUUUUGGCUUUUUGGGGGGAAGAAUCAAUUAACUCCCUCUUAAUAAGCGUUAUUCAUAUAUUUCGUAUUGCUAAUUGAGGUGACUCUCUCUGUAUUUUUUCAAUUGAUUUAAUAAAGUAUUAUCGCUUUUUUGGUCAAAAUAAGCGAUUAUUCUUUCCCUAAAUUCAAACACACGAAACAAAAACCCUAAUCAGCUGUUUUACUUCUUAAUCAAUAUGAUAAGAACAUAUGUUUACUACAAUAAUAAUUGGGUUUCCUUAAACAAUUUAUGUCACACAUUGGCUUUGCUAUUAAUUAAUGAGGUUGCCAUUCAUACUUUCAAGGCGUUUGAGUGUGCUUGAAAUGAAGUGAAAAUGUAUGAGAAACAUUCCACAUUAUCCCCCACUUGUUUAGGGAUAACAUAUCAAAAAAAACUAUCAAAGAAUUCAAAAUAGUUGGUCAAAGAAGUUACCAAGUAUAAUCCAAUCCAAGUGGGUAGUUUUGCACACAAGAGCCGUCAAUAUGUAAUCCAAACAUAUAUACAGGAUUCAUUCACCGCCUUACUCGGAGGCCCCGGAAAUGCCUCCCUUCGUUAAGACUUGGUUUGUGUCAAUUGUCAACAAACUCUCUCUCUCUCUCUCUCUCUCUCUCUCUCUCUCUUCCCUUUUAUUUCUUGGUAAAGGCAACUCACGCUUCCAUCCUUAAGUGAUCAGCAGCCAUCCGUACUAUUACUCUUGCUUUUCUUCAUUUCUCUUUGUUCACUAUCAAUAAUCCCUAUAUACACACACACACACACAAAUAUAGAGAGAGGGUCACAAGUUACAAGUAGUGUCAAAUAGGCGGUGGGUUUUGAGAGAGAGAGAUAAUGUGCGCAGUUCAGAGGAUAGUAGGUUUAGUGGUGGCGGUUAUGGCGGCAAUGGUGAUGGGGGUGGCUUGUUCACAGUCACAUGACUAUGGAGAUGCUUUGAACAAGAGCAUAUUGUUCUUUGAAGGCCAGAGGUCGGGGAAGUUACCCUCUUCUCAGAGAAUGACUUGGAGGAAGGAUUCUGCACUUCGUGAUGGCUAUGAGAUUGGUGUAAGUCUCUCUUUCUCUCUUGUUUAUGUGGGUUCAUUCUUGAAUUUUACAGAUUCUUAUUAUUACACAAAUCAUUUGGAACUUAUUAGGAUUUUCAUUAUCAUCAACAAGAACCAAACAUAAACUUUUCAAGUCGCUUUCAGAUGGUGUCAUUUGGGAUGGGAAAGAUUUUUUUACAUAGAAAUCUCAUAAUUUAGAUGUGACAACAUUAGCUAAUCGGAUUUCUUUUUGCCUUUUCAUGGGUCAGAAUGGUUAAAGAAUGAAACUUUGGGCAAGAUUUCAAUCUAUUCAUUUCAGUAAAACACAGAGGAGGAGGAGCUCUCAGAUUUAAAAAAACAGAGGAGCUCUCAAUGUUAUUUUAUUUAGCAAAAAGUUGAAACCGCUACUUUGUUGCUUAGGAUAGAGAAAGAGCGUUCGAUAAAUGUGACUUACCUUUGCUUCUCAUUUCUCAUUUGAACCCUUUUUUAAACGAGUUUAUUCUUUCUUUCUUUUAAGUACUCGCAAAACAUGUGAAGCCAUUUGCAAUGAUUGUAAUCAAUGGGAUUUUUAGUUAGUCAUUAGUGCGAUUCAAUUGAAGGUUAUGAACAACUUAAUUAUGGACCAACCAUUAAUGUGUUUUUGUGUGACCAGGUUGAUUUGGUAGGGGGCUACUACGAUGCCGGCGACAACGUUAAGUUCAACUUUCCGAUGGCAUUCUCAACAACAAUGCUGGCAUGGAGCGUUUUAGAGUUUGGGAAAGGCAUGAGCUCAGACUUGCCACAUGCACUGGACGCCAUCCGAUGGGCCACUGACUACUUUCUCAAAGCCACAAGCAUUCCUGGCUUUGUCUUUGUCCAAGUUGGCGACCCUUACGGCGACCACAAUUGCUGGGAGAGGCCUGAGGACAUGGACACCCCUAGGACACCCUUUGCCGUGAGCAAACAGUUCCCGGGCUCCGAAGUUUCAGCUGAGAUAGCAGCAGCACUUGCAGCUUCUGCCAUGGUGUUUAGACCAAUUGAUUUAAAAUACUCUGCCAGGCUUCUCAAAAGAGCUAGAAUGGUACUAAUUAACUGACACAUUAUGAGAUUAAAUAAUUAUUUCGAACUACAUAUAGAGCUACAUUAUGCUCAUUUCGUGCAAUGGACUAGGUGUUUGAUUUUGCAGAUAAAUACCAGGGAUCCUAUAAUGACAGUCUUGGACCAUGGGUUUGUCCAUUUUAUUGUGAUUUCAGUGGCUAUGAGGUAAAGUACACAUAAUAUGCUCAUACUGCCAAUUUCUAAAACAAGAUGUUUGAUAGAAUAUGUAGUGUUUGUUAUGUGAUAAUUUCUGCUAUGCAGGACGAAUUGGUUUGGGGAGCAGCCUGGUUAUUUAAGGCAACCAAGCAACCUAUCUACUGGAACUAUGUGUUACAAAACAUAAACAAGUUGGAAAGUUCUGCUACUGUGAAAUAUAUAAACGGCGUCUCAUAUCUUGGUGGAAGCUUUGCAGAAUUCGGAUGGGAUUCCAAGCACGCAGGCAUCAACGUACUCGUUUCGAAGGUAAGUGUACUACUUACAUUUCCUUAAUUCUGAUUAAGCACAUUGAUUUGCUUCUAAUUGAUAAAAUCGAUUCCAUUGGCCUAAUACGAAGAUCGAUUUGAUCAGUUGCGUGUUUUUGUAACAGUUGAUCAUGUCAAUGGCUGGUACUGGUUCUACCCCUUUCAUUUCAAAUGCAGACAAGUUCAUAUGCACCUUGUUGCCUGAAUCUCCAACCGUAUCAGUCUCCUAUUCUCCAGGUAGCUACCUCUCUAAUGACUGAAUAAUAAUCACCAUUAGUAUGAUCAGUGCGGUAAUAUAAUGUUAAUUAAUUAAAAUUAACAGGUGGGCUUUUAUUUAAACCUGGAGGAAGCAAUAUGCAGCAUGCAACAACUCUCUCAUUUCUUCUAGUUGUUUAUGCUCGUUAUUUGAAACUAUCCAAUAGAGUUGUCCAUUGUGGCAAUGUUGUUGCCAGUCCUGCUAGACUUGUGAAACUUGCAAAAGGCCAGGUAAGUUAUACUUCUAUAACAUGUUUACUUAUCGGGAAUGAAUAUCGUCAAAAUUAAGUGAAUACUCAUUAAUUAAUAUAAAUUUGGACUGACGGGUCGAUGCAGGUAGAUUACAUUCUAGGAAGUAACCCAUUUGGCAUGUCGUAUAUGGUGGGAUAUGGUAAAAAAUUUCCUCAGAGAAUUCACCACCGUGGGUCAUCUUUACCGUCAGUUGGUCAACAUCCGAAACAGAUUGACUGCAAAGGUGGAACCGAUUAUUAUAACAGCAAGAACCCAAACCUAAAUUUGCUAAUUGGGGCUGUUGUUGGAGGACCAGAUAUCGAAGACUCGUAUGCUGAUUUUCGAGAGGAUUUUGUGCAGUCUGAGCCAACAACAUACAUCAAUGCACCUUUAGUGGGGGUCUUGGCGUACUUCAAUUCUCGUUCAUCCUAGCUAGUUUUUUUUUUCCCCCGGAGUUCAUCCUAGCUAGUUAGCUUGUUGAUAAAUUCUUCAUCUCUCUUUCAAUUUAUCUUUUGUUUAUACUUGCAAUAGCAAAGUUUAAAAAAAAAAAAAGGGUAAAGGGUUGAUUUUUUUCAUUUUAUUUGUAUACAAGCGAAAUUAUGAAUGAUAAAUUAAACCUAAAACUUCAAAUAUAUAUUACGGUCAAAAGUCGGAGAGGUGAGCACAAUUGUAGGUACAUUAAAUCAAUGUAAAAAAAAAUGUCUUAAAAUUGAGGAAAGAAAUUUUAGUCAACGUUAUUAAGUUAUUUUAGUCAACGUUAUUAAGUUUAGUGGCAAAUUUUUUAGUAGAAAUAUUAGGGAUUAAAAAAAUUUCUUAAACUAGAAACCACUUCCCCCAUCUUGAGGGAAAUUAGCCCGGCUUUGUCCCACCCCUCUGUAAGCCACCUCCAGAAAGAACUGACCCGUAUAAGGAACCCUCGCCGGAGCAUACAGGGAGACGUCAGAGACAAGUGUGUGACGGUGGUAAGGGUACUCUCCUAGGAAGAACUGGAACCAGAGCAAACCCUAGAGAGAAUAGAUAUAUCGUCCUUUUAAGAAUCAAACACUUUUAGGGCAUGUUUACGUAUCAAUAAUGGGUAUGAGAGGAAAGGAAAUGAUUUUCAUUCCUGACUUUUGCUGCGUUUACUUGCAAUUAGGAAUGAAAAAAUAAGUCAACCCCAUCUCAAAAUCCAUAAUCACAUCCCCUCAAAACCAGGAUUAGUUUAAUAUAAAUGAUUGAUUUAAGAUUUUUCUGGUGCCACAGUUUUAACCCCAGAUCAAACACAAUUAAAUUUGCCACUAACCUAAUAGGAAAUCCAUGAAAACGAACAAUCCACGGAAAAGGAAAUAAACAAAAUUAAAUUAAUAUCGGAAAAGGAAAGAAAACAAAUCCCUAUUUGUUCUUGGAAUAAACUACCAGGCACAAUGAUAUCCAUCCCAAGUUUAGGCAAUUCUGGAAUGUCUUAAAUGUGAUUAAGUCAUUCCGAAUAAAGUUUUAUUACGUUUUGUAUUUAAUAAUUAGUUAUUGCCAUAAGCUCACGAAUAUGGCCGCCUAUAGGAACCUAGAACACGGAUUCUUAAGACCUUCUUUCGGCCUUUGUUUCCUUGUUACGGUUGAGCAAAAAAAUAACCCUAAGGGACAUUGCAUGACCACUAUAUAAGUAUAUAUAUGUAGUGAUCUUGGACACAAGACAAAAGCAUGCAUAAUCCUGAUUAAACAUAUUAUAAUUAGUAUUAUCUGUCUAAUUAGCAAGAGAGAAUGAGGAACAUAAUCAUGUGUAGUAUCAAUAUUUCCCUUUUGAUAUUAGCAGCAGCAGGGAUUUCGGUAAUGGCAACAGCCGGUGCAACCGCUGCUUCUUCACGUUUUGACUACGCCGAUGCCUUGUCCAAGAGCAUCUUGUUCUUUGAAGGGCAGAGGUCGGGAAGAUUACCACCUUCCCAACGUAUGACUUGGAGGAAAAGUUCUGCCCUACGUGAUGGCUUUGAUGUUCAUGUGAGUCACCCUCUCUCUCUCUCUCUCUCUCUCUCUCUCUCUCUCUCUCUCUCUCUCUCUCUCUCUCAAUUAACAUAUAAUUUGUCUUGGGAUUUGACUUCUUCUUUCAUGCACAUGAACGCUGUGAGUUAGCACUUGACUAAGUUCUCAGAAAUUUUUGUUUGAAAUUGUAAUGCCGACACAGAGUGUUACUAUCCUCAUGUACAAUCUAACAAGUCAACCGUCCUUGUCCAAGACCGAACUUUUUCCUCCACUCUCACUUGCCGCAUGGACUAUAAACCCUAAGACUUGCUUAAUUUUACAUUACUUUUCACUUGUAACGGCCCUAUCAUGCAUAAUAAUGUUCAUAUAUUUUUUAUUUUUUAUAAAAGAGCGAUAGUAAAUGAUGUCCAUAUCUUAAAACUGGAUUUGCACUCUAUUAGUGAUAAUUAAUUAAUAAAAUUCAUCAAUUAUACUAGUUUAAUGUUCAAGCAAAUACCAUUAUGAAAAACCAAAUGUUACAUAGACCACACUUUAUAGACUGGAUAUUGUAUAACAUUGACAAGUAUUUCUCCUCAGAGGGAUCUGGUAGGGGGAUAUUACGACGCAGGUGACAAUGUGAAGUUCAACUUUCCUAUGGCCUUCACAACAACAAUGCUGUCGUGGAGCGUUAUCGAGUUCGGGCAAUUAAUGGGGCCGGAGCUUCAACAUGCUCUGGAAGCCAUAAGAUGGGGGACUGAUUAUUUGCUUAAAGCCACCAGAGUUCCUGAUUCUGUUGUUGGUGCAGUUGGUGACCCAAAUGCCGAUCACGGUUGUUGGCAAAGGCCUGAAGACAUGGACACCCCUCGCACAUCUUAUGUAGUCAAUAAACAAAAGCCCGGUUCAGAAGUUUCGGCCGAAAUUGCAGCUGCACUUGCAGCUUCUUCCAUGGUGUUUAGACACUCAGACAGGGCAUACGCUGCUGUACUUCUAAGAAGAGCUAUGCAGGUGUGUGUGUGUGUAUAUAUAUAUUUUCUUUCUUUUCAUAUAUUUAAGUUUUGGGUUAAUGGGUUUUUCUUUGUUGGAUGUUUAGGUGUUCGAAUUUGCAGAUAAGUACAGGGGAUCUUACAAUGAUAGUAUUGCGGCAGGAGUCUGCCCUUUCUAUUGUGAUUUCAACGGAUACAUGGUAUGUUAUGUGUCGCAUGAGUUGAUAUCGAAAAAUCAAGAUAAAAGUUGGCUUUUUGGUAGCAUCACUAACCUUAAUUUCGGUUCCAAGUUUAAUAUAUAUGUUUUUUGUGUGUGUUGCAGGAUGAAUUGAUUUGGGGAGCUUCAUGGUUAUACAAGGCAACUAAGGCCCCUAAUUACUGGAACUACGUCAAAAACAACAUAAACUAUUUGGAGUCCAAUAAUAUUGUUGUAAGAAAUGUGAAUGGGAACCCUGUUCCAUCAUCUCAAGGUGGUAGUAUCUCUGAAUUUGGAUGGGAUGCAAAGCAUGCCGGUAUUAACAUACUUGUUUCCCAAGUAAGCCUCUCUUUUUCUAAUUAACAUUCUUGUACUCAACCUCAAUUAUGCUCCACGUAAUUAAAUUAAGCUUUCAUUUGUUUGCAGUGGGUAAUGAAAGAUCCCUACAAUUCUAAUCCCUUCAUUCCCAAAGCCGAUCAAUUCAUAUGCUCCAUUUUGCCUGAAUCACCUGCUCCCAAAUCGGUCUCAUACUCAAGAGGUAGUUAUUCUUUGAACAUAAUAUUUAAACAUACGAUGAAUCUAGAUCGCAUGUUCACGCGAAAACUCAUUUUUUUGUUUUUCGGUUUUAAUAUUAGGUGGGCUGUUGUUUAAACCUGGAGGAAGUAACUUGCAACAUGCAACGUCCAUAUCAUUUCUUCUUCUAGUUUAUGGUCGCUACAUGAAACUUGCCAACAAGGUUGUCGAUUGUGGCAACAAUGUUCAUGUCACUCCAGCUAGGCUAGUGAGUUUCACCAGAGGACAGGUACAUAUAUUCAAAUAUUAAUUAUACAUUUUAAUUAAAUGGGUGGAUUAAAUUACAAUGAAAACCGGUUGUUUAAAUUUAAUUAAUAAUUAAUGUAAAUGCAGGUUGAUUAUAUACUAGGAAGCAACCCAUUGGGCAUGUCGUACAUGGUGGGAUUUGGGCAGAAGUUUCCUCAGAACGUACAUCAUCGUGGUUCCGUGUUGCCUAGCGUGGCUAAGCACCCACAGCACAUCGACUGCCACGUGGGAUACUCCUACUUCAACGGCCACGAUCCUAACCAGAACGUGCUCACUGGCGCUAUCGUGGGAGGGCCUGCUGAGGAUGAUACCUUCAAAGACUCUCGAUUUGAUGCUCCCCAAUCAGAGCCGACCACGUACAUCAAUGCGCCUUUUGUUGGUGUAUUGGCUUUCUUCAAAGCUCUACAUCACUAAAUUUUUUAUUUUUUUUUUAAAUUGUUCAUGUAUUUCAUUUCAACCUUAUUAUUAGAUCAAAGUGAUUACUAUUUAGUUGAAGGAUAAGCGAUUUUAGUGGAAACUUCCAAAAUUGCAUUAAGUGAUGUGACUCCAUAACACGAAGGGAUAUGCCUUAGUGAAAGAUAAAACAAAAUAAGCUAAUUUAUAAACCACAACAUUAACUUCACGAAACACAAAACAAAUAGGUUUGUGGACAAAUAACAUUAGACCAGCAUAAAUCUGAACAUCAAAAUAAAGCAAAUCAUCACUAUUGUUAGAUCAAAGUUUUGAGUUGUGAUUCUUUGUCAUUUGUUGAAUAUUAUUGAAAUCUAAAUAAAGUUGUAGUACCCCUCUAUUUACUCCUUUUUUUGUUGUUGCUAAAUUCCUUAAUCAAUGUUGCUAGCACUCAAAUUCAUCAACUUAAGGCCAGUUUGGGAUGACUGACACUUAAAAUAAAUAAAAAAAACAACUUCUUUGUGCUUUGAAAAUAAUCAUCUGUAAAGUAAAGCAGCUUCAUGUUAGGUAAACAAUAUUUUUAAAGUGGUGUUAGUAGAAAAAGCAGUGUCAAAAUCGUUUGGUAAAUUUUAAUAUAAAACUGUUGUAACUAUGAAUAAAGACUAAAAUGAACAUAAUGUUGAAACUGUUAUGUGCUAAUCAUGUGGUGGUGGUGGUGAUGAUAAAGGUGGAGAGGUGGAGAUGGAGGAGAUGAGGUACUGGUGCUAGUGGUGGUUGUGGAGGUGGAGGUGGGGCUAAAGAUGGAGGUGAAGGUGGUGGCGGUGGACGUGGAGAUGAAGGUGGUGGAGGUGGAGGUGGAGAUAAAAGUGGUGGUGGUAGGGUAUAGGUGGAGGUGGAGGUGGAGAUGAAGAUGGUGAUGAUGAUGAUGACGGAGGCAGAUGUGAUGGUGGUAAUGGUAGACAAUGUCAUUUUAAAAAAUUAAUAAUAGUAUUAUGAGAAUUGAAAAUUUUCAUUAAAGGCUCAUCUCUGCUUCUUUUGAAAGCAGCUUUGAAAAGCAACCUAGAGACUGCUUUUAAAAGCUGCUGUCAAAAGGCUAUUGCUUUCAAGGAUAUUUUAUUUUAAUUUUUAGCCAAAAAAAGCAAUCCCGAACCGAGUUUUAGUGUAAAAUUACUGUAUCCUCUAGCGAAUGGUGUUUUUCUUUUUUCUUUUUAUUGAAUAAAGGUAUGGUAUUUUUCCAAUGAAAGCAAGAUAACGUUAAAAAAUGUCUAAAGUCCUUACAAGAAUGAAUUGGAGUGCUAUAAAUGAAUACAUUGUCAAUUAGUUUUGUUUCAAUUUUGGUAAGGACAAACCCACUCAUAAUUUCAAAAAGGCUUUAUAUCACAAAACAUCCAGGUUUUUGAAAAUUAUCAAAUUGCGUCCUUCUUGUUUUUUAUUUUUUGAGUCAUUUGUGGUGUUCAAGGUUAAUAUGUGUAUUCACAAAUAGUUCCUGCCAUCAAAAACUCUGUUAGUUUGCUUAUAUGACUUCUAAAAAUAAUUUAAAAUUUCAAAGUGAAAAAACCAAAAGAAAAUUUGUAUUUUAAAAAUUAAAUUAUUUAAAAUAUAUAUUAUAUUUUAAAUACACAUGACACUAUAUUAUUGAAUAUGUGAGCUCCACAUAUAUUCCACAUCAACAAACUAACAAAGUUUUUGACGGAACUUGACGGCAAAGACUAUUUGUGAGCGCAUAUCAACCUUGAGAACUACGAAUGAACAAAAAAAAAAAAAAACAAAGGAUGCAUAUGAUAGUUUCGUAAACUUCAUGGACGUUUUGUGAUAAAAAACCUUUCAAGAAUGAAAAUUAUUUGUAAUUUUAAAAAAGAAUGAAAAUUAGAUGUAACAAAAAGGAAAUUAGAAAAAUAAGAGUGGGCCCCUCAUCUUUCCUAAGGUUUUAACAUCGGAAGUUCAAAACCUCUCCAUUUCAAGAUCGAAGAAGAAGAAGAUGCAGCAGAGAAGAUCAGCGUCAGGGAGGCCUACUGGAACGGAUGGCUCAGAUUUCAACUACCGCAUGGUCGUUGACUCUCGUAAGCUUCUAUCAUCUACACCUCUAAAAUAAGAUUAUCUCCCCCUCUGUUUUCUUUUUUCUUUUUUUACUUUUGGUUUCUAUCAUUUUCUCUGCAACCAAACCGAUUUCUAGGUCCCUGAACUCUUUAUACUGGGUAUUUAAAGUUUUUUUUUGGGCUUAUCCAAUUUCAGGUUACCAGAAGGUAGCUAAAGGAAAAUCUCGUCUCUCCGCGCUUAUUCUCACUCAGGUACUCACUGUAUCUCUGAAUUGAAUCUGGCUCUGUAAUUCCGGAUGUAAAGUUUGGAUUGUUUUCACUGAAUUUGCAUUAAUUUAUCUAAAUGGGAAUUUUCAUUUAACUGGGCUACCCCCAUAGCAUAGGCUGGUAAUAGUAUUGUGCAUGAAUUUUUCAAGCAACUAAUUAUACAACUUUUUUCUUUUGUGUAAAAAAACCUAAUUCGUUUAUUGGGUCAAGUAGCCUCUUAUUUGGAUUGUGUUAGAUAGGGAAAAUCUGUAUUUGGUGACUCACAACAGAUACCUUGGAAAAUUGGGUUGAAUUCAAACCACACUCAAACCAUUUUGAGUAAAUUUUUUGUGGGUUACCUGGCAGGUGGAUGGUUCAGUUAUGACUAAACUUGUCUUGGUGAUCUAAGUUGACAUUUACAUUUAAAGCCAAUUGGACGAAUUCUGCAUUGUUAAAGGUUUUGAACAAAUUAUAUACGACAGUAAUAAGGGAACAUAUUUUUAUGAGACGGUAGAGGUUGGCGCUAUAGUAUAUUACAAUCCAACUAUCAUAUGUAGUUGUUGUUGACAUUUCAAUUUAUCCAUGAAGUCUAAUUUUCAGUCCAUCAGUUUCAAAAGGUUCCUCUUUUGAUAGCAUUUGCUCUCUUGCUCUGCAGGCUGUCAUUCAAUUGAUAGGAGUCCUCGCAUUUCUAUUUACAUCAAAUGGGGAAGGUCCCAAUGUGAUUGCUAUUUCAUCUUUUGCUAUUGGUUCUAUUUCUUUGAUCAUUGGGGAGUUAGGUAAGCUGUUACUAAUCUGCAUUUUUCUUUCAAGUCACUUCAGUUUUUGCAUCUGUAGUUAAACAACUUUUUAUUGUGCCAAAGGUCGAAGGCGCAGCCGAGUGAGUUUGUUGAAAGUUUACAUUGUUGCAUCAUCUAUUGGAAUACUUCUCUCCAUUGCUUGUGUUGCUACAGGAAAUUUAACAUUAGAGGUAAGAUAGUUCUUUAUUACAACUGUUGAUUAUCAUUUAGAAAUUUGAAUCAUUUGUCCUUUCUUGUUUUUGUCGGAAUUUGCUGAUUGUUGUCUUGUAUGAAAUUACUGAGUAGGUUUUCCAAAAUCCAAGUAACUGGGAAACAAAGAAGUUUGAACUUCUCGAGGCCACCCGCACUGCAAUUGGUGAGUAUCUGUGCUUUCUUGAUGUGAUGCUACUACAACCAAAGUUGGGUAAAGAGUAAUAUUUUUGUUUCAAAUUUCACAGCGUUCCUGGUACAAAUAUUUACCGUCAGCACAACUGCUUCUCUCAUCAGUAACAUGUCUCCUCCAAAAAGGGCCUCUUAGCUGCUUCCUCUAGCCACAAUCAUGUCAAUGAUUGAAUAGAAAUUUCGUUUUCAAUUUCUUCCUGGGUCCCAAUUUUGUAAUUCGAGGAAGAUAGUUUGAUUCCUCUCUAGUUGAAGGACUAUUUUGACAGGACACACAUUUACAGUGAUGGUAGGCAUGUAAUUUGAUCCAUUAAUACAAAUUGGAUGUUUGAUGAAGUUGUUUCAGUAUUUGACCAUUUAGAGCAUGUCCACCGCCGCACCAAACCUGGGCAAAAGGCCCCCUUGGCAGCCCAUUCCAGCUCCAGCGCACAACAAUGAGCCAGGGCAAAUGGUGGGUCCCACCAGCCUGGGCAAGCCCAAAGGCUAAUUCUGCCUGGGCUGUUGCCCACGGGCUGCUGACAUCAUGCUGAUUUUCAAAUUUUUUAUUACUGUUGGACCCACUAGCCCACAUUGCCCAAUAGUUACAAGCCAUGUGGCUUCUCCUGGAGCCUCCGAUCAAAAAAUAUUGCACAAUUCAACGAUUGUCCAAUUUUUGGCUUUAAAAAAUUGAACAAAAAAUCAAAAAAAUUUAAAAAAUAUAUCAAAAAAUUCUGAAAUUUUUUUCUAUACAUACCUACCAAUAUUAUUCACUUUCCACACCAAUUUAAUUUCAAAAUUUUGUCCGAAAAUGUUAUCUUGAUUUUUAGGUGAGGAUUUUACGAUAAAUAUUAACACUUGGGAAUUGAAAAUCUUAUCCGAAAAGCUUAUCAAAAUCAAUGGUUUAAGUAUAAAUAAAAUAAAAUAAAUUUAAGUGAAUAGUAAUUGCCUUAGACUUGCCCUAGACUUAGCCCUCAUGGAUGGAACCACAAAUGGCAAGCCUGACACUAUUCACGUGAAUAGUGGCAGCCCUUGCUUGCCCUUGCCCUAGACUUACCCCUUAUGGGUGGAGAUGCUCUUAUGAACCAAGUUUCUGGCUGAACUUUAAAAGCAAACAUCAGCCACAUGAACUUUAAAUAUUUUAUUAAAGAAAAAAAUUACUAUUUAUAAUUUAUGAAGUUAAUUAAAACAUAGCAAUACUAAUUAUUCACUAAAGAAAUAAUAAUUAAAACAUAAUUAUUAAUUAAAGUAAUUAAAUAAAGCAAAGAGAUUAUUUAAUUAAUAAAAAGAAACAAUAGCUUUACUCAUGAAAAAAAAAAACCCCUAGUAAAGCCGACCGGCUAUACAAUUUGUUUUUUAAGAAAAGUUAAAAAUGGCGUAUAGCCGACCGGCUAUACUAUUUAUGAAGGAAAAAAGAGCAGCCGUAUAGCGCCUAGUUGCCCACGUGUCAAAAAAUGGUAGAGCCGUGCGGCUAUACCAUUUAUAAGUAACCCCGUAUAGCCGGCCGGUUGUACCCUUUUUUGGGAACCCCGUUGGCAAAAUCAGUAUAGCCGCCCGGCUAUACUAUUUUUAAAACAAAUUAAAAAACCGAGUAUAGCCGACCGGCUAUACCAAUUUUUUUUUUUUUAAAAGGGAGGGUUCCCUAGCGAUUAGCCGCCUACGUGUCAAAACAAGUGUAGCCGUGCGGCUACAGUAUUUAUUAAAAAAAAGGUAAAACAAAAAACAAUAGUACGCCCGAGCGGCUAUAUUACAUUCUCAAAAAAAAUGGAGUAUAGCCGCGCGGCUAUACAAUUUAUGGGAAAAACCGCUUAACGCAUAGAGUAUAGCCGGUCAGAAACAUGAAUAAAACCGAGUAUAGCCGAAGGAACUAGUCUAGCGAUUGCGCACGUGUCGAAUAAUUAUAGCCGCCCGGCCAUACUAUUUUUUAACAAAAAUAAAAAAACCACCUAUAGCCGCCCGGCUGUCUUAUUUUAUAUAUAAAAAACAGGUAGGGCUCCCUAGCGAUUAGGUGCCUACGUGUCAAAACCAGUGUAGCCGUGCGGCUAUACUAUUUAUUAAAAAAUAUGAAAACAAAAAAAACCAACGUAGACCCUCGCGGCUAUACUAUUUUGUUAAAAUUUUAAAAUGGAGUCCAGCCGCCCGGCCAUACUAUUUAUGAAGGGAAAAAAAGGCAGCUGCAUUACGCCUAGUUGAUCACGUGUCAACAUAAGUACAGCCGUCCGGCUAUACUUUUUUUUUUUUUUUUCUAAAAAAAGAAAAAAAUUUAACGGGAGGGCUCCCUGGCCUUGCGGCUAUACAAUUUUUUUAAAAAAAUUUGUAGUAUAGCCCGUGAUUAGGUGCCCACGUGUGAAAGUGCUUGAGUUUGAUAUUUAAACUUGGAAUUGCAUGUUCUGUUGAAUCCCCUGCGAACCGAAAGGAUAUCAGUGAUGUUGCAUUUGAAUUACAUUCCAUCAGGGAUAUGCUUCUUGGUUAGAAACUUUUCCUACUUUCCUACUCUACAUAUCAAGGAAAGAACCAGUGGCGCCUGCUGCUUAAGGCUUGGUCAUCAUCUUUUUUUCCUUCUGUUUUUGAUGCUGUUUGUUCUUACAGUUUCUUGUGAGGCAUUUCACUGUGUUUGUUCAGCAUAUUAUUAUUAUUAUAUUCUACUUGUGUAGAUGAAAUUAUGAGGAAAUCCAGAAUCCAGAAUCCUCCUCCUCCUGUACACAGCAAAGUCCAAAACACAUUAUGUCAGGAUUUGAAGAACACAGCAAACUAAAGACUAGUCAGGGAAAAUAAAGGUCAACAAUCCUGAUUGGAAUUAAUAUGGACCCAGCUAUUCAAAAUCCUUAUUUGAAAACUCUAUCUUCUUUUUUUUAAUUUACUUAGGAAAGAUGACAUCAAGGAAAAUAUUUUGAAGCAUUUUCAAAUGGAACUUUUUCCAUUUACCUCAACUCUUUUUAUAUUACUUGGUUUCGGUUUUGAUGAUUUGCUAGCAGUAUUAGACACUACCAUCCAAUCAAAAUUCACUUCUAAUUGGGGAUUUUUAAUAUAAAUGGAGACAUUAAUAGACUUUUCAAGGGGCACCUACUGCAGCUGGCCCAAAAUAAUAGCAAAUAAGGUCUGGUUCCAUAUAGCAAGUGAUUCAGCAACUUCAAAGAUAAAAAGUGCAUAAGCAAAAACAUGUUUAAAUGCAGGAGAUGGAACAAAAUCAAGUGAAAUGGCCUGAGGUUGCAUGCACGGUGCACCCUAUUAGUUAGUAUUUCAGUACAAGAUCAUCAGACUAGGAAGGUUGAUUCACUAGUGACCUGCCACAUGACUGUGAAAACAGUGUAAUCCUAAUUCCACGCCAAUCAAAAGCUCAUUAUCUUUCAAUUUCGAACUAACGUAAGUCAGUUCCGGUACACCAAGAGGUACCCUUCCAGGAUGUGGCAUCCACGGGGAGGGGCCGGGGAGCUAGGCGGCGUCUGGGCGCCCGCCUAGGCUGGUCUAGGCGGCUCUAGGAAGGUCUAGGCGGGUAUGGGCGGGCGUUUUGCCUUUGAGGCGUGGACGAAGGGCGGUUGAAGUGCGCAGGAUCCCUGCUUGUUAGGAAGAAAGGCGGAGAGAGAGAGAGAGAGAUCGAGACAGAGAGAGGAAGGAGAAGGCGACACUGGGAAGAAGAAGAAAUCUGACCUAAUUUUUAUAUUUCAAACGUAUAGCCGCGCGGCUAUACUAUUAAUUUGAAGGAAAAAAACAGAGAGUAUAAAGGCGCGGCCAUAUUAUUUUUAUAUAUUAUAUUUGCAGCAUGCAAAUACAGAAAACUGAAAAGGAAAUCAACAACUUCCUUGCUUGCUUCAGCAAACAAAAUUUUGUGGCUCUUUGUGUCUAUUAGGAGCUUCAAGCUCACACGAACGUUGGAGGUUGCUGCCAUAUUGAACUAGUGAUGAGGAAGACAAAGGAACUAUACGGCUAUAUAUUCCUUAUAUAAUAAUUGUAUGCCAAUAUUAUUUUUGUAUUGCCGAAUUAUAGAUGUUAAUUGAAGCACUCAAACGUACGUUGCCUUUAUUAUUGCAGUGAAACUCAACAUUGGAACUUGGUCUUCAUCAACAUUCAUCUAGAGCUUGAUCUCUAUUCUCUUCUCUCACCCUUUGACGAAUUUAGGGAGCCACUUAGCAGACUCUUUGGGAAUGCGCGUGAGAUUGUUUUUGUAAUCAAUGUAGUAAAGCCCGAAUCUUAAGGUAUAUCCAUCAACCGAUUCAUAGUCAGCAGAGCCCAGUGGAAAUAUCCUUUCAAGUUCACUCCAUUAAUUCUUCAUUGCCCUGUUCAUCCAGAACAAAUGCCUCAGAUUAUUUUCAAUUCUAUGUGGAUCCUUCAGUGAAGCAUCAAGUCCAAGUUUAUUAUCCUUUGGCUCAGUAAUUCCAUUUUCAGUAAUGUAGGAUUCUGAUAAUUUUUAUUCAUGAACUCCAACAGUUUCUUCACACCUUGUGAAUAAAUAAUGUAGAGGAUCGAGUUUCCUUCAGCCUGAGGACCAAUAGGAUCUCCAUUUUUGUUUUCGAUCAGCAUUGAAGCUAAAGGAUCGUUGCGGUUGCAGAAGCUCUGUCUUCUGCGGAUUCUGAGUAAGGCUCAACAUACUGUCCUACAAGACUAAUUCCAAUUUGUCCACCUUGUUUCUCUUGAAACUUCUCUCUGUAAAGCUCAACAACAGUGGCAUGGGCUAGGAGAAGGUGAUGGCUCACAAUGUAAGGUUCAGUGGCUGAAUUGCCGGCGCUAUGCAUGGAAACCCUGCUGAAAUGGAACACCUUCCCGGCACAGCAAUUCCAAAGUCAUAUCCAAAUUUGGCAAUGAUCAACUUCUCGUUGAUUGUGAUCCAAUUUUUGACCCUAUCUCCGAAUGUUCUAAAACAGAUUUCUUCAAAGGGCCUAAGUACUUGUCUUCCAAACCUUGUGGUAGGUCAAAGUGCAAUAAGGUCACAUAGGGUGUGAUCCCAUUCUCGACUAAAUCAUCAAUAAGGCUGUUGUAGUGAUCAGUACAGCCGCGCGGCUGUACUGUUUGAAUAUAAUAUAUUGAAAACGUAUAGCCGCCCGGCUAUACAACUAAUUUAAGGGAAAAAAAUGGAGUAUAGCCGAAAGAGUAUAGCCGGCCGGCUAUACUCCUUCUCCAUCAGUUGAGAAGGAGCCUAGUAAUAGUUGCAACAUGCAAAGACAGAAAACUGAAAAGGAAAUCAACAACUUCCUUGCUUGCUUCAGCAAACAGAACUUUGUGGCUUUUUGUGUCAAUCAGAAUCUUCAAACUCACGCUAGCGCUGUUGGUGAUAGCCAUUGAGGGGAUAUUAAGGACAGACCUUCACAAAAAAAAGUAUCCUAAAUUCAAAAUUAUUCAAAAAUGGCAAUGGUGAACGGAUCAAGAAGGUGGAGGGUCACCUUGGACUCUGCAUCAUCAGUCGACCACAAAGCAACUCUACAUAUACAAAUCUGUCAUUACCUAUGCAUAGGGAAUAUAAUCUACAGAUGAGUGAAUACAUAUGUAUUUAUUUCCACACAAAAACUGUAAUCUUAAAUAGGUUUGAAAAAUCGACCUAUGCCUAGGCGCUCGGUAGGAGGACACCGCCACAAUUUCACCAUAAUCAUUAGGGGUAGGCGCCUGGGCGCGGCCUAGGCGGCUCUAGGCGGCCCUAGGCGGCUCUAGGCGGCUCUAGGCGGGUUUGGGCGGGAGUUUUGCCGUUGAGGCGUGGACGAAGGGCUGUUGAAGCGCGCAGGAUCCGCUGCUUGUUAGGAAGAAUGACGGAGAGAGAGAGAGAUCGAGACAGAGAGGAAGGAGAAGGCGACCUGGGAGGAAGAAGAUAUCUGACCUAAUUGUUAAUAUAACUAACGGGUUGGGUUUUGUAAAAUGGCCUUUAACAUUGUAUUAAAAUGGGCCUUUUUUUUUUUUUGCCGGGCUGCUAUAAACGAUUCAUUCAACAGCAAAAGAGUAAUACAUGACAUGAGUCUCAAAAACAUCUUGGAGUCACACAAGCUCAGAAGUUCUAGCAAAAGUCAGUUCAGCUACCUUAACAGAAGAAACUAUCCUCUGAAGGUGUAAGUUCAUCAAUUUACAACUGACUGAUUACCACAAAAAAACCUCCAAAAUAACAGUGUAAGACACUCUUUAUGAAUCCCUGAAUUUGCAUUUAUUUAGACGCACAGCAGUCAAACAAGCUCCAAAAUUCCAUUUCCAGAAUUGAUCAGGCGCAAAGUUGACAUGUUUACUCCUCUUUCUUCCCAAGGAAGACAUUGGUGAGAACUGCGUUAGACUCCAAUAAUGCCUUGAGCAAUUUCAGACCCUAAAAAAUUAAUGAAAAGAAAAUGAUCAUUUUGAACAAAAUAACAAUUCCUCCAACCAAAACAAAAAACAAAAGAAUAUAAUAGCAGCUCAACUGUGGAAAAUUAGCUUUGAUUAAAAGCCUAAAUGAUAAUGUAUGAUGGUUGUAUUGUCUGUUGAUCGAGAGUGUAGAGUAGAAAUCAAAGCAUAAAAAGUGUAUCUACUCUAUCCUUCCCAACUUGAAUCAAUUAAGAAAAGAAUAAAGCGUAUAUACAUGGAGAAGUAAACGAGAUUAUUAAGGACCUAUUUAUUUGUAGACCCACUACUUUGAGAAACUGAAACGUUUUUUAAUUGUCAUUUGGAUGAACCUUAUCCAAAUUAUACGUCUUUUAAUUGUCAUUUUGGGGGAAAUCCUCUUCUUUUUUGGGAUAGAUUAUUCAAUUAUCUUUAUGAGAUAACCUAGCAUGACAUUUCAUAUUUGUAUUCAUGGGUUCAGGAGAUGUUGCAGGAUAUUCAUUCUCGAACCUUGGGGGUGUUAGGAAAUAAGUUUGUAUAAUAUCAAUUAAUAUCAAUACUGUUGUAAUUAGGAUUUACUUUCCUAGUAGGUUUCCUAGAUUGGAGGACUUGUUUCCUUGUACACUAAUAAGACACUCUUGUAUAAAUCAAUUGUACCUAUCAAUUAUUAAUAAAUGGAUCAUCAUUUCAGUCUUGGGACAAUUGAAACUUCCAAUUUCCCAUUGCAGAGGGAAUGUAUAAACAGACAUGGAGAUUACCUCUGAUUCUUUUGUGUCUAGUUUAUGAGAUGUGGCGUCUGCAAGCACAUGCUUCUCAGCCUGAGAUGCCUGGACUAUAGGCAGCCAACUGAGCUUGUAGCCCUGAUAAACGAAAAUCAAGGAAAAAAAAUUGGGGAAAAGGAAGAGGAAAGAUGCCAGUAUAGCCGUGCGGCUAUACAAUAUAAAUAUAAUAUCGUAUAGCCGCACGGCUAUACUAUUUAUUAAAGAAAAAAGGGCCAAAAAGGACUAUACAAACUUUACAUUUCCUUCGCUGCCUAGCUCGCUUCACUGAAUCACGCUUCCCAUCAAAGUCUUCAAGUUCAAGGCCAAAAAAAGGGUGGGAAUUCCUUAUUUGAGCUCUCAUGGCGCCUCCCAAGAAAUCAAAGAAAAGCAGAAAUUGAAGAAAAACUUAAGCUUGGUUCCAGUCGAGCCUAAAGCCGCAGACUCUGACUGGUGGGAUACUUUCUUCAACCGAAGGUUUUUCUUUUCAAUAAGCUCAGUCUCCAAUUACUCUGCUUCCUUCUUUUUAGUGGAACGCAUUCAGAUUACUUGCAGUUUUAACUAAAUUAUCUUUAUGUUUUGUUUAUUUUGGAAAAUCUAUGAUGCACAGACAUCUAGAACAGGUGGUGGAUUUUGUUAUGUAAUGUUAAAUUCAGUAAUGAUGUUCGUAAUUAGAGCUCAAAACCUAUAAACUGUGCUUUUGUUCAGUUAGGCUGUUGGAAAAAUUGGCCUACGCGCUAGGCGGCCGCCUAGGCGGGUCUAGGCGGGUCCUUUUUUUUUUUUUUUUCUCUUGACUUUAGCUAAAUUAUGAACUCGCUUCAAUUUCUGAUGGCCACUAUAAGAAAAUUGGCGUUUGAUUAUGUGUUUUCCAUCCUAAAAACACAAAGAUGUGGUCGAAAAGUUAUUGCUAGAGAGAGCAAUAGAGAUUUUAGCCUGUAAAAGUAGUAUGUAAUUUAUAAAAGCUUUUUGUACUUUGUAUUUUGGUUUUUACCUAUAAUGACAAUUUAAUGCCUGAAUUUUCUGGUGGAUAUAUAUUGUCAGAUAGGAAAGCUGAAGAAGGGGCUUAAUCCAAUGUCCUUUGGAGACCUUGUGUUUGUGUCUCCUUAUCUGACAACAGCUUUCAAAACUGGAGUAUAGCUCUCGCCGUAAGUAAUUAACAUAAUUCUUUAGUUGCUGAUCUUGUUUAGGCCAGUUGAUAACGAGAAAGAACAUGUUGUAUUGCAAACUGUUCUUAAUUAUAACAAUUAAUGGAUUGAUGGGAACAAAGAAAUGAUUGCCAUUGGGAUGAUGAACAUUGCUGGUUCUUGCACUUCUUGUUACCUCACCACAGGUUAAUCACUCAUCGUACACAUUUAAUACUAAUUAAAUUAAGGGGUUUAAUCUUAAUUAGAUUCAUUUUAUGUUGCUAAUUAAGCGGAAUUUUUUCAUCAAUUUUCAGGGCCGUUUUCCAUAUCAGCAGUUAAAUACAACGCAGGAUGCAAGACGGCAAUGUCAAACGUUGUCAUGGCAAUUGCGGUUAUGUUCACAUUGUUGUUCCUCACUCCUCUAUUCCAUUACACUCCCCUGGUUGUGCUGUCUGCUAUUAUAAUAGCCGCCAUGCUCGGCCUCAUAGACUAUGAAGCCGCAAUUCACCUCUAGAAGGUUGACACGUUUGACUUUGUUGUCUGCAUGAGUGCCUAUAUCGGUGUCGUUUUUCACAGCGUUGAAAUCGGCCUAGUCUUAGCGGUACGUACGACUAUAUGUCACACCAGUAAAAAAUUAUUGUGUGUGACAAUAACACCAUAUCAACAACUUAACAUCACUUCUUAGAACUAAUGUUUCUUUUUUCUUGUGUGUAGGUUGCAAUAUCUGUUACCUCACCACAGGUUCAUCACUCAUCGUACACAUUUAAUACUAAUUAAAUUAAAGGUUUAAUUAGAUGCAUUUCAUGUUGCUAAUUAAGCGAAAAAAUUUCAUCAAUUUUCAGGGCCGUUUUCCAGAUCAGCAGUUAACUACAAUGCAGGAUGCAAGACGGCAAUGUCAAACGUUGUCAUGGCAAUUGUGGUUAUGUUCACAUUGUUGUUCCUCACUCCUCUGUUCCAUUACACUGCCCUGGUUGUGCUGUCUGCUAUUAUAAUACCCGCCAUGCUUGGCCUCAUAGACUAUGAAGCCGCAAUUCACCUCUGGAAGGUUGACACAUUUGACUUUGUUGUCUACAUGAGUGCCUGUAUUGGCGUCGUUUUUUGGCAGCGUUGAAAUCAGCCUAGUCUUAGCGGUAUGUACAUAUGUCACACCAGUAAAAAAUUAUUGUGCGACAAUAACACCAUAUCAACAACUUAACAUUACUUACUAGAACUAAUAUUUCUUCUUUCUUGUGUGUAGGUUGCAAUAUCUGUGAUCAGGGUACUUUUGUUUGUGGCAAGGCCAAGGACUUUUGUUCAAGGAAACCUUCCGAAUUCCAUGGUUUACAGAAAUGUUGAGCAGUAUCCCAAUGCAAGCAAUGUUCAUGGAAUUCUCAUACUUGAGAUUGAUGCUCCCAUUUACUUUGCAAAUACCAACUACUUAAGAAAAAGGUACUAAUUAAUUAAACCUGAACACACUCUUGCAUGUUAUAAUCAAAUUUAAAAAUAAUAAUUUGAAAGUUGACCCAAAGUCCUACUUGUUUUCAGGAUUACAAGGUGGAUAAAUGAUGAGGAAGAUAGGAUCAAAUCUGCAGGGGAAAGUAGCUUACAAUGUGUGAUAUUGGAUAUAACUGGUAAUUAAGGGAAACAAAUAGUGCAUAUAUAUAUAUAUAUAUAAAGAAAAUUAAUGUGACAUUUUUUACCCCGAAAUUAAUUUGUUUUCUGGUUUAAUUUGCAGCUGUUGGUAACAUAGACACAAGUGGGAUAAGCAUGUUUGAAGAGGUCAAAAAGCUUGUUGACAGAAGGAGUUUCCAGGUUCAAAAAUCUGCAACAGUCCCUUUCAAUUUAUCAAGUUUAGCUUGUACUGGCGAACCCAGGAAGCGAGGUGAUGAAGAAGAUGAACAAGUCAGAGUUGAUUGAGAAAACAUGUCAAGAAUGGAUUUAUCUCACAGUUGCAGAGGCUGUUGCAGCAUGCAACUUCAGGCUUCACUCCACUAAGCCCAACCCUGGAAAAUAUCAAGAACCAGCUGCAUGGAACAACGUUUGAUGGCUUUGACUGGCUACAAUGUGAAUUUAUGUAUCAGAAAGCAAUAUCCACAUAAAUAUGAAGACUCAUUUGAAUUAGGGAGAAAUGAUUGUUGCGAUGGCGGAUGAGUUUUCUUCAACCUCCAUCAGUACAAAAUUGGCUUCCUUAUUUGUUCUGGAUCAACGAUAAAGCUGAAUGAUUGUUGCGAUGGCAGAUGAGUUUUCUUGAGAUAUAAUGAAUGAAACCAAUUGAAUCAAUGGACCAAAGUUUACAUGAUCCAAAGUAAUAGAAUAGAAAUCCCAAUCCACAAACCAAAAUGAAACCCCAAAAGCUCAAUGUCGCUAGAGGACCAAAGUUGAAAAGUUUGUGCGGUUUCUUUCCAAGGAAGACAUUAGUAAGAGCGGUAUUUGACUCCAACGAUGCCUUCACCAACCUCAAACCCUACAAGAGAGAGAAACAUACACGUAAGACAUUUAGCACUCUAAAUAGAUCAACAAGCCACUGAUAAAGAGUUAGAGAAAUGUAUAGGACAAUAAACCUCUUUCAUGCCAAGAUCAACCUCCUUAACUUGAAGAGCAUCAAUCCCUUUCACAUUGAACUUUUGAAGCACUGCAACACUUGAUUCGGUGGUCAUUGGCUUCACUUCCAAAUUAUCCAUUAUCAUGUAAAUGACACCACCCUUGACAUAGCCUGCCUUAAUAUUGCUGGAGGUUGCUCCAGUAGGAGCAGAUGGCGAAACAUAAGACACCGGGGUGGAAAUGUUACAUGAUCUGCACUGUGGACAAGGAAUUUCAUAGCUCUCAGAAAUACGGUUACUGCACCUCACACAAAUGUAGAACAAUUUAGAAAGAUUCGAAUCAUUGUUGGUCGGCAAUGGCAAUUGAAGGAUGUUGGCCGCAGAAAUUGUUGUUUUGGGUUUGAGCAGGGUGUCCUUAAGAUUGAGUGGCAAGUAUGAAUUGACACUAAGACUUUCGGCACUCUGGUAAAGGUUGCCUAAGCAACCAACCAUACCAUCAGUUGAGAGGAGCCUAGUAACAGUUGCAACAUGCAAAGACAGAAAACUGAAAAGGAAAUCAACAACUUCCUUGCUUGCUUCAGCAAACAGAACUUUGUGGCUUUUUGUGUCAAUCAGAAGCUUCAAACUCACGCUAGUGCUGUUGGUGGUAGCCAUUGAGGGGAUAUUAAGGACAGAGAAGAAGGAGCAUGUGCUUAAGCCUUCAAAAAAGACCUAUUUAUAAGCUUCACAAAAAAAGUAUCCUAAAUUCAAAAUUAUUCAAAAUGGCAAUGGUGAAUGGAUCAAGAAGGUGGAGGGUCACCUUGGAGUCUGCAUCAACAGUCGACCACAAAGCAACUCUACAUAUACAAAUCUGUCAUUACCUAUACAUAUGGAAUAUAAGCUACAGAUGAGUGAAUAAAUAUGCAUUUAUUUCCACUAGUUUGCAUUCAUUAACUAAACCAACAGCCAGAUUUACAAUUCGUUUUGUUUUGUGUUUGCUUUUUCAUAUUAGUUGUAUUGUAUCUUCAGACUUCACUAGUUUAGAGGCAAAAGACAGUGAAAAAGCCAACUAACAGGUCUAUGCUCCCUUCAGCAAACAGAAUUUUGUGGCUUUUUUACGUGGACUAGGAGUUUCACCUUAUUUUUGGUGAUUGCCAUUGAUGACGUCAAGAAGACUGAUCCAUAAUUACAUGGACGAGUUUAUUCUUUGGAAUGGAUGAUGAACUUCAUAGAUCAAGUAAGAGGAGAGAAAUUUGAUAGAUAAAGAGAGAGAAGAUAAUAGAUCACUAAAACAUGUAAUUUUGUCACACGUAUGCGUGAGUAUGGAUUAAUCUGGUGUGAAAAAUAGGAGGAGCUGUAAUGCAAGGCAUCAAAAAGCUUUUAUAAGCUUGCAAACUGCCACUUUAGAAACAAAACUACAUUUGAUGUGUUUGGAAAUUGAAGUAAGAAUUUGUGUGACGUGACAAGGGUUUGAGUUGCAAGGUGUCCGUGUUAGUUAACCAUAGGUUUCAUGCAAAUGCUAACCACCAAUAUGCAAAGACAGAAGAGUGAAAAGAAAAUCAACAACUUAUUUGCUUGCUUGUAACUCUUUGUGCAAAGAGGACAGAGAACUGCCCAAAUGGAAAAAAAACAGAGUAACUGUUAUAAAAGUUGGUCUCCUGCCAACUGGUUUGAGAUUUGAUCAUGCCGAAAAGAAACUAAGAAAUGGAGGCCCAAAACAUAAAAUCAACAGAAAAACCAAAAGCAAAACAGUGCAAAUGCCUUAGAGAAUCAGUGCUUCAUAAAGUCCACAUUUAUCCCUGCGGAGCAGUGUAGAUGAGCAAGUUUACUUCAGCCGCACGAUCGGUUCUCCUUGUUCAUUUUUGUAUCAACGACGGUGCAGAAGGAUCACUGGGAAAGCAGAUUGGUUUCCUCGGACUUGUUGGGUCGUUUUUACCAUAUCUUGCGGUAUAAUAUUUGUUACCAAUAAGAUCAGAGGGCCAAAGUUGAAAUAAUCCAAUGUAAGCCAAUACAGUCAAUGUCAAUCCACAAACUAAAAUGAACCUCCAAAAGCUCAAUUUCUUUAGAGGACCAAAGUUGAAACCUUCAUGCACUUUAUUACCAAGGAAAACAUUUUUAAGAGCGGUUUUUCACUCCAAUGAUGCCUUCACCAAUUUCAAACCUUAAGAAGCAAAAGCAAAAACAAAAUAUGUAGUAUCAAUCAAUAGACACAGAUAGAGAACACUAUUUAUUGUAAACAAAACAAAUUUUACAAAAGCGUCAACCGUCUUAAAGUUCAACGUUUUAAGCAAUGUGAUACUUGAUACAGUAGACAUAGGCUUCACUUCCAAAUCAUCCAUUAUCAUGUACAUAAUGUCGUAUCUGCUCUUAAUAUUGCCAGUCGUCACUCCAGUAGGUUCUGGUGGAGGAGCAACAUAAAACACCUGGGUGGAUAUUUUGAGUGAAAUGCACGUUGGACAAGUUGUUACAGGACUAUCAGAAAUAUGGCGCUUGCAAUUUGCACAGAGGUAGAACCGUUUAGGCGCAUUCGAGUCAUUGUUGGCUGGCAAAUGAAGGAUGUUAGCGCCAGAAAUUGUUGUCUUGGGUUUCAGCAGGUAGUCUUUGUUAAGAUUGGGUUGCAUGUAUGUGUCACUGAGAUUUUCAAGGCUCUUGUAAAGUUUGCCUAAGCAACCAACCAUGCCACCAUUAGAGAGGAGGAGCCUAGUCACAGUUGCAACAUGCAAGGACAGAAGAGUGAAGAGAAAAUUCACAACUUCCUUGAUUGCUUCAGCAAACAGAACUUUGUUGCUUUUUUGUGUCAAUCAGGAGCUUCAAACUCACAGUAGCGCUGUUGGUGGUAGCCAUUCAGGCAAUAUUGAGGACAGAGAAGAGCAGCAUAUGCUUAAGCGUUUAAAAAAAGACCCAUUUAUAGGCUUGGAUGGAAUGGUGAAUGGAUCAUGAAGUAGGAGGGUCACCUUGGACCCUGCAUCAGUCGACCACAAAGCCAACUCUACAGGUACAAAUCUGUCAUUACCUAUAUAUAGGGAAUAUAGUUUACAGAUGGGUGUAUAAAUGUGUCUUUAUUACCAAUAUAACAUUUCCAUCAACUAGGCUACAUUUCCAAUUUCUUUUUGUCAUCUCAAGGGUCGCCUUAUAGUUCUGGUGAAGCAAUAUACUUCUUGCGGGACUAUAGUUCCUCUGCAGCGUGGACAAAUAGCUUAGGGUUGUCUGAGACAUAUCAGCAACUGGUCGCACAACAGAACUGUUCGGCGGGCCUUUGGAUCAUCGUUGGUCAAAAUCCGAAGGACAUUAGCUCCAGCAGAAAGUGUCGUAGGUUUCAGCAAGGCCUCGUCCUUGUUAGUAGCAGGUUGUAGUAUGUGUCACUGAGAUUUUCAAUGCUCUUGUAAAGUUUGACUAAGCUUCCACCCAUGUCAUUUUGACUAAGCUUCCACCCAUGUCAUCCACGAGUUUAGUGGCAAUGCCUAGAGGCAAAAGACAAGACUAAAAAGCAAAUCCACAAAAGUGCUUUACCCCUUCAGCAAACAGAACUUCGUGGCCAUUUUACAUGUACUUAAUUUUUAGUAUUUCAGUACAAGAUCAUCAUACUAGGAAGGUUGAUUCACUAGUGACCUGCCACAUGACUCUGAAAACAGUGUAAUCCUAAUUCCACGCCAACCAAAAGCUCAUUAUCUUUCAAUUUCGAACCAACUUAAGUCGGUUCCGGUAAACCAAGAGGUACCCUUCCAGGAUGUGGCAUCCAGGGUUCGGCGCCAGGGAGCUAGGCGGGGUCUGGGCGCCCGCCUAGGCGGCUCUAGGAAGGUCUAGGCGGCUCUUGGAGGCCCUAGGCGGGUCUAGCCGGCCCUAGGCGGCUCUAGGCGGGUCUAGGCGUCCCUAGGCGGGUCUAGGCGGCCCUAGGCGGCUCUAGGAAGGGCUAGGCGGCUCUAGGCGGGUCUGGGCGGGCUUUUUGCCGUUGACGCGUGGACGAAGGGCGGUUGAAGUGCGCAGCAUCCUCUGCUUGUUAGUAAGAAAGACGGAGAGAGAGAGAGAGAGAGAGAUCGAGACAGAGAGAGGAAGGAGAAGAUGACGCUGGGAAGAAGAAGAUAUCUGACCUAAUUUUUAUAUUUGAAAAGUAUAGCCGCGCGGCUAUACUACUCGGCUAUACUACUAAUUUGAAGAAAAAAAACACUUAGUAUAACGGCCCGGCCAUACUAUUUUUAUAUAUUAUAUUUGAACAGUAUAGCCGACUGGCUAUACUAUUCAUUGGAAUAAAAAAAAUUUAAUGGGAUUAUUGCCACUCGGCUAUACUAUUAAUUUCAGGGAAAAAAAAUUUAAAAAAUGGAGUAUAACCGCUCGGCUGUACUCUUUUAAUAUGGGUUUUCGAAAAAAGGGCAAAUGCCAUGGAUAUUGUGAAAAAAAAAGAAGCCAUGUGUGUGGUGGUGGUGGUGGUGGUGGUGAUUUCAACUCUCGGUAGUCGGUAUAGAUAUGUAAUUAUGAAGAUCAAUUAAUUUGAUGUUGCUCGAGAAUUGUCGUUCCCAAGUGAUGACAUCAUUGCUUUUUCAAGAGAGAAGAUGAAAGCAGAAGAAUCUUAUCUCUUUGUAUUAGUUUGACGUCUAAUACGUACCCAAUCCAAUUCAUUCAGCCAAUUAAUAUUGUAAAACAAAGGAUACGUCAUCCAUAUUCAAAAACAAACAUUCCAAAAGAAGCUUCAAAAUGUCAACUUGAAAUGCUGCUUAAAGGAACACAUUCGUCAUAACUGCAUGCAUUUGACUGCAACGAUAGCUUUCAACAAUUUCAAACCCUAACAAGGAAAUUAAACAAAAAUGCUCUUCAUCAUAAAUUCUUAUAGAACAUCAAGUGCAAUAUUUGAAUAUAUAGAAUGGUAAUUUAUCACGUUAGAAAAAAUUAAUAAACACAAACCUUAUCCUUAUCGAGAGGAACCACAAUCUCUUCAAGUGAACGAACAUCACUAACAUCGAAGUUUUUAAUCAGAGCGAUACUUGAAAUGGCAGGCAUAGGCUUCACUUCCGUAUCAUCCGUUAUCAUGUAAGUCACAGAUACCUUGUUUGGAUUGUGUUAGAUAGGGAAAAUCUGUAUUUGGUGACUUGCAACAGAUACCUUGGAAAAUUGGGUUGAAUUCAAACCACACUCAAACCAUUUUGAGUAAAUUUUUUGUGGGUUACCUGGCAGGUGGAUGGUUCAGUUAUGACUAAACUUGUCUUGGUGAUCUAAGUUAACAUUUACAUUUAAACCAAUUGGACGAAUUCUGCAUUGUUAAAGGUUUUGAACAAAUUAUAUACGGCAGCAAUAAGGGAACAUAUUUUUAUGAGACGGUAGAGGUUGGCGCUAUAGUAUAUUACAAUCGAACUAUUAUAUGUAGUUGUUGACAUUUCAAUUUAUUCAUGAAGUCUAAUUUUCAAUCCAUCAGUUUCAAAAGGUUCCUCUUUUGAUAGCAUUUGCUCUCUUGCUCUGCAGGCUGUCAUUCAAUUGAUAGGAGUCCUACUCGCAUUUCUAUUUACAUCAAAUGGGGAAGGUCCCAAUGUGAUUGCUAUUUCAUCUGUUGCUAUUGGUUCUAUUUCUUUGAUCACUGGGGAGUUAGGUAAGCUGUUACUAAUCUGCAGUUUUCUUUCAAGUCACUUCAGUUUUUGCAUCUGUAGUUAUACAACUUUUUAUUGUGCCAAAGGUCGAAGACGCAGCCGAGUGAGUUUGUUGAAAGUUUACAUUGUUGCAUCAUCUAUUGGAAUACUUCUCUCCAUUGCUUGUGUUGCUACAGGAAAUUUAACAUUAGAGGUAAGAUAGAUCUUUAUUACAACUGUUGAUUAUCACUUAGAAAUUUGAAUCAUUUGUCCUUUCUUGUUUUUGUCGGAAUUUGCUGAUUGUUGUCUUGUAUGAAAUUACUGAGUAGGUUUUCCAAAAUCCAAGUAACUGGGAAACAAAGAAGUUCACUAAAGAAAUUAUAAAAAAAUUACUAUUUAUAAUUUAUGAAGUUAAUUAAAACAUGGCAAUACUAAUUAUUCACUAAAGAAAUAAUCAUUAAAAUAUAAUUGCUAAUGAAAGUAAUUAAAUAAGGUUAACCGAUUAUUCAAUUAAUAAAAAGAAACAAUAGCUUUACUCAUGAAAAAAACAAAACAACCCUAGUAAAGCCAACCGGCUAGACAAUUUUUUUAAAAGAUUAAAAUCGCGUAUAGCCGUUCGGCUGUACUAUAAGGAAAAAAAGUGCAGUGGCACAGCGCGGAGUUGCUCACGUGUCAAAAAUGGUAUAGCCGUACGGCUAUACUAUUUUUGGAAACAUAAAAUACAGCCGAGUAUAGCCGUCCGGCUAUACUACUCAUCUAAAAAAAACAAAAGACCACGUCUGGCGAUUAGGCGCCCACGUGUCAAAGUUAGUAUAGCCGCCCGGCUAGACUAUUUUGUAAAAAUUUUAAAACCCGUGUAUAGCCGCGCGGCUAUACUAUUUUUUUUUUUCCCUUAGCAAUUAGGUGCCGCGUGUCAAAACAACCUUGGCAUACAAAGAAAUUUUUUUCAACCCUAUCUUCUAAACAAACUGAGCAUGCAUUUUUUGGAUCAGUCUGAUCAUCCCCAUCCACACUAACCAACUCCUGUAGUAUCCAAAAUUUGUCCUUACUGCAAAGGGCAGAAUCACGCUUCAACCUCGCAGCAAUUGUGCCAAGAAGGUCAAUCGCCCUGGUACGAGCACCUAUGUCUUUAGAUUUCAGCCCGGCAUUCUGGAGUAACAAGACACAAAGAACCUGCAAAUAAAUCGACCUCAAAAUGGUGACAUUUUAAUACAAUUAAAGAUAUUACAGUCUACACAAGUCACACAUAUAUUUUACCUGCAGAAUAGGAGCUGAAGCGGGAUAUUCAGGUAAAUUCAACGUUGUCAGCAGAACAGUAACAAGAUUCUCCAUCAUUACUUUCAACUCCGAAGCUUCCUGAGUCUUCACACUAGCAAAACGUUGAAGUACACGAGUCCAAAAGUGGCAACACGCCUCUGUUGCUGCCUCAUGGCCUUUAGUUGGAUAAUCGGCAUCGAGAGAAAAUUCUAAGAUGAAAUUACCACUUGAUUCCUGCCUUCAUGGUUCAGGAAGGUUAGCAGUAUAGUGAACCAACUGAAUGAACUAAGCAGUGAUCAUUUGAAUCUGCCUUUGCUCUUCAUCAGGUAGGUGAUAGGCUCUCAAAGCUCGCUUUGAGAACAGUAACUUCCAAAGCAGCUGAAUUAAUUCAUCUAACAUAAGUCCGAUGCUGAGUGUAUGAAUAGAAUAUCUGUACCACCAACAAUGAAGACGCUACAAGUUUCAGAGUAAAUAACAUUAAAAUGCAUAUGUGCAUGAAAAUAUGUACAGGUAAGUGCAAACAAUAGCUGCCAAGAGGAUAUGAAUAGUGCAGAUCUGUACCCCACUGAGUAAAUAACAUGAAUGUUGUAAAGCUUGUUUUCACUAGUUGUAAGAUGCAACCAUCUGACAACCUUUCUAUUAAAAACAAAUCCUUGAGUAAACCAAGAAUGGUGCACAUUUUCUGAAGAAUAUUAUUCACAGCAGCGGCGACCCUGCCAAGGCAAAGAUGUGAGGAACAAGACAACACCUAAGUUUUUUUAAUAUAAGGAUCUAGUACCAAAAAAGCCAACAACAUAGGAGCAGAAUAUAGAUAAGCACACCUGUUAAAUGACGAUUUAUGCACUUUAACGGUCUUGAUACUGUGUCGUUUCUUACUUGCUGAACCAAUUUCAGCAUCAGGGUCUUCAUCUUCCUCAACUGUUAAUAUAUUGAAAAAUAUUGUCACUCAAAUCACAUAAGUUGAAAACAACUACUCCUGAAAAUGCAGAAUGAUUGAGCAAGACAAUACACAGAAUGGACAGAGUUGUGUAUACAGAAUAAUAUGUUAAAAUACGUAUGAAAAACUCAGGAACAUAUGACUUGGCCUAUGCAAAGCAUGAUAUGAUGGAUCAUAAGCACACAUAACAUCCAUUAUCUGAUGCCUGGAAAACUCCAGAAUUCUUUCAAUGAUCUGAUAUACACAAAUUAGAAUUACUUACCUUUUUUAUAAUCAUAAAAAAAUAAAUCACAAGAUACGAAGUUACACAUAUAACGGAUAUCCACAAAAAGUAGAGAGAUCCUUAGCAUAAAGUGUGUACCUCUUCUUUAUAUAGUUGUUUUGGCAUCUGGUUAUGAGCCAUUACUGCUAAAGCUGCAUGAAUGGACUCUAGUGCACAAUUUAUUGAUGAAACCACAUCUCAAUUUGACUCACAUAUUGAAGAGAAAAGUAAUAAAUGAAAGUGAUCAUGAAUACCUAUUAAAAUAAAAACUCCAAAUAUAUAUGUAUAUAGAAUUGAGCGCAUAAAUUUUAACCACAACGAAAAUACUGAAUAACAAGUUUAUAAAUUAAACUAGUGUUAUAACCACUGCCAAAUGAGUGAAAUUAUUUCUCUAAAUUUCUUCCUCCCCCUCUUUCCUGAUUAUUCCCAUUAUUACUCUGACCAUUUAUCACUCCCCAAAACUGUUCCCAUUGCUCUCUCCAGUCUCCAUUACUACCAAAUGAAAUUUAUACAUAAUAAGUAGUCUCCUCCAAAUGCUCAGAUGCUUAAUACAUUCUCUAUACUGAAAAACAUUUUUUUUCUCCGUAAUUAUUUUUAUCUCCCUAAUAUUUCUGCCCCAAUAUGGUGAUAAAUAGGAAAACAUAGGGUCAGACAAACAAUGAUUCAGAUAACAUGACCAUUAUAAGAUGAAAUUUAAAACAAUCAAUAUAUUGCAAGGCACCUCAGUAACAUCAUUACUAGCAUGGAGAUUCUAAAAUCAGACCCCCCAAAAAAAAAUCAUGGAGAAGCAAAACUAAAAAUAGCACAAAAUUUCAAUGAAAAUAUAAACAAGAAGAACAGCACAAAAGCCUGAAGAAAUGUAGUUUACGAAGCAAACGACCACAACAGCUAUGCUAUAUGAAAGAAAGAAUGCAGGACAUAAAACAAGCUCACCUGCUCACAUUCACUUAUAGACAAGCCUUCAGCUCGAUGUAUCUGAUGAUCUAAAAUCCUUCACAAUCUAACAAAAGAAUCUACAGGGACCAAAUGUAGAAGCCCCUUUGCUCGAAGAGACAUUAUUUCAUUUGCAAGCACUCUAAGAUCAGAAAGAGGCAUAGAUAACCACUCAGCUUCUUCCCGAUCAUCACUGAAAAUUUCAGCUCUACUCUACCGCAGAAAUCCUCCACCGACUCUGGCGUCUAACUAAGAUUUUGCAAAAUAAGUCACUCACAUGAAUACUGAAAAUUAAAAUGUGAGAUCACGCUUGAGAGGGGAGAGAGAGAGAGAGAGAGAGAGAGAGAGAGAGAGAGAGAGUUCUAAAACCCAAUAACAACCUUGAAUUGCACUCUGAUCUGGUCCGACUGAUGACAUAACGACAUCACUAUCUUUUUUCUUGGCUUUUGGUUUUCUAGAAGACGGUGUAGAUACGUCCUGCAAUUUCAUCUUCUAGAUUAGGAAACAAGGAGGGGGGAAAAUGAUUAUCAACUGCCAAAUAGAUCCACACAUACAUUAGGAGGAAUAUCAUUGAGCUGAUUAUGGUUAGUUGCACCCAUAGUAUCUUUGACCAUGUCUGGGUAUAGCCGCGCGGCUAUACUAUUGUGUGAAACGUGUUAAAAAACCGAUUUGCCGCGCAGCUUUUUUUUUUUUUUUUUUUUUUUUUGUUGAAAGGACCCGUAUUGCGCUUAGGCGCCCACAUGUCAAAAUAGGUAUAGCCCGGCUAUACUAUUUUUUAAAAAAAUUUAAAAACCGAGUAUCGCCGACCGGCUAUACCAUUUUGUUUUAAAAAGGGAGGGCUCCCUAGCGAUUAGCCGCCUACGUGUCAAAACAAGUGCAGCCGUCCGGCUACAGUAUUUUAAAAAAAAAAAUUAAACAAAAAACAAUAGUACGGCCGCACAGCUAUACUAUAUCCUCCAAAAAACUUUUUAAAAUGUAGUAUAGCCGUGCGGCGAUACUAUUUCAGUUGUACCUGCCAAAAGAGUAUAGCCACGCGGCUAUACUAUUGUCAGAAACAUGAAUAAAACCGAGUAUCACAGAGAUUGCAGACUUACUUCUUCAAGAAGGCAGCAUCGAAUCUCCCGAACAAUACAUCAUUAAGGCUCAAAGAGUGGAGGAGUGCUUGAGUUUGAUAUUUAAACUUGGAAUUGCAUGUUCUGCUGAAUCCCCCGCGAACCGAAAGGAUAUCAGUGAUGUUGCAUGUGAAUUACAUUCCAUCAGGGAUAUGCUUCUUGGUUAGAAACUUUUCCUACUUUCCUACUCUACAUAUCAAGGAAAGAAUCAGUGGCGCCUGCUGCUCAAGGCUUGGUCAUCACUUUUUUUUCUUCUGUUUUUUAUGCUGUUUGUUCUUACAGUUUCUUGUGAGGAAUUUCACUGUGUUUGUUCAGCAUAUUAUUAUUAUAUUCUACUUGUGUAGAUGAAAUUAUGAGGAAAUCCAGAAUCCUUGCAACCAUGUGAGAGCUGAGCUGCCUAUUGGCCAAGUUGAUGAACCCGACUUGUGUUAGUUUGGACCACAUUUCAAUUCAUGAAAAUAACAUUAUGAUUGGCAGCCAAUAGUGGUUUUUUCAUGUCGAUCCUAAUCUUCGUAAAUUAUUGGGAUUUUGUUUUCUUGCAAUCAAGGUUUUUGAUGAUAUCAUCUUGGCACAAUGUAGGUAUUCUUGUUCCCUAUCUUUUCACCAUGAUGGAAAAUGUGCUCUUUCUAGCAAAUAAGAAAACCGAGAGUUGGGGACCUUGACCACACCCAUCCUCAAUUUUUUAUAAACAACUAAGUAGCAUGUCACCAUCUCAUAUAAGUUCUUUGGUUUCACACCAUCUUCUCUCUCUUUCACUCCUUAGUUACCAGUUACCUGUUGGGUUCUUAUAAUGUAACUAGAUUUUAUUUCUUAUAGCCUUAGGUGGUGAUCAAAGUCAAGAAUGGGAGCUGGCCUAAUGCGUUUUGUUUAGAGGUGUUUACUUUGACGUACGUUUCAGCGCACGGAUUUAAUUGGUACCAGCCUAGUGGGGCUGUUCUACUUCCACUCAGCUUCUGGUGAAGCACUGACUUUGCUGUCUUAGCUGCCCAGAAACUUCUCCCACCCACAACAGUUGUGACCAAUUGGAAAACAAGUCCACUGUGAUCCUCAUUUUCUUGGGACUUUUUUCUCAUAUAAUAAUAUUUUACUAAUUUUCCACAACCAUUAGCUGUGAUGUAGCUUCUUCCAUUCCUGUCGUAAUAAAUUAAUUUGCCAUGUCUCAAAUGGAACUUAGCAAUUUCACAACCCAAUUCUUCUUCUUCUUCUUCUUCUUCUCUCUCUCUCUCUCUCUCUCUCUCUCUCUCUCUCUCUCUCUCUCUCUCUCUCUCUCUCUUGUUAAUCACCCAAAUCAAAAUGGUUGUUAAAUUGAUCUUAGCACACUCACUAUUUACUGCAAUGUUCAUUUGUUGUUGGAGCUCCAUGCAUUUGAACUAUCCCAUAACCACAAACCGGUACAGAUUGGGACUUGGAGGAAAUGAGAGGAUAGGCUGGCACUGCUAGCCAUCAUAGCUCAAAUAAAGCAGGAUCCUCAUCAACUCUUGAGCUCCUGGAAUGAAUCCAUCCACUUUUGUCUAUGGCACGGUGUCACUUGCAGUCGUCGACAGCAUCAGAGGGUCUCUAUGCUAGACCUACAGUCCCAAAACUUGGCAGGAUCCAUAUCCCCACAUAUAGGAAAUCUGAGCUUCCUAAGGGAACUAUACCUCCAAAACAACAGCUUUACUCAUGAAAUCCCUUCAGAAAUUGGGCAUUUGCAUAGGUUAAAGAUUUUACGUCUAGACCAAAACUUACUUAGUGGCCCUGUUCCUGCCAAAAUAUCCAAUUGCAUCAACCUCAUCUUUAUCCAUUUUGGUGAUAACAGGUUGGUGGGUAAGAUUCCUUCAGAAAUCUGCACCUUGUCAAAGCUUCAAAAACUUGUUUUACAAUCCAAUAAUUUCACAGGAGAAAUCCCUCCUUCCUUGGGUAACCUUUCGUCUCUCGAGAUACUUGGUGCUACUUAUAAUAACUUGUUGGGAAGCAUCCCUACCUCUCUAGGCCAGUUGAAAAAAUUAACAAGGUUUGCAAUGGAUUCAAAUAACUUGUCAGGUACUAUCCCUCCUUCCUUCUAUAACCUCUCUGCUCUCGUUAUUUUUUCCCUAGCAAUAAAUCAAUUUCAAGGGAGUAUUCCUUCGGACUUGGCUAAAACUCUUCCUAAUCUUCAAACAUUUGAAUUUCACACGAACCAGUUUACGGGAUCAAUUCCUUCAUCAAUAUCCAAUGCCACAAGUCUAGUGGCAUUUGAAGUUUCAAAUAACAAACUGACUGGACAGGUUCCAAAUUUGGAAAGGCUUCAUAACCUUGUGAAUUUUAACAUCCAAUUUAAUCAUCUUGGAAGCGGUCAACAUGGUGACUUGAGAUUUGUCUCAGAUUUGUGCAAUGCCACAAGGUUAAACAAUUUUGGCGGGACAUUACCCGCUUCAAUAGCCAACCUCUCAACCACGCUUGAAGUUCUUGUGGUUCAAAGAAACAAGCUACAUGGAAGCAUACCAGCUGGGAUAGGGAAUCUGGUCAACUUGGAAUUCUUGGCUCUUGGGGAAAAUUCCUUCACAGGUAGCAUCCCCACAGACUUUGGGAAGCUUUCAAUGGUUGAGGAAAUAGAUCUUCAAGUCAACCAGUUAUCAGGAACCAUUCCAUCUUCUUUUGGAAACUUAACCAAGUUAUCCGCACUGGGAAUGCAAGGGAAUAAUCUUCAGGGAAGCAUCGGGGUGCUAGGGGGUUGCCUUGGACUGCAACAAAUGUAUGCUUCUCAAAAUAACUUUAGUGGCCCAAUACCUCAACAACUUCUUGGCCUCCCUUCCUUAUCAAUCUAUUUGGACUUGUCUAAAAACCACUUUACUGGUUCCCUUCCCAUGGAGGUUGGGAAGUUGAACAAUCUAGGUGCAUUGGAUGUUUCUGAUAACUUGUUAUCAGGAGAACUUCCCAAUAGCCUUGGUAGUUGUAUACAUCUAGAAGUCCUACACUUGCAGGGUAGUGGAGAUGUCUACAGCUUUGGCAUUCUCUUGUUAGAGAUGUUUACGGGAAGGAGACCCACUGACCACAUGUUUAGUGAUGGCUUGAACCUUCAUAAUUUUGUGAAGACGGCUUUUCCCGAUCGAGUCACAGAGAUUGCAGAUUUACUUCUUCAAGAAGGCAGCAUCGAAUCUCCCGAACAAGACAGCAUUAAGGCUCAAAGAGUAACUUGGAAUUGCAUGUUCUGUUGAAUCCCCUGCGAACCGAAAGGAUAUCAGUGAUGUUGCAUCUGAAUUACAAAUUCAUUCCAUCAGGGAUAUGCUUCUUGGUUAGAAACUUUUCCUACUUUCCUACUCUACAUAUCAAGGAAAGAAUCAGUGGCGCCUGCUGCUUAAGGCUUGGUCAUCUUUUUUGUUUUUUCUUCUGUUUUUUAUGUUGUUUGUUCUUACAGUUUCUUGUGAGGGAUUUCACUGUGUUUGUUCAGCAUAUUAUUAUUAUUAUAUUCUACUAAAUUAUGAGGAAAUCCAGAAUCCUUGCAACCAUGUGAGAGCUGAGCUGCCUAUUGGCCAAGUUGAUGAACCCGACUUGUGUUAGUUUGGACCACAUUUCAAUUCAUGAAAAUAACAUUAUGAUUGGCAGCCAAUAUAGUGGUUUUUUCAUGUCGAUCCUAAUAUUUGUAAAUUAUUGGGAUUUUGUUUUCUUGCAAUCAAAGGUUUUUGAUGAUAUCAUCUUGGCAAAAAUUAGGUAUUCUUGUUCCCUAUCUUUUCACCAUGAUGGAAAAUGUGCUCUUUCAAUCAAAUAAGACAACCGAGAGUUGGAGACCUUGACCAUACCCAUCCUCAAUUUUUUUCAUAAACAACUAAGCAGCAUGUCACCAUCUCAUAAAAGUUUUUUGGUUUCACACCAUCUUCUCCCUUUCACUCCUUAGUUACCAGUUACCUGUUGGGUUCAAUCUAUAUAUUCCAUUAUAAGGUACCGAGAAACUGUUACGUUAUGCGCGACUAACAAUAGCAUUUUUCAAUUCGUGCAUACAAAAUAUAUAUAUAUAUAUAUAUAUAUAUAUGCAAAGGCAAAAACCACCUAAAAUACAAGCAGAUGGUUACAAGUUACUUUUUGGGUUUAAUUUAUAUAUUCGAGCUACCAUACAACAUAUACAAAGGUCAACAAACACCAUCUAAGUUUGAAAACCAAUAGAUUCGUAGAUCAAGCAUUUAAAAUGUACAAUUACAACAAGACCACCCUCACAACACUAUUUAUAUGUAAUACAAUCUGAGUAUCUAAGAACCACACAUCAAAAUUAUAAAACAAUUGCAAGCAUCUUCCUCGUAAUUAUCUUAACAGAGCAGAGUAGAUCAAUUUAACCAUGAACAGAGGCGUAUCGGUUGAUCAAAGCCAAGGCAUUGCUAGUCAAUUGUGCUAUAUUCACAAUCCGGCCUCUCACAGCAGUCUUCAAAUUCCCAUUCAUCCCAUUUCCACCAAACCCCUCAGAACAUGUGUUCUCAUCUGUCAAAGCAGCACUAACCCAAGUUUGGACAUCACUUAUCAUGAGCUGAAAAUCAUAGCUUUUGAAGUUACCCAUCUCAGCUAUAGAACUCUGGAGCUCGUCCACCGAGUCACUUAACUCUUCGAGGCAGUCUCUCAUGGCACCAACUUCUUUAGGCUUCAAGCCAUGGCUUUGGGAGAGUUUUAGCAUCACGGCAGAGGUGGAUUUGGCAGAGGAAAGUGUCACAUUAAGGGCUGCACCAGCCAUGAGCUUAGGACUUGUUUGGAUUGUGCUUGCAUGGCUUGAGAGAGAGGUGAGGCAGAGUUUAGGGUAGGUUGUUGCACUGCAAGAUGUUUUGAUGAAUUCAGUGUUGGUUUUUGGUGCAAGGUCUCUGGCUGCUGAGGUUGAGGAGAUUAUGCAGAAACUAAUGGAAAGUGCUGUGAGAAAACAUGUGGCAAAAUGUGUAGAAGAUGAAGAAGACUCCAUCUUGAUAUUUUUGUGUCUCUGAAUAUUGGAGGCAGUGGAGGGAGUGAUGAGAGUAGGGAGGGAAAUGUGCCAAUUUAUAGAACCCAAGUUCGAAAAAAACAACAAAAUCCCUAAAAUAAAAUAAUAUUGAUGAUAAUAAUAAAAAAUUCUAGCAGCCUCAAAAUGAAUAUGGAAAAAUCUUGUCGGGGGGGCCAAAAGCCGAGAUACAUCUACUCUUUAACAUAAUAUGAAGUAGCAAGUUGGUUUCUUUGGUUUCUCAACUUGCUGCAACAAGUUGGUCGAUUUGGGUCUAAAAGCAAAAGCAAAUGUGAAACAAAAGAGCCUUGGUCUCCUACUCAUCUAAACCUUCAUAAUCAAAUCAAUCGCACCCAAAGUUGAUGGGUGAGCCAGUCGACUGCUGUGUGUAUCUGUAUUUUUGCAACUUGAGCGUUUUUGGUCGACAUGUAUAACAAUAAAAAUCUCUCCCCUUAAAAGAAGCACUCCAAAAGGGAUUUAAUGCAUGCAAGAGUCCAAAGGGCCAAUCAAGAUCAGGUGGAGAUUGAUUGGAGUGGAGUGGAAGGCUCCAAACGGUACUAUUUUUUAUUUGAAAAUAUUUUUGGCUGAUUAUUUUUAAUACUUGACACGUGUUUAUAAGUAUAAUAAUUGUUAACUUUAUGGAUCUAUUGUUAUGCAUAUGAACACGUUUUAAGUGUUGAGAAAUGUCAUGAGGAUAAAUCUUGAGUUAAAAUUGUAAGAAAAAUGCUUAUUUAUUUAUUUAUUUAAAUUUUAUAAGAUUAUAGAAAAAUUUGGGCCCAGACAAAAACAAAGCUUCAUCUUUGGGCCUACUCUAUAACUAAGCUUCAUGAUUUUUAUUGAUGAUACAGCACACGUGAUGGUCCAAACAAAAUAAAAAUAAAAACAAAAACUUGAGUUAUGCCUAUCCCUUCUCAACGCGAAUCUAUGAUGCUCAUUGGCCUAAUUAUCAACAACAGCAAACCAAACCAUGUGCAGACUGCAAACUAGAAAAGAAAUGAACUUUUAAAAACAGCAAUAUUGCACAAGUCAAAAGAUGGCAUUUUAUAAUUUAAUAUAAUGAACGAAUUAAACUAUUGAGUUCCAUUUUCUCAAUAAACAAACCAAUUUCGAUGCUUUUCACGUAACACAGUUGGAACUUGUUUGUUACAUAGCCCAUAUAACCGGAAAUUCAAACACAUGCAUUUCUGGUAACUUAGUUGAAUGUUAUCUACUAAUUCACCACAAAUCAUGGUCAUGUGAAGUGGGAAUAUUAAGAGGAGGCUAAGUUUUUUUGGGGGGUUACAUAACUUGUUAUUGUUCUCGGACAAAAAAAAUACGAAGCACAAUUUGUUUCAUCAAUAGUCUAUCGUUUAGUAUCUAAUUAUGUCUAGUUUUUUUGCGUUAGUGUAAGUUUUAUGAAUAUAAGAGAUAGUCUAAACUAAAAUGGAAAGGAUGGUUUCUCACAUGACACUACUACUAGCCUAGAUCCCGUUAAUUGCAAUGAUUAAAUUUUCUGUAGCUGGAUUGGGCUAAAUAUUUUGUUUUGCCAACAAAAAUGAUUGGGAAUUUGGAUGAACCGUUACAUUAUUUUACUACACGUUUUCAAGAAAUUAACGGAAAAACGUAAUCCCUGUUUUCUUCCAUAAAUUAUGGGAUUUGGAAGUUAAGUUAACGGGUACAUAGUGUAGCCGCCUUGAUCACUCGCACGUUGAAGUGUAAGAUUCUUAUUCAAAUGCAAAUAAUGCAAACAUACACGUGGAAAAUGACAAGUGGCUAGACACCUGUGGUUGCAGCAAUGUUGAAGUUGGCAGAAUCGUAGAGAAUCAAGACCGUAGGCAAGUCCACAUCUCUCAACAGAAACACCGCCUAUCGUCCAGCAGCGUUUCACGCUACACUUACAAUGCAUGCGGACAUGUGUUUUGCCUGCACGUUCUUGUUCGGUUUUGACUUCUGAAACGUGAAUGAUUCGUGUCCAUAUCUGUUAGGGUAGCCACAUGGCACACCUUAGGCCCAUGCUGCCGUAUAUCCUCACUUCCAGUAAACAAAUUCAAUACACUUUCUUUUCCGUAUAUCCUCACGUAUUUCAUCUCAUUUUUUCCUUGCAAUUACAUUAACCUCAAAUGCUUCUUUCAUAGUUUUUCUUUAAUAUAAGUGAUUUUCUAUUUUAAUUUUACAGGAAAGGGGAUUCGAACUUGGAUACAUAGUGGAGAAUACAUCCGUUCUAGCCAAUUUAACUAAAUUCAUGUCCACGCUUCUUUGAUAGUUAAAUCAAUUUUAAACAUUAACAAUAUUAAAAUUGAAGCAAAGUCUCUUCAAUCUAUACCAAUUAAGUAUUCUAAGCCGGCAGAGUGAGAAUGAUUUAAUUUUGAUUUCAAAAGUGCAAAGGUGGCUAUUGUUGUAAGCCUUUGAAUUAAGUAUGUUUUGACAAGAAUUACCAAUUUAGCACCCGUUUAUGCACAUAGGUUAUUUGGUCCUUUGGGAUCAUUCUCCAAGAUAUUCUCCCUUGUUUUUGUUCAUAUGUUUUUAUCUACAUUAUUAGCUCUUAAAUUUUAAUUAUUUUUUAUCUGUUGGGUCUGGCGCAAGAUCCAAAACGUACACUCAAGCUAGCAAAUGAACAUGCGCCAUAUCAUCUUUUGCUUAUACUUUAUUUUUAAAAAAAUAGAGGGGCCAUUAUGAUUUUUAAUUUGGACUUAUAAAAUGGCUAGCUUGGACUUUAUUUAUCUUUUAUUUUUUAAUACGCUUUGAGUUUCAAAGUCACCUGAGAGUUGCCUAUAAAUUGGCAACUGGCAUCCCAUCACAAACACACACAGUUCCAUAAAUUCAAGAAAAUAAAAAAUGGGAGCUCAAAAUUUCACAACCCCAACCUCAAAUUCACACAAUGCUCUCACAUUUCUCCUCCCAAUUCUCCUAUUGAUCUUCAUGCCAAACAUGCACACAACAUUGGCAACUUCUUCUUCUUCUCAGACCUACAAAACCUACGUCAAAACUGCCUGCAACACAACCACAUACCCACUCAUUUGCUACAAAUCUCUCUCCUCAUACGCCUCCAAAGUCAAAUCCGAUCCUCAAAAGCUUUGUACCUAUGCCCUCUCCGUUACCCUAAAAGCAGCAAAAAACGCCUCUUCCGUAGUUUCAAAGCUUUAUAAAAAUACAGGAUUAACCCCAUCCGAGAAAGGGGUGGUCAAGGAUUGUAUAGAGAAUAUUAAGGACUCCAUUGACGAGCUCAAACAGUCGGUGAGUUCCAUGAGCAAUUUGGGGGUUUCGGGUUCCGACGUGCAAUUACAAUUGGAUGAUAUAAAGACUUGGGUGAGCGCCGUCAUCACGGAUGACGCUACUUGCACGGAUGGAUUUGAUGGUGUGAAGGUAAGCGCCGCGGUUAAGACCGCCAUCAGGAACAGCAUUGUGAAUGCUGCUAGGUUGGCUAGCAAUGCUCUUUCUCUCAUAGACAGCCUCAUUUACUAGUUCAACCCAUACCCUUUGUAUUUCCUUGUCUUUUUUUAUUUUUUAUUUUAUUUUACUUUGGUUGAUAUAGAAAGUUUACAGAUUUUAUAAUUUAUGUGUGUGUUUAAUGUAAUUAAAAGUUGUGUGAAAUGGUUUUGUGACUGUUGGAAGAGUGGUUUGUAUACUACUACUACUAUAUGUAAUGUUGUACAACAGAGGGAGUUUUGAGCAAUUUGAUAACAAAUAAGCAAACCCCUUAGCCCCCCAUGUUGAUCAAAGAUCCCAUCUAUAGUAAUUGGCGAUCGACAGAACUUUUAUUCUAUAGUUGUCUUUUAACAUUUUUGUUUCCGGUGCAUAAGAGCUUCCUAUGCGUGUAUUCUCAAAACAAAUAUAUAAAAAAUGAAGAUCUUCCCAUUCCCAUGUGAGUUCACAUUGAUGCAUGUAUGAAUUAUUCCAAAACCCUGUUUAUAAUAAUCCAACCCCGCAUCUUUCAGUGUAAAAUGCAAAUGCUAAACUAUUAUUGCCCAAUUUAAUUAUUUGCCAAACGUUCGGUGAAAUUAAAAGUCAAAGACGACAUGUAAGACAUGCAUGCAAGUUAAUAUUAGGGCUAGUUUGUUGGGGAGGAUUAGGCUAGACUAGAGAAGUAAAGUGAUUAUAUUUCAUGUGCAAUCAAUACAUAAUAUGGAUAUUGUUGUCUGAUUUGGAGGAUGAAAUUGAAUGAUGACUAUUCAUAAGAGGUUGAUGAUUAAAACUUAUCCCUUAUAAUCUCAUCAUUUUUAAGGGGAUAAGUUUUAGUCAUCAACCUCUUAUAGAUAGUCAUCAUUCUUCUUCCAAGUUCGGCAAGAUAUCCAUAUUAUGCCUUGAAUGCACAUGAAAUGUAGGCAUUUUACCAGUUUAGUCCUUCCUAUCACACAAGUGAACAAUUUAUUGACAGUGGCGCACGGUUUUAAUUUUUUUUGUUUAAUUAGAUUAUAAUUAUUUUAAAUUAAUGAGAGUUACACUUGAAGCAUGUGUUGUCAUAGAAGUAAUAGUGAACUAAAGCAAUGGUUAAUCUUGCAUAAUUAGUGUUUUUUAUUUCGAAAAAAGCAGCUAUGCAAACGUAAGAAAUGAAAUGAAUGUGUUGUGACUGUAAAUACAGUAGUUUUAUGCACAGUCGUCAGUUUUUCUUGUUGGUAAACAGUUCGUAAUUGAUAAAAUUCCCACACGGCAUCUCGGGUUUGUGAUGUGAGUUUUCUCCAAGCGCAAGGGUUUAUAAGUCAAAUUUUAAAUUGAUAUAUUCUUGCAUUAAUUCAAGCAUGGGAAUGGGGAUGAUCACAUGGAGAAUACAUGAUCUAAUGAUUCGAUAUCUUUUUUAGUCCUUUCGAACUUGUUCUCUUAUAAUUAAUUGAAAUUAGAAUCUCUAGAAAUUUUAAUUAAAAUAUGCUUGCAUUAGGUCAGUGGCACUACCCAACCAUCCAUCACAAUUACACAAACGUCCUUGGAAACCAUGUGUUAAGGUUCAACUGACUAUUUACUAAUAUCGAUACUAUCUUUAAUUUAACCAUCAUAUUCUGGCAUGUAUAUGUGUAAGAUUUUAUACAAAAUGUCUCGAUACUAUUUGUAGUGAAACUUUAUAUUCUUCAACACCAUGAAGAGCCAAAUAUCAUGAAUCUCUUUUAUAUCUUGAAAUAUUCAAAUAAUAUAUUGUGAAAGGAAAGGUAAGUCAUUAUAAGUGAUGGGUGCCCAUGCCAUUGCGAUUUGCCUACGUACGUACACCAUUCUAGAUGGAUAGAUUUAUAUACGACCUGAUUGGGGAAAGGAAAGGAACGCCUAAUAAAAUUCAUUCUGAAAUCAUGAAUUGAAAACUUUAUUGAGGCAUAAACUAAAUUCCAGAGCUGCGGCUGUGGAUAAGACACGAUUCUUGACUUAUAUUUAUUGAAAUAUAUCUAAACUUUGCACCACCCAUUAUUUACCAAUUUCUGUGUUUUUAACGUGAAGGGCAUGAAAGGAACAAGAUGAUAUGUCGUCUCGCUUUUUCUUUUUUCUUUCUUUUUGGUUAAGAUAUAUAUAUCUAUAUCCUCUUGCUUUUUGAUUCAUAUGUUAAAAGGAAAAGCUCAAGGAUUGCAUAAAGACAGAAACUUCGUUGCGGUGUCCCAAACCCAAUCCCCAAUCUUCAAUCCCAUCCAUUAGAUAUUUGUUGGCCAAACCAAAUGCAUGUGAAGUCACCUUGUAGUAAAUAGAUUGUUGACACGUGGUCUUCUUCAUCUUCAUAUUCAAAGCCUCACUCUCUCACGUGGUCAUCGUCACUACGCAACUUCCCACAAACGUCCCUCUUUGUCCGCUCCCGACAGUUUCACCUUUCACGCUCUCCAAUUUUGUUUUCACACUCAACAGUGUCAACACCACUCAUCCAUAUCUGUUUUUAGUUAUUGCUUUUCAUCACUAGUAUUAAUUCUUUAUGCGCACAAACGAUUCUAAAUUAUUGAUGCUUAAAAUAGAUCAGUGUGAGUAGUUGAUGCAUUAGAAUUCUGUAAAAUUAAAAUUUAUAAUUACGAACACGAUGCAUUAACGACUUACAGUCAUACACACACAACUAAGACUCAUAAUUGCGCACACGAUACUUCAACUUCUCACAGUUGUGCACAAGUCCUCGCAUGCAUUCUAGCAUAAUUUGGAAAUAAUUAUAGCCAAAGUUCAACUGUUAUUUUACCAAAAGAAAAAUAAAGUAGUUGUACGGACAUGGGGUUCCUUCAUGCCUCCCUUGAAAUAGUCUAAAACAGUUCAAAAGUUCCAAAAUCCAGAUACCAAAACAAGCAGCCUUCAUAGCUUCACACAUACAGACAGAGGAUUCAGAACACUUAAAGCAUAUUUUCCAUCUCUUCUAUAUCACAUACUGACUGAACUAUACAUAUCAAAACCAAACCACAUCAAAAUAGUUCUUACAUAAGAAAAAACAAAACAAAAACAAAAACUCAGAUUCAGAAUCUGCAGCUGUCAUCAGUGCUUGGAGGCAAACCUGUUGCACAAGGCCAAAGCAUUGCUAGUGCACUGUGCAACAUUAAGCACCUGAGCUCUGAUUGAGGCCUUGAUUUUGCCAUCCAAGGCCUUGCCAGAGAACCCAUCAAGGCAAGUAUUGUCAUCAGUCAAAGCAGCACUAACCCAAGUCUCCACAUUGCUCAUGUGCCACACGAAAUCCUGGCCCUUGGAUUUGCCCAUGUUCUUUAGCUCCUGGACUGAUUUGCUGAGCCUGUCCACGGUAUCACCCAUCUCCUCCAAGCAGUCCUUGACAGCUCCGUACUCCCUAGCCUUCAGCCCCUUAAAUUUGGCCAACUUGGUCACAAAUGUCUUGGCCUUUUGAGCCCUGGUUAGGCUCACGGACAGGGCAGCCUGGGCCAGCUGCCGAGGGCUUUGCUGGAUUGAAGUGGCGUAGGAAGAGAGGGAUUGGAUGCAGACUUGUGGGUAGGUGGUGGCGCUGCACGAGCUCUUUAUGAAAUUUGUAUCACUUGUUGUGGCUGUAGAGUUGGCUGUGCCAACAAAGUAGAAAAUGGGAAGUAGCAGCAAAAAAAAAGAGGCUCUAGCCAUUGAAGAAAAGCUUCAAACUUUGGACUGGGAUUUGAGAGUGGGAUUGGAUUUGGGAAGGUUAAGAUUUGAGAGUGAGGAGAUUGUAUAUUUAUAGAGGGUUUUAUGCUGAAUUUAUGUACACCGUGUAACAAUCCGUGUAUUGGGUUUAAUUUUUAUUUGUUUUUAAAAAUAAAAAUCUUCCUUUGCGUCUUCGAAAGCGGAAAGGGUGUGAUAGAUAAAGGGCUGUGGUAGAAAUAAAUAAAUAAGGGGCCACUAAAAUCCUUGUCAACUAAAUGAAAGCUUUGGCACAUGCCACUCUGUAUUUUUCAACCUUAAGUUAGUAAAUCAAUUACCUAACUCUUUGCCACCGACGUGACUUAAUUUACAUUUUAUGGGCAGAAAAUUGAAAUCGAUGAGCUUUGCUAGUAACGUGGGAUCCACAUAUUGGGAGGCUAUUGAUUGGGGACAAAAACUUGGCCAGGAAAUUAGUGUCCCCUCAUGUGAUGUGAUGAUGAGCAAAUCUGACCACGAAUCACGGAUUAUGAAAAAGAUUAUGUUGGAAUUCCUUUAAUUAUGCAACAAGAUUUAGGGAGGGAGUCGUAUAAAACAUAAGCUGCCGAAGUGACACUGUCUACCUGUAGCGUCACUGGUGGACUGAUAUAUGACUUUUCCAUGAUCACUGCGCUUCAUCUCGUCAACCAGUGCCUGUUAACUUGCAAACAAUUUGGGUUCAAUUUGACCUAAUUCAAAGUCCUCCAUGGGAAAGCAAUGUGAAGGGAGGGGUCAAAACAACUAGUUGUUUAUACAAGCGAUGUUGAAAAAUGGGAAACGAUGUUGAGAAAUGGGGAAUCGAAUCGACCAAAACGACAAAGUUUAGCUGAGGAAAAAUGAUGAAAGGUAGCAAAACCUUUUAAAACACUAAAAAGGAGAUGUGAAACCCAUAAUUUAAAAACUGUCCAAAGUAAUGUGAAAGGAACAUGAACUGCAAGGAAUGCUUUCUGUUUUUGUUUCACCUUCGAAUUAAAUUUCAUCAACCACCAAAGAGAAAAAAAAAAAAAGGUUACCUGCCAGUUCAUACUCAACAAGCUCAGUUGAAGGAAGACAAAGUCCUUUGCAGCUCUGCCCCACCCCUUCUCUCUAUUAUUUUUGGCUUCUGCUUCUGCUCUCAAAUCCCUUACCGACAUGAUAUUUUUCAGUCACUGGAUUAUCAGAAGGCCAGACACUAAGAUUUACUUCAUCUAUUAUGAACUCUAUUUGUUACCAUUGAUAUUAUUAUAUAAAACUAGUGGUUUUGUUUCUACAUGUCCAUUUUGAAGCACUGCGGAGAUUAAAAUAAAAAAGAGAAGAGAAUGCUGCUAAAUAAGCAAACUCUGCUUUUGGUUGCUUCUGUCACUCCAUAAGGACCCACCAAACUGCAUUAUUGGCAAAUUAUCAUAUCUAGUGCUGUGAAGAGGUUGAGAUAUGAACAUAAACAUUUCAAGCCUCUUCACAGCACGAGAUAUGACAAUUUGCAGCCGACAUACCCUCAUCAAGGUUCUAGUUGGUUGAAAAAACUGGCAUAGGUAUUAAUUGUACAUAAUAUAAACGAAUGAUUUUUUUUUUUUUUUUUUGGGAUAAGAUAUUUAAACUUAAUAUUUAUAUAUAUAUAUUUUGCUUGUCCUAUUUCAAGGGUUAAGAAGAAACACAAAAUUUGCAGCUAAAUAGAAGAUGUAAUAAGCAUAUGUUUAUUAAUGCGGACGUAAUAUUCUGUAAUAAUCAUUUGAGCUGAAACCUACGAUGUCCCUAUCAAUAAAGCAAGCUAUUGCCUUGCAAAAGAAUCACUAGUGUAGUGGUUUAGAGCAAUUGCUCCCCCAUGCAAGGUCUUGAACGUGAGUCUUAAAAUUCGUGUAGUAUAUAUGAGUUUAUUAUGUUAUCGUCUUUCUCAAUUGAAAAAGUCCUCAAAAAACAAGCUUUAUUGCCAUGUUUAUGAACAAUUUAUUGGAUUAACAUUGUAAUUCCAGCUUUAAUGAGCAUGGUUAUGCCAAAGAGAAGAGAAUGUCUUCGAUUGAUCAUGAACAACGAGGACCAAUUGUUUGUUGGGAUGUACGAUUUUUUGUGAAUCAUUGAGCUCAAUAAUGCCAGGUCAUAAUGAAAGAGGCUGAAAAUAAAUAAUAGUAGAAGCAUCUUGUCGAAAAAGAUACUCGAAUGAUACCUAAGGGGAUUUAUGAUAUAAAUUUACCAGGUAGAUUUGAAUCAGCACAUGUGCAAUUAUAGUAUAUUAUAUAGCAAAUGAAUUGAAAUAUUAUUGCAUGGUAGCUGGGAUUUUGGGUUAACAUUAACCUAAUUAAUCAUCUGUCCUUUUACAUGCACUGCUGGCUGGAGCUUGUGGACUAAUGCCAUGGUUUCUUCAGUUAAGAAAAAUGAAUUAUUUUAUUUUUUCUUAUGUUGGAAAUUUACAAGUUAUACAUUUUAUCUACUGAACAAAAUUUUUAAUCACAUUUCCUCUGAAGCCUUUUUGCAGAUAAAUUCAUGUGUCUUCUCUGUCAUAACGAAGGCACGAAAGAGAUGAACAGGUGAGGUGGGGUUUUGCAGCCACGAGCAGCCACAUUCACUUGUCUGCAGGGAGGACCCAAGGCCAUUUAGGAUCCAUGUUGAGCCACGAAGGAAGGACCCAAGGCCAGCUAGAGCUAGGGGCAAGCCAACCAGGAGAUUUUAAUUUUGUGGAAUUAAACCUCAACACUACAGAGAUGGGACUAUUAGUCCAAUCCUCUCUCCACCAUCAUCAAUCUCACUCUCUCCACAUCUUCCAAUCUACCCACAUUGCCAUAAAUCUUAAUUAAAAGCUCAAAAUUGUAUUCAUUAUCAGGCUCCAGCUCAAAAAGCCUUUCAGCUGCAACCUCUCCAAUAUCUACAUUGCCAUGAAGGUAGCAAGCAUACAGUAAUGCACCCCACACAGUUGGACCAGCCUCGAACUCCAUUCCAUCCACUAUGAUACCAUAAGCUUCUCUGAUUCGACCUGCCCUUCCGUAAAGAUUCACCAUACAAGCAUAAUGCUCCAUAAUUGGGCUAAUUCUAUAUCUAUUUUUCAUGACAGAAUAUAACCUCUCACCAUCCUUCACCAAACCUAAAUGGGCACAAGUCGAUAAUAUUGACACGAAUGUGAUACUGUCUGGCAAGGCACCAGAACUCUCCAUCUGCUCAAAAAACAGCAAGGCUUCCGGGCUUUUAGAAUGAGCUGAAAUCAUAGUAUUCCAUGUUAUGACAUCCCUCUCAGACAUAUGACAAAACAACCACCUUGCUCGAUUCAACUUGCGAUGAUUCGAAUACGCUGCAAUCAAGGCAUUGGCAAUAGACAAGUUCCACUCAACUCCUUGCCGAAUUACCCAUCCAUGGAUUUGAAUUACAAUCUCCAAUGAUGACUCUGCAGCUCCGAGGAUAGUGGAUAUGGCAACAGAGUCUGCCUGGUGCCCUUCAUGAAGCAUUUCAUGAAAGAUGUCCAAAGCCUGCGACAGAAGCCCAUGACGCAUAUAACUCGUGAGCAUGGUGUUCCAAGAGACGUGGUCUCGACUAGUAAUCUUAUCAAACACUUUCCGAGCCUUCACAAUGUCACCACAUUUGGCAUACAUGUCCACCAAUGCAUUCAGCACAAACCUAUCAUUCAAUAAACCCAAUCGCACUAUAUGGCGAUGCACAGCCUCACCUAUUUGAAUGAACCCUAUUCCCCCACAAGCUUUCAAAACACGAGGGAACGUGAACCGGUCUGGUUCAACUCCCUCUUCCUCCAUUUGGAAGUAUAGCGCCAUAGCAUCCUCAUACAAACCCAGUUCUGCAUACCCCGAGAUAAGUGAAUUCCAGGCGAAAGCAGACACGUCCCUCUUAGGCAUUUCAUCAAACACCUGGUGAGCCUCCUCGAUAUAGCCAUGCGAAGCAUAGAGCCGAAGAAGCUUGGACGAGAUGCCUACAUUUCUACGUAAAACGCUUCUUGGGAUAAGACGGUGAACUCGGAGACCGUAGUCCAUGGCUUGAAAUUGAUAGCAUGUUUCUAACAGGGAAGCAAAAGUUUCGGUAUCGACGUUUAUGCCUUUACCAAUGGCUGCUUCAAGGUCAUUGACGACGGCGUCGAGGGCUUGGAGCUUGGUCUGGGAAUGGGGUUUAUGGCAGAUAAUGAGGGGGGUUGGGAUUGUUUUCGGGAAAGAGAGGGAGUUGUUGCUUUGAUUUUGGCUAACUUGUUUUUGCUUCUUGUUUUUCUUGCUCUUGGAAGAGCAGAUGCUCAGUUUUGCGGUGUGGAAACUUAGCGGUUGUAAAGUGGUCACCAUUUGUGAAAGGAUUGUUGGACCAAACCAGAUGAUGGUCAUGGAAAGAAACUGAAAACAAAUUUUUAUGAGUUGCUUGCUAGUAUGGGAAUGGGCCUAUGAAAACUAGCCCAAUUGCAGAUCUUGAACUUGAUUCAAAUAAAAUGAUGAUCUUCCUUCUUCUUCCUUUUUCAUUUUUUCUGUGCAUAUUGAAAUGAACCCUUUAGGAUUUAGCUCUCUCGAUAGAACAAAGUGACAAUAUUUUUCUACACAUGGGUAUAUUUUACGUAAUGGAAUCUCAGUUGAAGAUUUCAUCCUUUAAAUAUAAGAUUAGCUUUAGAAUUAACAGUAAUGGGAUGGGCCUCAUUUAGCUUGAGAAUUAACAAUAAAGCCCAAAGUUAUGUAUCUUACAUCAUCAUUACAAUGUACAAAGCAGUCUCUGCAUUCAUCUUCGCUUAUCAUCUAAUUAAUCAGCAGAACUCACGUAGCAAUUGACCUAUGCAUUACACCAUCAAUCAAACCCAAACUCUACUCUGAAUCAAAGAAAACGGUAAAAAAAAAAAACUCAAAAUUAAAGAUGGUUUAUUGAUCUCCUUUAAAAUUGGAUUUCGUUUCGUGGUCGAAAGGGAUGUUGCUUUGCUUUGCUGCCUCAACACUCAAAGUUUAUUAUGACUAAUACAAAAUAGUUGAUUGGUUAUGAGCAGCAAACAACUCUACCAGACCAACCAACACCUUUGAAAAUUUACAACACACGUUGAAUUAAUGGAGAAACGUUGCAACUCCAAUUUUGUUUUUUUUGUUUUUUUUUUGUUUUUGGCAGUUUAAUUGAUUAUGAUUGGUAAUAGCUUAAUGACAGCAGAUAAACUCAUGCAUUACAUCACUAAUUUAGGUAAUGAUUUCGUAAGGUUUAGAAUACAAAAACAAGUUAUGGUUCCCUUUUCUAGGUUUUAUUAUUAUUAUUAUUACUUUCUGUUUGGUAGGUCUUCACACUCAGGGGUUCAGAUUUUCUAAAGCUGCAAAAAAAAAAGUGCGGAUCGUUUGGUUGUAAGUAGUUAGCAACACUGUACACAUAUUUCACUAUCAACAUUGCAUUUGUAUACAGUAGCAUGUGAUUUGCAAGGGGAAAAAAAUGAUUUCUCACCUAUAUCUAUUCACAAGACCUUCGUAUAGUGAUUUUGGUUUGAACAGAAUCGAAAUUAAAGUUAAGUCAAUUCUUAUGAGUUAAUACUUAAAAUUCACUAAAUAACGACAUAAAUGUUAAUUCAAUUUAAAUAAAAUAAUUCAGUAAGACCGAGCCACUAGCCGUGAAAGUUUACAAAAAUCCAACUUGUAAAAUGAAAAAAAGCACAAAAAUAAGAUGGGCAAAACCAGAAACACAAAUGAAAUUUUCAAUGGUGUGUGGUGACGAUAUGGGUGAUGAAAUGCCUAAGUAAGAGUGAGACGAAGAUUGAAGGAAAGGUGGAGAAAUUGUGGUACAAUUUGAAAAAGGAAAGAGAUGGAAAGGCAAUUGGGCGAUGCUUAGGUGUAGCUUUAUGAUUGGCUGCAGAAUUUGCCAACUGAAAUCCCCCACAUGGAUGAGGACAAGUUUGGAAUAUAAUCAAUCGACAUCGUGCGCUCCUAUAUUAAUAUUUGGCCUCACUCUUAUAUCAAGCAACUGCAUUCACGCGUCUGUAAAAUUAAUUAACCCUAAAUUAUUUAUUCCUUUUAUAAUUUUAUAUUAGAAUCCUUGGAUAGGACUGAGGCGGGCAUGUACUUAUCACCACAUCCACAAUGCGACUGGAAUGAUACCCUUGGAAAGGGCCUUUUGCUUGGGCUAUGCAUGCGCCAUUGGGACCAAAAUUGCACAAAUCAAAUAAUUUCUUCACUAAUUUCUUAUGAGAAUUUAUUCAUAUAAGAGAAAGCACCAAAGGGUUUUCUUUUCUUUUGAUACUCUCAAAAUUCUUAUGUGGCGGUGCAUGCUUAUGAAAAGUUUGAUAAAGGUUUCUUUAGUUUCAAACCAUAAAAAAAAAAAAAGAGAAGGGGGGUUAAUCUUUACUUCGUUUUUUGAUUGAGGAUGGCAAAAGGUAAAAAAGUAGGUUUGGUAAAUGCAAUAUUUUUCUCAACCAAAAGCAAGGGAAGGAAGAGGAGGAACAUGAAAUUAUGGGUAUGCCCAAUGCCCCAUGUGUGAGACGAAAAGUUUUGGUUGGUGGUGUGAAAGGAUUAGAGCUUUGCCAAUUUGGUAGCCAGGUCAUAAAAAAAAUGAAGGCUAAAUGCCAUGGAAAGUGUCAAUUUAUAUUUGGUCCAAAAUUUAGUUGUGACAUCCACGCAAAUAAGUCAAGAGCGUGAGACUUAGGGUACACAUUUUUUCUUUUUUCUUUCUUCUUCUUGAUUUCCCCUAAAAGCAAGGCAGCCACUACACACAGUUAGUAUAUAAAGGAAGGUGAGUGGGGCUUUGGCGUAGCAAGUACUACACACUACACUUAACAGCACAAACAAAGUGAUGGGAAGGCAACCUUGUUGUGACAAGCUUGGUGUGAAGAAAGGGCCAUGGACUGCUGAGGAGGACAAGAAAUUGGUGAAUUUUCUCCUCGCACAUGGCCAAUGCUGUUGGCGUGCAGUCCCCAAGCUCGCCGGCCUCAGGCGCUGCGGCAAGAGCUGCCGCCUCCGGUGGACUAACUACCUCCGGCCUGACUUGAAAAGAGGCCUCCUUAAUGAAGCUGAGGAGCAACUUGUCAUUGACCUCCAUUCCCGUCUUGGCAAUAGGUUUGCUUUUGUUCUUUCUUUGCUAUACUUUUCUACUGCUUUUGUCACCAACCAUUCUCUAGUUUCUUCGGCUUUUAGGACCCAUAAAUCAUAUAUAACAUUAUAAUCAAAUUUUUUUAGACAUCACACUGAUUAAAGAGCUUAAAGCUGUAACAACUUCAGCUGUGCAAAACAGCACUUGCUAUGCUUAUUCUAGUAUAAAUAUCACUUCUUUUAGGUAAGCUUUUUUGUUUUGUUUUACUUGACAUGUAAUUAGCAUAAUUUGAGCUGUGAUUUUGCCUCCAGGUGGUCUAAAAUUGCAGCAGGAUUGCCUGGAAGAACUGACAAUGAGAUCAAGAACCACUGGAACACACACAUCAAGAAGAAGCUUAUCAAGAUGGGCAUUGAUCCAAUCACCCAUGAACCUCUAUGCAAGCAAGCCACUCCACCAGAAAUGCCUUGUAAACCAAACAAUCCACCUGCAGAUUUAGACAUGAAUCAGCAGAACGUGAAUAUCCCAGAACAUGGAAUCUCUUCUGCAGCUGAAAGUUCCUCAAGCAAUGAAUCCCAGCCAUUGGAGCCUAACCUAAAGAGUGAAGAUGACCCGUUGAUGAGCUACAUAUUAUCCGAUACAUUCCUGGAAGAUUUGACAUGGGAUUUUUCAGCCUCAUCAGAAGAUAGCUCAGCAGCUGAUAAUCCGGCGGAGGAUAAUAGCUUAGCAUGGUUCUUGGACUGCAAGGAUUUUGGAGUUGAAGAUUUCGAGCUCGGGUGUAUCAAUUAGUGACUGACACACGGUCAUAUAUUUUCAGUACCAGAACCCACAAAAAAGUUACCAACCAAAGCGCUCUCUCUCUCUCUCUCUCUCUCUCUCUCUCUCUCUCUCUCUCUAAGAAGUACAUAGCCAAACAAAGUAACCAAUAAAAAAAAGAAGACGACUUUGUAUGUUGGAGACUUAAUCAUUCUAUCUGAAAAAUGAUGAGGCAAAGGAACGAAAAGACCAACAACUUGUUUAAGAGAUCUGUUUAUUCUCUUUAGCAUUUUGAUUGAUUCCCACUAACACUAUUUAGUGGAAUAUCUGUAAUUUAAAAAUGUAGACUAGUUUGGCCAGCCAGUGGCCAAUGGCAUCAAAAUAUGGGUUGGUAGGUAGGGUGUCCUUUUGCAACAAAAACUACCACACACCAAUUUGAUACAUUUAAGCUCAGUUUUUUUUUAAAUAGCUAAAAAUAAGUACAACUCUGUGGAUGGAAACCCUCAAAUUCACGUAAUUGCAUAUGAAGUUUUCUCUUUUGAUGUCCUUAUCCAAUGAUUUUUCUGGAGAGUGAUAUUUCGUUCUCAUUUUCCUGUCUUUUUGGCUAAUAAAUAAAUAAGCAUAGAUCAUCAAACAUUCUUUAGUUUUAACUAUUCUGCAGAUUGAAUAGUGGGGUAUUUUAUUUUAUUUGGCAUUAUAUGAUAAUUAAGUAAAAAAAUGAAAUGUGAAAUGAGACGCAUCAUCAUCACGCACCAGAAGCUAGAGCACCAUUGUUAUUAUGACACUUUCUUGCCUUCCAAACACGUACUUUUGGCUAUUAUAAACACCAAAUUAUUGUAUAUCUUCCAAAGGGAGAAGGUGUUUUAAGUGUGGACUCAAAAAGAUGAAACCCUAAUUUAAAACCCACAUUCUUUUACAUAAGAAAAAACCCAGCAUCAUUCCAAUAUCCACUAUUAGAUUUAGAUGUGGCACUGCCGUAUAUUGUCUGACAUAUGCAUAUCCACAAGUUUGGCUACAAUUUAUAAGCAAACGGCUUCAGGCUUUCAUCCCAAUCUUGUUUCUAGAAGAAAAUUUAUUCAAAGCAAACACCGGAUUCGCCGCUUAUAACAUAAAUGGAGCUCAUCAUCUUUUAAUUGCUGCCAAAUCUCCUAUAUUUUGUAGAAAUUUUUUACUUAUGCCUUCCUAAUCCAAAGUGAAAAGAACAUGAUUAUGUUUAAUCUAACUUUCCAACUUGCCUGUUGCUCAUGAAGACAAUAAGGUUACAUUACAUCCAACCAUAUCCAAGAGACCAUGAUCAUAUAUUGCCUAAGUCUAAUUUUUAACCCGCAGAUUUUAAACAGCUCACUAAAAUUAAAAAGGGACCAAAAUUUUCUACUGAAAAUAUAUAUAUACAAGAAAACUCAUCGCGUAAUCAAGACCAAAAGAUCUCAACAAGGCCUUUUGCAGUGAUAAUAAUCCAUUUUUAGAAUGGAAAAUUAGUGAAACAGUCAAGUGAGAUUAACUAGACCAGCUUCAGUAGCAGCCUACCUUUGCCCUUCAGGAAGAACAACUGCUAUCACUGAAUUGAUGAGGCACUUCCUGAACUAUUCAUGUUGAUGACUUUUCUCCAACGAACCGCAUUUAAAGGGACAGUAAGCUGGGAGCACUAGGUCUAGGUCAGAGCAUAGAUUUGUUAAAGGCUUAAAGCAGCAAUGUCUACUGUCAUGGAACGGAUGACUUUGAGGCAUCUGGGGACUCCUUGGCGCUCUUCACUAGAAGAUCAUAAUUGAUAGAAGCUAGCUGCGACAAGUUCUGAGAACAGAAAUAACACAUGAAUGAUGCUAAAUCCCUAGAGCAAGAACCACCACCAUUCAUUUUUCAUCUAGCAUCUAAAGUCCCUUCCAAUGGAGAAAAUAUGUUCAGGUUCACAGGACUUACCUUAAAUGAAAAAUUACUAAAUGAGUACUGCACAUCAAGGGUUGGAGCACUAAAUUCCGCCAAACUGCCAAAUUCAUCCCCCUGAAUCACAGACAUACAAUGGUCAGGUGGCUAAAAUAAUAGUCCCACUAGAAUGCACCAGGGUCAACAAAUUUAUGAAUUCAAAGUAUAAUUCUUAACGGAUUUCAAGCACACUUUGAAAUCAUAUCUUCGGUACAUCCUUGUAGUCCAUAUACUUCCAUAUCAACUUGGAUGCAGUAAGAGCUAUGGUCUGGCCUUUAACAGCUCUAUGUGCAUAGAGACUGGAAAAAAAGAAAAAAGACAAAAAGAGAUCAUAUGUAGGAGGAUGCAUACAUCUUCGUCUUGUAUGUUGCUACAUGAACCGCUGCUGCAUGUUUCAGUCAUUUCAUCAAAAUCGCUGGCGCCAUUAACAUGCUCAUCUUCUGGAUUCCAUAUGUACCGGCUCAUGAAAUAACUUGUAUCAUGUACAUCUGUUGAUGGUAUGAACAUUGCCUGCAGCCAAUAUAUAUGGAUACUCUUGACUAUCACAGAUAUACCAAAAAUCAUUUUAAAACUUGAAUAAAUAUAACUUGAAAUGACCUUCUGCCUCGCAAGUGUAUCCCAGUUAAUAUCCUUGAAGAAAAUAUGUUGCUUCACCUGCCAGAAAAGACACAAAACUUAAUUCUAUCUUCAUUCUGACUUACAAAUGAAUUUUCAUCGGUAGUCAAUAAAUUACCUCCCUGGAACCUGUUGCUCCAAGUCUUUGAACUGGGUUUUCGGUCAUCAAUCUGACAGGAGGCCAAAGGAAAUGUAAGUAAGAUGAAGGCAUGCUGUCUUCAAAUUCUAAAUGAGAGGACUUUAGAUAUCUUAGUCUGACAGACCUCUCUUGAAAAAUAGAGGCACAUUAGAAAUCUACAUAAGCAGUCACAAUAAAAUUGUAAUUAAUACAUCCAGAAACAUAUCUCUUGUAAUCUUUCUUACUUGUCAAUCAAAUCGUAUGCUUCAUAGCUCAUCUCCUCAGGUACCUUAGGCCAGGGAAUAUCUCUGUUUAUUAUAUUGUUGAAAAUUUGCUGCAAUAAGUAGGAUCUAUAAGUAACAGUGUCAAAUUUUUCACCCAAGACUCUCAAAUGAUCUGGCAUUAAAAGAUGUUACAAUUCCCGGUUAUAAGGAUCAGAAAAAAUCAUUCAGAUGUUAAGGAUGCUAUAAAAGACUUGGAGCAAUGUUAAGUAGAAAUAAGAGCAAUAGAGAAAUACUGUAGUGCAGAAAAUAUACAACGAAAUGUAAAACCAAUAAAUGAUAAAUUCAAUAAAUUUUUGGUGAAGAAUUGAACGAACAGGCUGUAAGAACCACCAGAAAAAGAACUUAAUCCUUCAUGAACAGUCCAAAAAGAACCACCAGAAAAAUUUUAGGAACAAAAUAUCAUCAGAACAAACUGUUGUGCCAAUGAAAAUGAGGAGAAAGAUUAAUGCUCAUAAGAUAUUCAUGAGUUUACUGAAGAGUGUGUAUAGAAUUUAUGCAUAUAUAUACACAAAAUCCUCUCUUAAGUUCCUUAAGUAAGGACCUGUUUUUUUUAUGACAGAAGAUGAUUACAUUCAAUAAAGAGGGAAAAGAAAAAAAACAAAAUACGCCCAGCAGUCCAAAAACAAUUUAAAUUAAUGCCCACCAUAGUUAGACUGCAUACCUGUGGAUGCUCUGCAUUGAACGGUGGAAGACCAACAAGCAGCUCAAAAAGAAUAACGCCCACAGACCACCAAUCAGCAGUUGCACUAUGCCCCAUGCCAAGAAGUAUUUCAGGUGCCAAAUAAUCAGGGGUGCCAACAACUGAAUGUUUCUGGCGCUGUGUCCUUUCUGAUGAAGGCUGAGUUUUUGGUUCAUCAUCUCGAAGAAAACCAGUAUCACUAACUGAUGGACCUGAUAAGUCAUCAGUGCUGCUGAUUAGACCAACCUUGGAGAGCCCAAAAUCUGUCAACUGUAACAUAAGGGAUUAGACAUUUGUGAGAAGUGACAAGUAAACACUUUAUGGCAGAACCUAUGCAGAUGAUACCCAAAAAAACAGAUGCAUGAUAUAAUACCAGAAUGCUUUUACUAUGGCCAAACUUAUCUCCAAUUAUAUAAAAGAGGGGGGGAAUUAUGUAAAAGAACUAAGACCGCUAAAUAUUGACCUUGAUGUGACCAUCUUGACCAAUCAACAGGUUGUCUGGCUUCAAGUCUCUAUGGACAACAUUUAAUGAAUGCAAAUACUCCAAAGCAAGAACCUUUAAAAAGAAAAGAGUAAACAAAAGAUUACUUGUACUGUUAUACCAUCUAUGAGAAAAAUUUUAGAGAGAGAGAAAUGAAAAGGUGAAUCUGGAGAGGAAAAUGGAACAAAAGAUACUAGUAUUCCCUUACAACUUCUGCAAUAUAUACUUUGGCCAUAUCUUCAUCUAAGCAGCCUAGAUUUCGUAGUAAAGAGUACAGAUCUCCACCAUUUAAGUAUUCCAUGACCAGAUACAGGUUUUCCCUGCAUGUGAACGAAUAGAAAAAUCGGACCUGCUCAUCAUCAGAAGUACGUAUUAGAAAUUAUUUCCAAAUGCAAUGCAUUCUUAAAGUGAACUGUACAUUUUGGGGGCCCACUAACCACAAAAGGAUUGCGAAGCAAUAUAAGGAUGUUACGCUCCGCCAAAAUACUUUCAACAGCAUUUUUACGAAUCAUAUCAGCCUUCUUUAAUACCUUCAGAAAUGUACCACCAGAAUCAGUUCUGAAAACCGACUUAUCUUGAAACAUUUACUUGCAAUUAAAAGAUGGAAGCAUUUUCCAUGGCUGAAAACACAUAGAAACAAACAGACCUUUAUAGCAAAUAAGUCACCAGUCGCUCUUUUUCUGGCAAGAAAAACUCGCCCAAAUGCACCCCUGCUUAUUGGUUUUAUUAUUUCAAAAUCUUCAAUAGAUGUUCGAUCCUUUGAACACGGAUUGAUGGGGCUGGCACGCAGACUACGAACUGCUUCAUCUUCAACUGAACUUUCUUCGUCAGCCAUACCAUUUGAUGGAUCCACUUUCUCAUCUUCUAUCUGCCCACAAAGAUGUACAUAUUUUUCCCUGUAAAUUUCAGAAUUAUCAUUAUAAUCAGAGAUGCUUUUACUGGAUUUUAAAUAAUUAACCAAUCAUUUGAAGAAAUAUGAAAAAUAUAAUGACGACAGAAGAUAAAAAUGAGACAAUUUUGUUAAUACUCGAAUCAAGAAAAUCUUUUGAGGGGAUUCACAAUUGUACAAACCACAAGAGACAUGCAGUAAUAAAUUAUGGCUUCCACUCACUGCAAUAAUUUUUCUAUACGCCUUCCAAAAGUCUCCACAACAAGGGCAUCGACCUUCCUAUCCUGGAUGGCGUAUUUUAGGUCUUCCAGUCGUUCAAGCAUGUACUCCAAUGCACUGUAUUCACAAUUGCUAACAUUUGCGAUGGAACGGGCGAUAUCCAGUAGCUUAUGAAUCUGUCAAUCCAUGCUCUAAUCAAAAUAUGAACAUGAAGGGAGCAGAGUGUCUAUAGCAAACAAGAUGAACCAAAAAUGCAUUCAACAAGAGUUUCAGUUGCAGAGCAAUAAUACGAAGUUAAAACAAAGUAUACUGACUUCAUCUUUGAGAGAAAAAGAAGUAACGGCAGAAUUCUGGUCAGAAGGAAAAUAGAAGUGGGUCACCUGCUGAUAACUCUCAAGUUCUGGUAUUGCUCUCCAUCCACUCAACAGCAUUUCAAUCUGACUGGUUCUUGGUGUUAAUAGUGGUGAUCUUGGUGUCGAGCUUCCUGCCGACGAGGUUCUGGUGCCUUGUUCAGGUGUCAAAGAAGAACGCAUGUCACAUGGCAUGUCAGGCAAAACAUUCAGAUCUUCCAUGACAAAAGAAUUGUCAGCAUCAGGAACGCAAUCAAGAAUGCCUUCAGAGAAACGAGGAGACAAGUCAUUUCGUUUUGGUGGUGACAAAUCAUCUAAAUCUUCAUGCAUCCUUGUUGUAUAUACUCCUGAAACAUCAAAACUUCCUCGAGUUUCAGUGCCUUUUAGUGUCCAAGAUUCCAUUAUCCUUUCAAGAGCUUCAGCAACUCUUUCAAGUCGAUCAUUCACAGUUAAACCCUUCAAGUCACACCUAUCAGCAAUCGUACAUAUUCGGGAGUGCUCCUCUACAUGUACAGUUGGUAUUUCCACCUCACAUAUGCGACAGAUCAUCAAAUUCUCGUAUGAAACAUUCUGCUGAUCCAUCCAUAAUCCCCAAGAGAUUCUUUGUGCACUUGCAGACACCUCUGGGGGUUCAGGUCGGCAUGAUGGAGUAUCCACAUUGUCGCUACUAUACUCCCCACAAGUUUUUGUGUCAUCUUUGGCAUGCAAACGGUCUGAUUUGUCGUUUGGCGGUGUAUCAGCAGCAUCAUGGCCUUUCUGAUUCUUCUCAGCAGCAGAUGGAAGUUUUUUCCAAGAUGACAUCCUAUAGCUGCCUGUAGAUUCAACGCUUUUGGCAGUGUCAACCUCCACAUCAUCAGCAGCACUAACUUUUUCCUGCUCAUGGGACUUAUUCAUGUGCUUCUCAUUUGCAUCCUUACCACCCAGUUGGCCACUAAAGCUCUGCUGUGCACCCUCCAAAAUUUGUUCAGGGUAAACACCAAGAUCACUGAGCUGGUGAAGACUGAGAAUGUGCUCUUCCUCAUAACCACUCUCUUUUUGGAACUGCACAAGCCGUGUGCACCGAGUGAGAAUAAAAAGAAGACGGGUGUGGGCUUGUUUGAGGGCCCCCAUUGGUAGCUCUUGACGCCGGUCAUCCAAUUUCUGAACAAUGGCUUCGCACUUCACCCAAAAUUCACCAGGCGACAUCUUUGCACACCGCCGGGCAACAACCAACAGAUCCUCAAAAUUCUCUUUCCAUUCAGGGUGAGACUCCGAAGACUUUUCAAGUAUUCCCACCAAAUCACCAGCAAAUGCACCUAAAUCAAAGUCAACAUCUUCUUUUAACCUCUCAAAUCUUGCCCUGACCGCCACCAUAAUCUCCUAGACAAUUUUACAACAGCGACACAGUUUAAUGAGAUCGGGCAAAGAACAAAAUAAAAUACUAUAAGGCAUAAAAAUUUAUAAUAUAAAUUCAAAUUUACCUCCAUAUGGCCAAAUGCGCGAGACUUCCACACGGGAAAUGGUCGAACUCCUUUAGAGUUGAGCUCAUGAGAGAAACUUUUAAUGUCAUGUGUCCUCUUCUUUCGCCCACUCGUAACACGCAGUAUUGCCUGAAAACGCGGCGACUGCAUUUCCUUUGAAAAGGCUGCAUGGUUACCCUACCAAUAUAUACAAUUACAUACAAACCACAUCAUUGUCAAGCUCGUGAGCUACCUGCAUUUCUCCAACCAACUACAUAUAUAUACAUAAGGCAAUUCAUUGGCAAUUUCUUUACCUCCGAGACUGGAUUGAGCAGUGAAGGAUUUCUGAGCGAUUUUGAUUGAUUCCAGUGCACAGGUUUCACUAUAAAGUAAUUGAAAAUUAGAAAUUAACAAAAAAUAAAUUACACUCACAAAUACCUGAUGAUCGAAUUCAUUAUUAGACGGAAAAGAACGAAUUAUAAUCCAAUAAAAUAAGAAUAUUAAAACGUUACCACAUUAAAGUUACGUAAAUACCUGGUUGUAUGGGCGUAAAUUUGGGUUUUGGCUUGACCGUGUACUUGACCUUAUUCGAUUCGUCACCGAAAUUCGAAGCCGCGCAGACCGACGAAGAGAAUCGAAGCGGGGACGGAGCCGAUCGAGUCCGAAUGUGAUUGAGGCCGAGCGACGAUGCCAACACGAUAGGCGCAUCAUCUGUUUUACGUUCCGUACGAACCUGGUCCUCAUACUCUUCGUCGUUGUCGUCGUCAUCGUCGUCGUCAUCUUCUUCUUCGAAUUCUUCAAAUUCUUCGUCUUCGUGGAUCGUGUGUCUGGGGCUUCGUCGAAUCGGGAUGGGGGGGAUUUUGAGGAGCUUAGCUCUGGAGGGAGAGGGUUGAGUUGGAGAGGACACGGACGACGUCGUUGCGGAGUCUAAUUUGCCGUCGGGGUCGGAAAUCAGGGGUGGCUUUGAAGAAGGCGGAGGAGAGCUCGACAUGGGGGAGAAAACAGUUCGGGUUUAGAUUUCGGAUUCGGAUUCGUCAUGGGAUUGAGAGAGAGAAGGGGGGUUGCUGGGGGAGAUUAUCUCGCGGGAAGAGAGAGCGUUAGAGAGUGACACGAAUUUAUGUGUUUUUUCGGUUGUGGGUUUGAAACGGGCUUCCCGCUAAGCAUGUAAUUGGCGCCGUUCCCCUGCAGACGGGACUACCGUAAGUUCAAACUUGAAGGAACAGAAACAGAUGCACAAUUGACAAACGAAAAGUCAAUUGCACUUAUUUAGCCUUAUUCAUCAACUGACCCAAAUCACUUUUGUUUUGUGGGCCGUCGUUUGUUUGAUUAUUUUCUUUUGGGCCUUGAAUGUAAAAGAUAAAACUCUUGCAAUUCCUCCUAUUCUUAUAAGGAAUUACGAUAAAACUCUUGUAUUUCCUCCUAUUCUUAUUAGGAAUUAGGAGCACUUGUAUAUAAAUAAGGGGUUCUUUUCUUUCUAUAGUCAAUUGCUUUACAUUCAAUUCAAAGCCAGCAAAAAAAUCUCGUCUGUGUUUUGAAUCAAUGGAAUCAGGUAUGUUUUCUUAAACAAAACUUCUCUAGGUUACUCGUGUUUUCCUUUCCUUAACUUUGUAAAUUUGUUUGUUUGCAAGUUGUUGUCAUGCUAUAUUUAGUAUUGUAAAUAUGCGAGCCUUUUAUAUUGUAUCUUGCUAUUGCAAAAAUUUCUAGAUAAUUCAUGUGUCCUACUCCUAUAAAUUUGAUGAAUAUUUGGUGAAAUAAAACAAAAAAUUAUAUCCUAAAUUAAGGAAAAUAAGGAAAAAGAGAAAAGCAUGACUCUAAUCUAAUACUCAGUUGAGUUGAAUUUUUGGCUACACAUGUUAUAUAAUCCUAUCAUACAAUAUUCGUGGGGAACCUUUCGUUUUUGUCAACUAAUGAAUGACACACCUGUUUUUUUUAGAACCUUUCAUAUAAAGAAGGGUGAUAAUAUACUAUAUUCAUGACCUUGUCUAAGAGAGCAAUUACUCUAAACUACUACAAUAAUGGAUCCUUUGCAUGAAAGACAGGCCCUAAAACACCCUAAGCUGCCACCUUAAUUAGUUUUAUUUCAAUCAGUUUUUAGGAUGUUGUUUAUUUAUAUAUAUUGUUUUAUAUCACUGUGUGUGUAAGGUUACAUCCUUCUAGAUUUGUCUUUAGAUUUUUUGUUCUCCAUUUGCUUCUGUAAUUUGAUUGUUUUUUAGUUGUAACAUGCCUAUCUUCUAAUAAAAGAAAAACAGGAAUUAAUGCACCUUUUAGUUUGAAAUUCUUUUUUACUGGUUUUCUUUUUUAAUUUAUAUCUUUGUAUCGUUCCAUCAAUUUUUACUUUCUAUGUUUCAAAUCAUACGGUUAUUUUUAUAAAGCUAUGGCCAAGAUUUAUUACACAUCUGCUUCUUCUUCAUCGCAUCUCUAAUUGAUUUUUUUUUCUUUUUUAUUUUUAGAUUGGGAAAGUUUGCCUGAGGAGCUUUUAGAUUUAGUUUUCAAGAGACUAGUGUUGCAUUUAGAUUCUUUACGAUUCGCUGCUGUUUGCAAGUCAUGGUAUUGGGUAUCAAAGAAUAAGCAAAUCAAUAGUGUUCCAAUGCUCUUGAUUCCUGAUAGAAAAAAAGAUACAUGGAAUUUAUGUGAUGUGACAAAUGAUAAGGUCCUCAAAAUGCAGUUAAAAUGGAUGAAGAAGCGAUUUUGUGGGUCUUCAAAAGGAUGGUUAAUAGUUUGUGAUGACAAUUUUGUGGUAACCUUAAUAAAUCCAUCAUUCAGGGUUAAAGGAAGAAAAAAGAAAAAAAAUUCAAUUAUUCGUCUACCUCCACUAAAUCCUCCAGGUGAAUACCACAAAGGUGCUUGUGCUAAACAUUGUGAAUAUUUUGUCUACAAGGCGGCGAUUUCCGCAGAUCCAAUAUCAAAUGCAAAUGACUGCAUUGUUGUGGUAAUAUAUAACCCAUGGUGUGAAUUGGCUUUUAUUAGACUUGGAGACAAUAAAUGGACAUACUGCGAUCGAUAUUGCCCAGAUUGUUCCUUUUUUGAAGAUAUUGCUCAAAUUGGAAAUAAAAGUUAUGUUCUUACAUCCAUUAAGAGACAACUUUUUAUUUUUGAAUAUACUACUCAGCGCAUCCUAAAUAUAAAUCUGGUGGCACCUCUUUAUGAAACAGAAUUAUACAUAAAGGCAUACCUUGUGGGUUCCAGUGAGGAAGAGUUAUUGUUGGUUCACCGCUAUGGUACUUAUACACAUCAUUGUCGCGUGACAAAUAGAUUUAGAGUUUUCAAACUGGAUGAUGAUAAGUAUGAGUGGAUUGAGAAAAAUGACUUAGGUGAUUUUGCUUUGUUUGUGGGUGAUAACUCUUCAAUAUCUGUCGUGGCUUCAAAAAUUCAAGGAUGUGAGUCGAAUUGCAUAUACUUUUACGAUGAUUGUGAUCUAACAAUAAGAGAUUGUUCGUUUACAGAUUUGGGGUGUUCAAUGUCAAAAGUCAAAGGAUUUUAAAGUCUGCGCAUAUUCUGACCCUGAUGAAGAAGUUGAAGCAAUCUCCAAUUUGGUUUUUGCCAUCAGUUUAUCUAUAAAAAUUUGUCACAUUUCUUCUUAUCCUCAAACAUUUAAAGAUAUUUUUCUAGGUUAUGUUUUAAAGAUGUAGAUUCAGUAUUAAAUCUUUGAUAUUUGAUACAUUUUUUUAUUUAUGGCAACUUGGUCAUGGAUUUUUGUUAGUGCACUAAUUGAAAACCGUAGAGAAACAUACAAGGACAAUUACAUUAUUGAAAUAUGUUACCCGAGCAGAUAUUUUUUAUGUUUUAUUUUUUAUCGAAAGGAAAUUAUAACGAAAUUACUAAUCACCAAGUGUUACGUGACUUUUGAGUUGGAUAUGAUUUAAUUAGAUGAUAAUGUUGAUUAAUCAAUGUGUGGACCGGUCCCGCAGCCAUUAUCUUUAAAGCAUAUAACAUUUCUUUUACUACAGUGAAAACUGUCAAAAUAUAAGUCUCUUUUACCGUUAUUCUAAAUUUGACAUCCACGGCCCAACUAGUUGGAUUUCUGGUCCGUCGUACGCAUACUGAACAUAAAAAACCUCCGCAGACCUACCUCACUACGGCGCCACCGGAAAAACAAUGCUCAGCCUCCUCCCCCGGUCUUGCCCAAAGCUCCGGUUCAAACCCGGUUAUAUAUAUCGGCUAUCCGGGCCCUAUUACUACCCGUCGCCGGUACGCCUUCUCCACCGCCACCGGUCUCUAUGGCUUCGACCACUUAAAGACCCCCAAAGGCUUUCGACGUUUCGUCGACGAUGCUAUCGAAAGGUCCAAACUUUGGAAAUCCCAAUAUUCAUGGCAUUUUGAUUUCCAUCAGUCUCCCCAUUUUCAUUCGUAUUUGUUUUUAGGUCCGGAGAGCUGGUUGCAUACAUUUCAGGGAUGCCUUCCUCAGCGUAAAUAAUAAGAGCCAUGGAUGAGAUUUCUAACAGAGUAAGGUCUCACAUUUUGUCUAAUUCUCUUUUUUUAAGAGUUGUUGGACUAAUUCUUUGUUAUACUCUCCAAUUGCAUAGGUCUGUUCUGUCAUUGACUCCGCGGAGCUUUGUAGACAAACUCAUCCUGACAGGUUAUUAUUCUCUGAAUUUUUUGACAUUUUUUUUUUUUGGGGUUGUUGGUAGUUUUCGAUGUUUCGGUAUUUCGUCGAUUUUCACUUGAUUGUGUAUUAGGGAAUUUGUUGAGGAGGCGAUCAAAGCUUCAAUAAGAGUUAAUGAAUAUCUACAUGUGAGGUGACGGUGAAUCGUCUUUGCAAGUGUUAUUAACUUUUUGCUCACGGUUUUGUUACGUAUAUAAAUUGUACUGUAGUCAUGAGCCAUUGCCAGUAUCUGAUUUGAAAAUUUUCAUCAUUGUCUUACAGUAUCUGAAUACAAAUCAUACUUUAUAUAAUGCCGUGAUUAAAGCUGAGCAAGAGGGCAACUUGCUCACCGACGAAGCUCAUAGGGUCGCGCAUUACCUCAGCCUUGACUUUGAGAGGAGUGGGAUUCAUCUUUCUGCUGGUACUUGCUCUCUUCUUGUCAUUUUAUGCUGCUGUAACAUCAGGGAUUUUGUUGCAGCUAAAUAACUCCUCACUUCUGCUUUGCAGAGAAAGUAGAUAGAGUGAACCGGCUGAGUAUAGAUAUUUCCCAAUUGUGCAGACAGUAAGUACACUAAUUUUUUUUUAUAUGUUUUUUUGUUUUGGCGUUCCUCUGUGCCAAUUGUUAACUGCAAGUUAGAACUUUUAGGCCUGCUACCAGGUUUAGGAAAAUAAGUUAUUUUCUACUGGUUUGUUUGACUAAUGCUGCCACACAAUUAUUGUGCUUGUAAGAUUUGAACCAAAGACACAGCUUAGGCCCACACUGCCCAUUUCCAUUAGAGCCUAGGGCCAAAAGUAUCUUGUUCAAGUUUUGCAAUGUUGUGGAGAUAUAAUUUUAACUGCUUGCUGAUGCUGUACCAUGCUUUUCAUUUUUGCUUUUAAAUCAAGAGCUUGAUUAAUUGACUUUACUUUUGCUUCAAAUGCAUUUGUUUUUGGUUUAGGUUCAAAAUAUCGUCAAUGACCCGGGUACUGUGGAUAUGUUCCCAGCGUCACUUAUACCUCGAAAUUUGCACCAUCUUCUUAAGCCCAUCUAUCGUUCAACAUCUGUAGUUUCAAAGGACUCGUGGAGGCCUGGGAGUACCAUGAACGAGAAGGGGUUUCGUAUAACAACAGACCGCCACACUCUAUCUUGUGUUCUGGAAGGGGCACCAAAUGAUGAGGUAACUUGAUUGUUGUUUGGUGAAACUCAACUUUCCUGUUUUCUGAAUCUUUUCUGGGGUAGGGAGUUAGGGCAGUAAGUUCUAGAUGCCAGAAUAUGGAAACUAAGUUUACACUAUGGAUGCACUUUCUUUGUUUUUUCUCAUUUGCUUUACUUUGCAAAUGAAAUUGGGCUUUGUUAUAUUGCAUGUCACGUAAAUUUCUUUCUCAUUUGCAUUUAUUGUGUUUUAUGCUUGUCUUUUUGUUAAUUAACUAAAAUUUAGUUUCAGGUCCGGAAAAUGGCAUAUAUCAAAGGAAAUUCUGUUCCUCAUGCAAACCUUGGUGUUCUUGACUUAUAGCUUCCCGCCAUGAGCUUGCUCAGGUUUCUCUAUACCUAAACUCCCAGCAUAUUCUAAUCUCUUACUCCGCCUAGUUCUCCUUCCACCCUCCCAUUCCCAUACAUAAAUUGCACGAUACUAUUCUAUACCUAAACUCCCAGCAUAUUCUAAUCUCUUACUCCUCCUGGUUCUUCUUCUUCUUCUCUUUCUUCUUGAUCUCAUUCUUGUUGAUCCUUGAAACUCCAGAUGGGAUACAAAUAUGUAUCUCAUGCUUGGGGUAGNNNNNNNNNNNNNNNNNNNNNNNNNNNNNNNNNNNNNNNNNNNNNNNNNNNNNNNNNNNNNNNNNNNNNNNNNNNNNNNNNNNNNNNNNNNNNNNNNNNNNNNNNNNNNNNNNNNNNNNNNNNNNNNNNNNNNNNNNNNNNNNNUCUUCUCAUAAACAAUUUGAGUUUUUCUCAAGUGAGGCUUAUCUCCUGUGGAUUUUUGAGUGUUUACUAUGGAUAUUUCUGAUCAAAAGGUUCAUUGCAAAGGUAACAGCUCAUUUGACAACAGGAAAAGCUUGACUGAGCACUUUGAUACAAUUCAUGACAAGACUCACAAGCUAUGUGGUGAGAAAUUACUUUGCAAGGAGCCCGUCUACCCUAAGCAUGAGAUACAUAUUUGUAUCCCAUAUGGGGUUUCAAGGAUCAACAAGAAUGAGCUCAAGAAGAAAGAGAAAAAGAACCAAGAGGAGUAAGAGAUUAGAAUAUGCUGGGAGUUUAGGUAUAGAAUAGCAUCGUGCAAUUUAUGUAUGGGAAUGGGAGGGUGGAAGGGGAACUAGGAGUAGUAAGAGAUUAGAAUAUGCUGAGAGUUCAGGUAUAGAGAUUAGAAUAUGCUGUUACUCUCCAGAGGCAAUCUUUGAAAAACAAGAACGUAUCUAUUUUCAAUCUUAUCAGUACUAUUUUCUAUAUCCAAGUUAUAUUAUUGCAAUUGUCGCUCAUCUUUGGCCAAAUAUGUUGUUCUUAUCAACAGUUGUGAGAAUGUUAUUUCAAGAUAUUCUUCUGCGCCAUUCACCAUAGUAAGUUUGAUUAAAACUGUGCAAGACCUCUUUCUUUUGUAUGUAAGACAGCCUCAUAUUAUAGUUUUCUGUUUCAGGAGAGAACUUCUGGUGCUAAAUUCCUUUUGUUUUACUUAAGGUGUAGGACAUAGUGAAGAAUUGUUUUACUUUAGGUUUAUUCGAAUCAAAUGGCUUCAUUAAUUAUUCAGCGUAUGCUACAAAAUUCACAUGGAUGGGUAAGAAUAACAGUUCAAGGAAACUUAUUAAUAUCCAUCAGAAAAUGAAUAAAAAUUGCUACUCCACAUUUGCCUCGCCAACUCCAGAAUGAAAUCUCUGCAGCUGUUAGCCCACGCUUGACAUUUGCGUCCUACAUUGCCUCCAACAAGAGCCGUGCCAUAGUUUUGCCUCUUCGCUCACCUUCUUUUCUUCAAACCCCUCCAUUUCAUUCCUUCCCUUGCUAUUUAGUUGACUAGUUCUUGUUAACUCAAAUGGAACACAACAAGGGCUGUUCUCUAUACCUUUUCCAACUUCAUUUCAUUACAAAGACAGGAAAUAUCAGGAACCAUUCCUCCAUUAAAAUUCCUCAGGAUCCCAUCUCCUACAAGACCACUUAACAAAUGGGAAGGUUCUUUAGCUCCCCCAUGCUGUAAGAAUUUUGUUCUUAAUGCAGUUCCCGUAGUUAAUGAUAGUGGAUCCUCCUGGCACAGUUUCUGCCAUAUUGUUGCGGCAAAACAUUUGGCAUACAAGUAGCUAUAAUAACCUGCAAGACAAGUACAUUUUAUCAGCCAUGAAAACGAAAUUGUACACAAAAAGGAUAUUAUUAAUAAUAAUGUUUCUAAAUUUCACAUUUGAUAUACUUUUGAAGCUCAAAGAGGUUCAAGUUUGUGGAUGAGGCUGAUAAUUUGAAGUUACCUGCACCAUAAUUCAGGAGGUGAUUGAAUCGGGCCUCCCAGUGUGUGCCAGCCGCGUGCUUCCAACUAGUAUAUUGUCUUUUCAGAUCUGCCACAAUAGAACUUGUUGGUGGAGUUGGCUGUUCCCCAAAGAAUGUUUGGUCAAUAACAGCAUAAAAAAUCUGAGAACAGGAAACAAGCAAGCAAGCAAACAUUGGUCAGUAUUCCUUCUUUGUUGGUUUUCUCGUCUUCUCUUCUAAACACUUAGUGAUCAUUAUUGUUUUAUCCAGGAAGGUCCUUGGACAAUAACCUGACGUUGCAAUUCAGUUGCAGCAAACAUCUUUCUGGCACCCUGCAUUGACUCUACCAGUUUCUCAGGGAUGCUUUCACCAGUUGAAUAGUGUUUGGCAAAUGUCUUCAAAACUCGGUAAUCCCAUGAAUAGUACCUUGACAUAUCAACAGAAAACAUUUUCUCAUCAAUAUCCCAAAAAUAGACUGAUAAUUCAGACAGUUGCGACAAUUAAAAAGUAUCAUGCCAAACAUAUUCAUUCAACUACAUUGUCUUUCAUAUAUUUCUACAAAGAUUUUCAUCAGAUGAAAGAAUGAUGGAAUAAUAAUCAUAGCAUUCAACUCACUCAAAAAGGUUUGAAGGUGCUUCCGCUAAAUCAAGAGCCACCCUGGUACCUGAAAAGUGUUGGUAAUCCUACAAGAAAAUAUAAAAAAUGUAUUAUGGAAUUUGUGGCAAGGAAGAGGAGGUGAUAUAGCUUGUCCUCCGAGUCAAAAGGUAUUUCUAGAAUACCGUUCUUGAAAGCAAAGAAUGAAGAGCAUGUCCAAACUCAUGAAACAGAGUUUCCAAUUCCCAAUGAUUCAGCCUUGCAGUUGAUGAAUUAUGUGAAGCAGAAAAAUUGCAGACAAGAGCAACAACCUGCACGCCAAACCAGAAAGUCAUUGAAUGAGUAUCUAACUUUUUGGUAAUAUAGUCUGCAACCCAAGUCAGACAUUUUCUCACAAAGAGGAUUCCAAAAUACUAUGUUCUGAUAUUUAAUUAGAGAGUUUCUCCAACAAAAAUGCAAACCCAUCGGAGUGUCAAAGGUUUUUAGUGUCCAAAGGAAGUAUUUGCAAGCCCUAAUUCGCUUUUCGUUCCAUUUUGAAGAAUCCAACUAGCUAAGAAUUAUACAGUAUACUCUUUAAAAAUGCGUAAAUGUGCAACAUAAAAUUUGACAGGAGAAAAAAUGUCUAUUUACAUACAGGAAGUUGAUAUUCUGUUUCAGAAACCAUGCGGCCACCUUUAAUUGCAAAAUGAGCACAACCAGGAUACUUGCCCUUUCUUGAGUACAAAUCAAGGUAGAGAUACCCCAAAUCACCCUGUAACAAGUGCAUAGAUUCUAAUCAAUAUACGUGAAAAUCACAGAAGACAAAAUCAGUACAAUCAUGCACAGGAGUUUAAUUGCGCAUGUAAUUGAAGCAUUCCCAAUGCUGCAAGGAAUUCUCUUAGACUGUAUAACACAGACCGAAGACAUUCACACGUAUUAUCAUCCAUGUAAAUACCUCUUCAGGAUGAUGAAGAGACAUUUUAAGCACAUCUGGGUGCCAUGAUUCACCUGGUGCUAGGGGAAUGCUAUGAAACGUGGCACCAAACAAUGACUCCACCAGCACCUUCAAACCCUUAAUACAUUGAGGCAGAGGAAAAUACGACGCUACAACCUGCAUGAGAGAGACAGAGAGUCAAUAAAACUUCCCUUGCCAUCAAUAUGAUGCAUUAACAAGUAAAUCAAAGAGAUGGUAUUCCACAAGCAUCGUAGUAAGUAAACAUUGCAGUUAUCAGUUCUUUACUUCAAAAGCAAACAUGGGAGCAUAGCAUACCGAAGAGUCCAAGUCAUAGGCAGAAGACUUCAUCAUUGCGGUGUAAUAUGCCUCAUCCCAUGGCUCUAAAUCUCCAUAUUGCUGACCACAUUUUUCUCUUUUAAAAUCCCUAAUUUUUUUUAACUCCUGAAGUAAAAGUAACAUCAUUAAAAGAUAAAACCUGCAGUGUGAUCUAUAGUCAAAAUGAAAGAGUAGCAAUACUUUCAAACACUACAAAUGUCUUCCAAAGGACAUAUUACCUCAUCAGCGCUGGGUUUGACCAUCUUGCUCAUCUCUAGCAAAAAAGACAUCACAACUUCUGGUGACGAAGCCAUAUUAGGCUUAACAGUGAAUUCAGCAUAAGAUCUAUAACCCAUUAUCUGCAUUCAACAAUAAGAACAAAGCAUACCCAUAAGUACAAAUACAACAGAAAAAGACCCUACAUCAAUCCAUAUCCACUACAUUUCAAAUCAGACAAUUCCUACAAACUAUAGAUGUCUACAAAGGAUCACAAGAGAUCUGCAUUAAAGUAACUCCUCAAAUGACAUACAAGUCUAGAAGGGAAAAUGUUCUUGUGAGCAGUAACUUUAACCUGAUUCCACACAGGUUUGGAAAGCCUUCUCAACAUUUUAUAAUACUACAGAGAGAGAGAGAGAGAGAGAGAGAGAGAGAGAGAGAGAGAAACCUGAGCAAGCUCAUGGCGGGAAGCUACAAGUUGAUCAAGAACACCAAGGUUUGCAUGAGGAACAGAAUUUCCUUUGAUAUAUGCCAUUUUCCGGACCUGAAACCAAAUUUUAGUUAAUUAACAAAAAGACAAGCAUAAAACACAAUAAAUGCAAAUGGGAAAGAAAUUUAAGUGACAUGCAAUAUUACAAAGCCCAAUUUCAUUUGCAAAGUAAAGAAAAUGAGAAAAAACAAAGAAAGUGCAUCCAUAGUGUAAACUUAGUUUCCAUAUUCUGGCAUCUAGAACUUACUGCCCUAACUCCCUACCCCAGAAAAGAUUCAGAAAACAGGAAAGUCGAGUUUCACCGAACAACAAUCAAGUUACCUCAUCAUUUGGUGCCCCUUGCAGAACACAAGAUAGAGUGUGCGGGUCUGUUGUUAUACGAAACCCCUUCUCGUUCAUGGUACCCCCGGGCCUCCACGAGUCCUUUGAAACUACAGAUGUUGAACGAUAGAUGGGCUUAAGAAGAUGGUGCAAAUUUCGGGGUAUAAGUGACGCUGGGAAAAUAUCCACAGUACCCGGGUCAUUGACGAUAUUUUGAUUGAACCUAAUCCAAAAACAAAUGCAUUUGAAGCAAAAGUAAAGUCAAUUAGUCAAGCUCUUGAUUUAAAAGCAAAAAUGAAAAGCAUGGUAAGCAGUUAAAAUUAUAUCUCCACAACAUUGCAAAACUUGAAUAAGAUACUUUUGGCCCUAGGCUCUAAUGGAAAAUGGGCAGUGUGGGCCUAAGCUGUGUCUUUGGUUCAAAUCUUACAAGCACAAUAAUUGUGUGGCAGCAUUAGUCAAACAAACCAGUAGAAAAUAACUUAUUUUCCUAAACCUGGUAGCAGGCCUAAAAGUUCUAACUUGCAGUUAACAAUUGGCACAGAGGAACGCCAAAAAAAGAAAAGAAAAAAAACAAUAAGAUUAGUAGAAUGAGUGUCACUUAAAAAAAAAUUGAAAAAAAUUUAAAUAAAUUAGAGUACUUACUGUCUGCACAAUUGGGAAAUUUCUAUACUCAGCCGGUUCACUCUAUCUACUUUCUCUGCAAAGCAAAGUGAGGAGUUAUUUAGCUGCAACAAAAUCCCUGCUGUAACAGCAGCAUAAAAUGACAAGAAGAGAGCAAGUACCAGCAGAAAGAUGAAUCCCACUCCUCUCAAAGUCAAGGCGGAGGUAAUGCGCAACCCUAUGAGCUUCGUUGGUGAGCAAGUUGCCCUCUUGCUCAGCUUUAAUCAUGGCAUUAUAUAAAGUAUGAUUUGUAUUUAGAUACUGUAAGACAAUGAUGAAAAUUUUCAAAUCAGAUACUGGCAAUGGCUCAUGACUACAAUACAAUUUACAUACAUAACAAAACCGUGAGCAAAAAGUUAAUAACACUUGCAAAGACGAUUCACCGUCACCUCACAUGUAGAUAUUCAUUAACUCUUAUUGAAGCUUUGAUCGCCUCCUCAACAAAUUCCCUAAUGCACAAUCAAGUGAAAAUCGACAAUGAAAUACCGAAACAUAAAAAACUACAACAAUAAAAAAAGUCAAAAAAAUUCAGAGAAUAAUAACCUGUCAGGAUGAGUUUGUCUACAAAGCUCCGCGGAGUCAAUGACAGAACAGACCUAUGCAAUUAGAGAGUAUAACAAAGAAUUAGUCCAACAACUCUUAAAAAAAGAGAAUUAGACAAACUGUGAGACCUUACUGUGUUAGAAAUCUCAUCCAUGGCUCUUAUUAUUUCCGCUGAGGAAGGCAUCCCUGAAAUGUAUGCAACCAGCUCUCCGGACCUAAAAACAAAAACAAAACGAAUGAAAAUGGGGAGACUGAUGGAAAUCAAAAUGCCAUGAAUAUUGGGAUUUUCAAAGUUUGGACCUUUCGAUAGCAUCGUCGACGAAACGUCGAAAGCCUUUUGGGGUCUUUAGGUGGUCGAAGCCAUAGAGACCGGUGGCGGUGGAGAAGGCGUACUGGCGACGGGUCGUAAUAGGGCCCGGAUAGCCGAAUAUAUAACCGGGUUUGAACCGGAGCUUUGGGCAAGACCGGCGGAGGAGGCUGAGCAUUGUUUUUCCGGUGGCGCCGUAGUGAGGUAGGUCUGCGGAGGUUUUUUAUGUUCAGUAUGUGUACGACGGACCAGAUAUCCAACUGGUUGGGCCGUGGAUGUCAAAUCUAUAUAUAUAAAGCAAAAGGUAGAGAAUGGUGAAACAUUCAAAAUACCAGAAAAUACCUUUGGAUAAUGCAAACAUUAAGAAUUGAAAUUAUUAAUUAAAUAAGGAUAAUAUGGUAAAUUUACACUUUUUAUAUUAAAAAAAUAAAAAUAAAAAGAAUAAUCAGAUAAUGGAUUCUAUUUUUAUGGACCACAACUACCCAUUAUCUUUUUUAAUUCUAAAAUAAAUUUAAAGUUAAAAAAAAAAAACCUCUCGCAGGUGCGGAAGCGCGUGCAGAGAGCUAGUUUAAAAUAACGGUAAAACAGACUUAUAUUUUGACAGUUUUCACUGUAGCAAAAGAAAUGUUAUAUGCUUUUAAGAUAAUUGCUGCCGGACCGGUCCACAUAUUGAUUAAUCAACAUUAUCAUCUAAUUAGAUCAUACCCAACUCAAAAGUCACGUAACACUUAGCUUAUCCAUCAUAUCAUCAAUCAAAAUAAUCAAUAAACUUACACACCAAAUGAUAACGUUAAGUCCUUAUUUUGAAGUCAUUAAGUUGCUGCUGGACCGGUCCGAAAUUACUAACCACCAACUUGAUGGCUUUAAAAUAAGGACUCAACAUUGUGAUUUGGUGUGUAAAUUUAUCGAUUGAUGAUAUAAUGGAUAAGGCAAGUGUUACGUGACUUUUGAAUUGAAUAUGAUUUAAUUAGAUGAUAAUAGAUGCAAAUGGCGCUACAAAUCCACAGUCCACCAUCUUUCACAAUUCAAAAACAAGAAUUAAGCACUUAAUCCCCAUGCGCUGCAUGUUGUUGAUGAUGAUAAUCAAUAUGCGGACCGGAUCUGGCAGCAAUACCGGGUCCGGCAGAUAUUAUCUUAAAAGCAUAUAACAUUUCUUUUACUACAGUGAAAACUGUCAAAAUAUAAGUCCCUUUUACAGUUAUUCUAAAUUUAACAUCCACGGCCCAAAUGUCAAGCGCGGGCUAACAGCUGCAGAGAUUUCACUCUGGAGUUGGCGUGGCAAAUGUGGAGUAGCAGUUUUUAUUCAUUUUCUGAGGGAUAAUCAUAAGUUUCCUUGAACUGUUACAAAAUCCUCCCCUUGUACUACUUAAAGCUGCCAACCGGAAGUUUGCUGCUCAGAGACUCUAUCCAUUCCCGAAUAAUAGAAUUCACUUCAUCAGGCAGUUCGUCGUGGGGGCAAUGACCUGGAUUUAAAAAAAAACAUUAAAAAUAAGUAAACUUCCAAGAAACUUUUGAGUCUAAAUGGAGCAGGAUUAUGCAAGUAUUUUACCCACCGGCAUCCAAUUCCUUGAUUAUGAACCCAGCGCAAUGCUCUUUAAGCAUAGCCACUUUUGACUUGGAAUCAGAUAUUGGAUCUCUCAUUCCCUACAUGACAGAACUUGAUUAAGGGACCAAAAAAAAAAAAAAAAAAAGAAGAUGAUCAAAUGAUGGAAGAGAGAGAGAGAGAGAGAUUCUCUGCUUGUUAAGAUGUUACCUGUACAAUCAAAACCUCCUCGAAUCCAUCCAAGAGAUAAUUUAGUGGGACUGAUAGAUUGAAGCUAAAAACGCUUUCUAGGACCACUGCCACCCCAGGAUCAUAUGACUUUCAAGUUAUGUUAAGGAGAUAAUUUCUGACAAAUUACACAUGUCCUGGUGGCUCCAAAAGAAAAAUCAGCAGUGACUACUAGUUCCUAGAGAAACAAUAAAUAUACUUGACAUGAAAGAGGAUACUGCUCUUAGCAUUUCAUCAAUAAGCCAAUUGUCAACUCGCUCUGUUUUCUGCAGAGCAAAGGUAGUAAAAACACAAAUCAAUACUAUAAACGUGAACCAUAUUCAAAAUAUAGAGCAAUAGAGAUACUUACAGCUGGAUAACAAUUCUUCACUAUGUCCUUGAGAGUCAACCUUAAGUAAAACAAAAGGAAUUUAGCACCUAGCCAUGAAGCACUAGAAGUUCUUCUCUCCUGAAACAGAAAACUAUAAUAUGAGGCUGUCUUACACAUGAAAGAUAGGGGUCUUGCACAGUUUUAAUCAAACUUACUUUAGUGAAUGGCACAGAGGAAUAUCCUGGAAUAACAUUCCCACCACUGUUGAUAAGAACAACAGAUUUGGCCAAAGCAGGCCAAAGACGAACGACAAUUGCAAUAAUAUAACCUGGAUAUAGGAAAUAGUACUGAUAAGAUUGAAAAUACAUACGUUUUUGUUUUUCAAAGAUUGCCUCCGGAGAGUCAGUUGAAAAAUGAAGUAGAUAAGCCACCUAGAGAAAAGAAUGUAAGAGGUUGUUUGGGUAAGUUGCUCAUCUCGUUUCUAGUUUAAAACAUACCACCAAUUGAGUUCCCAACAAGAUGCACUGGUUCACCCACAACUUCAAUAAUGAAAUCUCUAAGCAUUUCAGCCCACAAGAGUUCAGUGUAUACAACAUUUGGCUUUUCUGAUUUUCCAAAUCCUAAAAUUGUUAUGGCCCAAACUCUGUUUCCACCUUCUGCAAUGCUACAUAUGUUGUCACGGUAAUGCUCCAAGAAGGCUCCAAAACCAUGAACAAGAAGACUAGCAGGACCUUCAUGACCAACAACUGUAUACUGACAAAAGGAUAAUAUCAUAGUGAAAGAGUAUAUACGCAAAUUUAAAACCAAACCCAGCUAAGUAUUUCUUUCAGAUUAGAAGCCAUGGAAAGUCUUUGAACGAGCAGAAGAUCAGUUUUGAACAGAAUACCUGAAUUAGAUAGCCUUUCCAUCUCCAACUACGAAUAUGAUAUCUUCUAUCAUCAUUUAUCUGACUUUUUAGAGCCACAAGCGAAUACCACUGCCACAAAAAACAACUCAGUUGCUUACAAAUAUACUAUGCAAAAAUUAUGAUUUUAAAAAAGCUAGCAACCUCACAAGGUGAGUCUCCAAAGAACCACUUCAAUCAGAACAUAUAUAUAUUUAGUGCAUAACUGGUAUAGCACCUCCAUUGAGCACACUGAAUCAACAGUUGUAGCAACCGUAGCGGAUGAAUAUCCAAAAGAAGACAGAAAUCCAGAAUCUCGUUCUUUCUCAUACUUGAGAGCUUCAAAAUGUACUCUCCUUCUGGAUAGAAUGCCAAGAGAAAGGGCAGGACCAAAGAGUGUAGUAAAUGAAGCCCCAUUCCGACUUUCAGCAUAAGGCAUCCUUUCAUGUACCCUGCAACCAAAUAAUCCCAAAAUACCCUUUUUUUGGUUAAUGCAGAUAUGAAGAGAAAGGAAUAUAUGAUUAUUUAAGGUUUUUUUCUUUCUCUAAAUAACAUUAUAAAAUAUGACUACAUACUCCUUCCAGUAGUGAUCCCGUUCUGUUCCCUCUAAAUAUCGCAAGUAUGCAGCCAAAGCUUUCAAUAAGUUGCUUGUCCCCCCUCCCACAGAACGUCCUUUCACAAAGACAGAAUUCUCGUGUCUCUUUGACUGGACCUGGACAUGUCUAAAACUCGAAUUGAUUGUAUUUCUUCCUGCGGGCUUCAAAAUUUCCUUCAUGAGAAUUGUUUCAGUCAACAUCUCCUUCGUUGAAGCCCAACUCUCUUCCACUUUGCAUGGAUUUGCCUUCACAAACUCCUUCAAAUCAUCAAACGUGGGGAUAGCACCUAAAAUCACAGUACAGUUAUCCUAGUCACUAGUACACAUAUUACAAGAUAGAACUUUGCUAAAUUUUAGUAACAAAACAAAUCAAGUACAAGUAUAAGCAGAAACAUGAACAAUCUUGGAACUUUACCCCAGUCCAAUUCCAUUUCACCACCAGUUAAUGUUGCCGGAGGAAGUGGCAAAGUUAUCGGUAAUCGAAGCUUGGUAAAAUCAUUGUACGAAUCAGGAAUAUCUUUCAAACUCUACACAUUAUACACAUUCAUACAAUAAUUAAAAUAACUACAACCACUCAAUUAUAAACUAACUUGAUGAACAACCAGAAUUCUCAAACAUAAAUCGAAAAACUAGUCAAGAAAAACAAAACUACCUUCACAUCAUAAAACGGAGUCCGCCACAGCACAAAGUUGGGCGCAGAAGGCAUUGCUUCCAAGGUGCCCUUGACACUACCAGUCAUCUGCCUAAAUCCAUACUCCACCUCCUCCUCAGCAUAGACAGUGGUGACAAGCUGAACCUGUUCCAAUCCUCUGUGAUGAUGAGUGGUUCAACUAGUCUCUCAUACACAGUAAGCAAAGCUAAUAUAUUUAUCUAACAACCUCUUUUACAAGCUCUUGUAGCGCACUCUCAGCACUCCCCAGCCUGAUCAUCAAGUUCGAACCUUUAUCUCUCAACGAGCUUCUCAAAUCUUGUAAAGCAAGCACAAGCAUUUCUAUCAUUUUCUCGGGAAAACCUGCACAUUUUACUCCCAUCAGUUCAUCUAUGUGUAUUAUUGUUCAUCAGUGUAUAUAUACGUCAGACCUACGGGAGAUGAUGCGAUGAUCGAAGAUGUACAGAGGAACUACGGCGUUGUGGUUAGAGGCGGCGAGAAGGGCUGGGUGAUCGUCGAUUCGAAGGUCGUGCUUUAACCAAACGACGGCUACGCCGGCCUUCUCUGCAUCGGUGACCGCAAUUUGAGCUUUGAAACGGCACCGUUUGGGUGAGAAGCGGAGAGUGUUUGGGGAGAAAGAAAGCGAGGGAAAGUGUAGGAAAGUGACGAGUGAGGCCAUGUGGGAGAGGAAUAGACUGUGGAAUGUGGAUGUGGAUGUUCAUGUCCAUCAAAGGAAAGUAGAGAGCAAAAGUGUUAUUGAGGAUAAAUCAGAGGACUUUGAGAGUUUGACAUUGUUUGAAAAUGCAGAAAACUAUUUUUGUGGUGCAGAAAAUUGAAUCAAACACCUGAAAAUUGAAAUUGGGAUUUUGUGGAGGAGAAGAACCCAAUGCACCACACUCUCAGUCGAGUCUCGUAGUGUUUCGUUAGUGGGGUAAACGACAUGUCGUUCUCUUACAGGCCAAAAAACACAAAAAGGAGCCAAAGAAGGAAGAUUUCUACUAACCAACUAAACUGAAAAUGGGGCUACAAAUCCACAGUCCCUCAUCCUUCACCAGCAAACCCUAUCAUCAUCUUCCUCACACUCCUCUGCUCCACUUUUCAGUCAGAACCCAAUUCACAGUCAAGUUACAGACACCAUCAGAGCCGUCCAAGCCCAAAGCUGAGACCACCCAGGCCUCACCCAAGAAACCCACCUCAGCUGGGCUCGGCUUUGGCUCAUCUCCUUCUUCUCCAACCACGCAGAAUGUGACUUCUGUCCCUAAUAAGAAGAAAAGGGUAAUUCGGAGGUCACCAGUGGAAAAGCCGCUUCUUUAUUCUGAAGAAGAUGAGGCUAAGGCCAAAGAGAUGGGCACAAAUGAGAGCGCUUUUGUUCUUGCUUGGUUGGGGCUUGGCGGUGUCAUUCUAGCUCAAGGACUUCUUCUCGCUGCAUCGGGUACGAUUACUCAUCCCUCCAUUAAUUGUGAUUGCACUGGUGUGAAUCACAAUACCCAAUAAAUGAUAUUUUUAUUGGGUAUUGUCUAAAGAAUAGAUUUUUGUUCAGCUUUUGGUUGAAUUAUAGGAGUUAAUAGGUUUGAAUCAUUUGAAUGUGGGUGAGAGUUAAGUUAACCAGUAUAGUUGUGUUAUUGUUUGCUUUGAUGGCUUUCAAAUUGUGUUGUCAGUUAUCUAAUCUUGGCUUGCUAUAUCUUAUUGAUGGAAGGAGAAUUGUUUAUCCAAAAAUGUUUUGUGUUGCAGUAACAAACGCUUUGACAAUAAACAAAAGACCAAUCCCGUUGGCCCAAAUCUUCCAUUCAGACUGUUUUGGUCCAAAGAGAAAUGAGGUUUAGUAAAGGGUUUUACUCAUAGGUUGCAUCUUUGCUUAUCUCAGUCCGGCAUGUUAGCCAGUUAGGACUCAAAUUUCAUCAUUUAGAAUCCAAUUCAGUAUCUUGUGCUCAUCUGCAGUCAUUCUUUUAGUCUAAUGACUCUAAUCCAUAUAGAAAACCCUUGUUGGUCCCAAACAUUCCUGUCCCUUUUUCGUGCCCAGACAUAUCUACCAUGAUACUGCACAAAAUGGUUCAAGUUCUAGAACAUUUGUCCAAACAAGCGGCUCUAUUUGAACUGAAUAAUGUUCCGCUCUCACUGACUGUCCUAUGACUUAAUUCGAAAAAUCAACACAGAAACACCAUUUUGAUCUUCUUCCUGGAAGUGCAACACCAACUAUCAAACAUUGAUCACAUUCAGCUCACAAACCAUUCCUUUUAAGAGCCUAACAUAUUCAGCUGACCCCCCUGAUUAUUGGAGUAUUUCUUCACAUAUCGGAAAAGGCAGUACAUUGUCCAUAAUGAUUGAUUACUUUAAUGUAAAGCAAAAGUUUUAUGCGAUAAGUCAUGGAAGUUAUUUCUAUAAUCGAUUUGAUAAUUUACGCUUUACAUUCUCUUCACGUUGCAGAUGAUAAGUUAAUUUUCAUUUCAGGCUUCCUGCCAGAAGAAUGGGACAAGUUCUUUGUGAAGUAUUUAUAUCCAUCUUUUACACCAACAGUCGGCUUGUUUGUUGCUGGAAGUGUUGCGUACGGAGUUUUGAAGUAUCUGCAGAACGAGGAACUUAAAGGUAAGAAAUGAUAUUUAUUUGUAUAGAUAGUACAUGUGGAGCCAAUUCAGUAGUUUUUCAAGCUGUACUUGUAGUGCUUUCAUGCUUGAUAGAAAGAUGAAUCAGCUGAGAAAUUGCAAACCACCUCCAUUGGAUCUGUUAAGCACAAUGUGCCAUCCCUUGAUUAAUUUCUACAAGCUAUACUUGAAGCCAUGUUAUUUUUAAAAGUCACAUGGCAAAAGUUCAGUAACAGGCAGACCGUUGGAUCUCACAUGUGUCCCAGGCCCCAUUGAGGAGAACCCUCAUGUUCUAAUGGUCUAUCCUGUCACUGGACUAUCCAGGUCAAGAGAGAAUCCAUACACAAUUGUAUGCUACACUGUUUUUGCCCUGUGCUCUUGGCCUUCAUCCUUUUACUUAUGUUGCUUUAUACCAUAGUAUUGCACCCAUCAGUCAUUGUUAGAAUUAGAAAGGAGUUGAUUAUCUGGUGCAACAUUCAUCCUGUCAUCCUUAGUUGGUAGUGAUGUAUUAUAACAAGCUUGUCAUGAUUGGAUUACUUGUUUGUGUUCUGCUUUGAAUUUUUUCUUUUAUAUACUUCCAUUUUUUGCUUCUCUAUUGCAGUCCAGUUGCUCUCACCCAUCUCUUGCCCUCUUCUUAGAUAUUAUUAAGUUGGUUCUGGCCUCGUGACUGAAAAGUGCACUUUUCUCACCAUUGAACUGUUGUGCUUAUUACAUCAACUUAAUCCACCUCUCUCACCAUGAGAUCUGUGAUCACAUCAACUUAAUUUUUUUUUUUUAUUAAACCUUGAGCAGACACCCUACAUUAUUUUCUAUUUCUAGGUUUGGAACCUGUGAAGGUGGUCUGCAUCUUUUUUUACAAGUUAUAACCAAUCAGUCAAUCACUUAAGGGAGAAACUUCAUUAAUUCUUAUUGCAUCCCUAUCCCGAUGUAAGGUUAGAUAAAGAUAAGAAACCCUUAAAGAUUCCACAAUGUCCACUGCUGCAUAAACGAUUGAAAAGGAGGUGAAAGUCUUGGCUUGGGUGAGGCGGUCGGACCACAUCGCCUGUACAGCUGCCCUCACAAGCAAGGGGAACCCUUGUGUUGGGACCCUACCCAGCCCCACAAUGGUCCUACCCCGAAUGCAGGGGGUUCCACUUGCUUGUGAGUGUGAUCGUAAGGAUGACGUGGUCCGACUGCCUCAUCCAAGACCUUCUUGAAAAGGAAAAGGAGAGGCAUAUUUGUACUGACUGAAUUUAAUUACAAUGGUUGCUGGUAUAAUCUCUAGGAGGAGAGGAGGAGGGCUUGCAGUCGUUGUUCUAACAAAAAGUCCAUCUUUCCUUCAUUUAUUUGACCAUGAGUGGUACAGUUGGUGUAUUUGGCCCGAAGAUCCUAACAGUUGGCACCAGAAACACUUAUAACCUCUGAUCAAUCGAUCUGAAAAAUAUUUGUAGUUUAUGUGAAUUUUUUUGGGGGGUCAUAUUCAUUUCUGGCUGCCUUUGAGGAGAAUGUAGUGUCAAUUUUCCCAAAGGACCACCCAAUCAUUGAUUGAUUACCCUCGUAGCAGUUGGCUUCCUUUUCCCAAUCCAUUCUCUGUCGGUGACUCUGACUCUCUGAGUGCCUCGCUUGAUCAACUUUGUGUGAGAAUUAGAUGACAAUGAGCUUGACUUGAGGUCCCCUCUCCUAAUUAUUCUUCUUCUUUCCCUUUGCAUUUCUCAUUAGAUGAUAGUCAAUUUGGACAACUCAUUGCUCUAAAUGAUAAUCAGAUGGCUUCCCUUGCAAUUCACAAAACCCGACCUGUCCGGCCCGACUUGUUUAAAGUUGAAACCAGAAACCAAACAAACACUAGAGUUAAAAUUUUGCGAAAUGCAACUUGUUAUAUGAGUUUUCAAAUGAAAUACUUGUGCAUCGGGACCCAGAAAGCAAGAAUAUUAUUCAUCUAGUAACCUCUUACGAUACAUGUCAAGGAAAACAAAACAAAAGCAUGCGUAAAAGUGUAACACCUAUCCAAUUUUAUAUACACAAAAACACUUGAAACUUUGUCAAAGUCGGGGCUUCAGGCGCCGCUGCCACUUUUAUAAUUAUGUUUUCAACACUGAUUAGAUUAAAAUAAUCAAAGUGCUAAACAUUUGAGUGACACUCCUGCUAUUAGUACUAGCCAUAUUAUUCUUCCUCCAUUUUCAGGUCAAAACUUAUGUCCUAAAUAGUUUGGAUUUUCAAUUUGCAAGUUGAUGGAGUGAGGGCCAGCUGGGGUUUUCCGCUUGUAUGUGUAAUGCAUUUUGACCGCUAAAACUUGAAAUUGUCUUUUAAUACUUUCGAUGGGGUAACCCAAAUUGGGCCAUACCAUUGAACUAAACAACAAAAUUCUUGAACACGAAGUCUUUCUAUGGAUCUGCAUGAUUAUGAGUUUGUUAUUUAGUCAAUGAGCUCUUAUUAUUAUUACUUUUUACACAAACGAUAUUGGGAGGAGGGAUUUAAACCGUGACCUUGAAUUUAAGGAAAACAAUAUUGGAGAAGAGGGAUUCAAACACGCGACCUUGAAUUCAAGGGUAACUGCUCUUAUUAUUAUUGGUUCGUGUAAAGUAAGUCAUUAAAACGUACCCAACACAAGAGAAACAAAUGUAUCGGAGCCCCCGGUGAAGUUGGAGCGCCCCUGUGCUGGCCAAGUUAUUACUGUGGAAACACAAACAACUGUAGGUUGUGCUUUUCGGCGGGUUGUCAAGCAGCAGGCAACUGAGUUGGUGCCUCUUUUCAUAAAAAGUAAAACUGAAAAAGCAUUCAAGAUUUUAUUUUUUUAAAAGAUAACACAAAAUAAAAUAAAAGUUGUAGUAUCUCGUAAGCCUCACGGCCCAAAUCCCGAUAAAGUUAACCUAAGAAAUUUGAGAGGAGAAAGGGAAAAUAAAAAAGAAAAAAGAAAAAGAAACAAGUGGGGCGCAAGGUACUGAAGGAGAGAGUUGAUGAAAUGCACACACAGGUCGUCUGAAAUUGACACUUGAUCCAGUGUGCUAAUGGCACAUACUAAAACAUUAUGAUACAACCUCAUUUUCAUUUCAUUACCAAAAGAAUCAAUUGGAGUCUCGUGGUGGACGGCAAUGAAAUCUUACCAGUCAGUUUUGAAGGGACUCAUCUUACAAGUACGUUUUGUUGGUAUAUGAUAUUAGUUGGAAACUUUCAAUAUUGGCCAAACCCACAUAACUGUGAGAUUAUGGUGAAAACUGUUUGUUAGAGUUUAGGUGGCCGAUGGAUAUUAUCGAAAACUUAAUCAUCUUCGUAAACUUUAUUGAUGAACAUGAUAUAUGUUAGAUCAUUAUAACUCUAGAGUGAUUUAUCAUAAGAAGGAGCGAUGAUAAGUAUAGGCUUGAGGUUAUCAUGGACAAACAAAUAUACCGGUCUAACUUUGUCAUUGAGGCGUGUCCAUGAUCGGACAACUAAAGCAAAGGAAUAGUAAAGGUUCCUCUCUGUAAAUGAAUGUCUACAUAGGAAAAAUCAUGAAGGUAGGGCCUAUAAUCCUGUCUUUUUCAUGUUGUGAAAUCACCAAGGCUAUGAUGAUAUGGGAAAACAAGUUUAACCUGUUUAAUAAUCAAAGUGGAAUUAAAAGAGGCAUAUGAUUAAAAUAAUAAUAAUUUGGAAAAAGAAAAGGAAAAAGAAAAAGAAUGAGAUGAACAAUUUCUCCUAGUCAAAUCUUCUAUUGUAAACUAGUUAAAUCACAAUGGCCUUCACGACAAGAGCCAUUGAAAAUUGGAAGUAAAAUGAUGGACCACACAGAAAAGCAAACCCUAAUAACAACAAGAAUCAGAUGCUUAUCGAUCUUUCGUCAUUCGCCAUAUCAAAUCAAAUUCUAAUAAGAUUGAAUUUCGUAAACAAAUCAUAAUAAUGUAAGGAACACGAGCACAUUUUGUUCAUGCUAGACUAGAGGAAUUGAUAAGGAACACGAGCACACUUGUCGCCAAGAGCAAAAGGUCGGUACAGUCCAGGUCCACCAAACGUAACAGUCGCGAGUAAAUGAGCACUAAAUUCUUCAAGCGAGUACAGAUAGAUAGCCAUAGUGCCAUUCCUUUAUUCAUCACUGCUGCACUCUAUCAUUGCUCACCAAAGAUGCAUAUAUCUAAUUUUGGGUAAUUUCUAAUUAGAUUAAGAUACAUUCAAUUUAUUUAUUUUUAACUUUUUUACAUCAAAGAUAUUCUAAACAGGGAGGGAGGGUGUUCGAAGUUGAGUGCAAUGAAGCGGAUACAUUAACUUAACCAAUUGGCCUGACCCUCAUUUACAAAUACCUUAAAUAGCUCCACCUGCUCCUAAUCCUUACUCUCACACUUCAAAUAAGGCGGGAAAGACAGCUAUUUGUAUACAGAACCAGUAUACAAUAAAUAUAUAUAUCAUUAUUACAAUAAUUAACAAGCUUAACUACCUUAACUAAUCAUGCACUUAACAAACGGACAAGCUUCGCAACGGCCCAGACCCAAAGACCCAAAACCACCACACACAAAAAAAAACCGGAAAAAAGAAAAAGAAGAAGCAAAAUAACCCAGAAAUAGAGACAAAAGAUAAAAGUAAUAAACAUCCUAAAACUUUUACUGGUCAAGUGCAUUCGGUCCGGUACAGUAAUUUAAAAUGUGGCUCCAAACCCACUGAACCAAGAACUUCCGUCGGAUCCCAUUCAUAUUGUACGUGGCACCAUCGUGGUCGUCCAACAGCUGACCCGUGUACGACCCGCCGCCUCCGGUACCGUAGAUGCCCUCGCAUAGAUCGGCAAUCUCAACAGGGAAACUCGGGUCCUGACCCGCAUACCAGGCGUUUACUAAAGGGUUGCUUGCCAGCUCAGCAAUCUCGUGUGCGAUAACGCUUAUCAUCCCCUCCACUCCUACGUCACCGUUCGGUGACUUUAACGGUUUCAACCCGGGCAUAAAAUCGGGUACGGCGAAUGGGUAUGCGCACACACCUGGGCACAGUUUGGCUGAGUUGCCAAUCCAAGCGUACGGCAACGUGUAUCCGACGAUGGACGGGAAAGUGAAGUAAUGGAACCCACACACCUGUCUGCAGAAAUCCUGAACGUACACGUCAUCAGAUGUGAGUAGGAGGUAGAGCCCAUUCUGGGGGCUGAUAGGCAACGGCCGCGUUCUGGCUGUGACGGCGCUUUUGAUCACAGACUGUAUGGAUAACCGGGUUAGGGUUUUGCCGUGGGAGUAAAAGCGGUCGUUUUUCUCUGAGCCGAGGCGCACCGUACGGGAAAUGUUCGCGCCGGUCUGGUCCGUGUACAGCUGUACAGUCUUCCACCAUCCGGCGACGGAGGGGCGUUUGGAACCGGCGGCGGAGAUUGAGUUGAUGAACUCGCGGAUGAUCUUCUUCUGGGCCGGCUGCCACGUGCCGUACCAGAUUGUGUGGACGGUUAUAUUGGCGGUUAGGACCGGGCCCAUAUGGUAUUUCAAAUGGACGAACUCAGAUGAGCCCUCGAAUUUUUUGUUGUCUCCGAGUUGGAGAUCGGUGGCGUUGGAUUUAAGGUGGGGCCAGGGACGCCAUCCAAUCACUGGCGCGGUGGAGAGGAGCACGGUAAGUGCGAUGAGGAGGAAGAGCACCGGAGCCGGUGGCUGAGAAAACCGACCGGUACAGCCCUGGCGCAUUUUAAAUUUGCUGGGAAGUGGGUGAGUAAGUGUGAAGUGGGAAGAAGUCACAAGUGUCUGAUAUUUUUCGCAGUGGGGGGUAUAUAUAGAAAUAAAUAAAUAAUUAGUUAGUUUAUUUUUCUUUAAUUUGGAAAUCGAAAAAAGAAAAAAAAAAUGUUGGGAGAGGGAGGCAUUGGUUUGUGGGUAAUGGAGGACAGAUAGAUUCUUAAAGCCAAGUGUGUGAGGGACGGUGGUGGGGCCGCUAAGUCAGACGUGGCAGCAGCAUCAUCAUGAUCAUCAUGGUCUAAUGUCGUCAUCUGAUCAGAUUUGAUCUCAGCCCUUUAUGUGUGCGUGUGUUCUUUUUUUUAUUUUUUUUAUUUUGCCGAGUGCGGGAAAAUAGGCCUAAAUGGAAAAGCUACAUUGUUUAACGCCUCUUUAAUUGUAUUUAAUGAAUUUUAUUUUUAUUAUUAUUGGGAAAAAUAAUACACAAAAUUUUAAAUAUUUUAAAUAUUUUUCGUACACUAGUCUCUUUGCACGCGCUUUCGCGCUUGCGAGAGGUUUUUUUAAAAAAAUAAGUAAAUUUAUUUUAGAAUUAAAAAAGAUAAUAGGUAGUUGUGUUCUAUAAAAAUAUGAUCCAUUAUCUGUUUUUUUUUUCUUUUAAUUUUUUUAAAUAUGAAAAAGUGUGAAUUUACCAUAUUAUCCUCAUUUAAUUAAUAAUUUGAAUUCUUAAUGUUUGCAUUAACCAAGGGCAUUUUCUGGUAUUUUGAAUGUUUCACCAUUCUCUGCCUUUUGCUUUAUAUAUAUAGAUGUUUGGAGAUAUUUUUGGUGGAAAUGAAUUAUUCUGAUUUCGACAAGUGAUGUUGAAAAUUUAUAGGAAAAUUAGAAUUGAUAAAAAAUGUGUACGGUUGUUCCGGAUGUGCAAGGCAGGCAUCAAGUUCAAGGGUGGUCCUCGUACAUAUUGUUGUUGGUAUAUAUUCUUUUUUUUUUUCUAGUGUAAGAUAAUAAUAAUAAUAAUAAUACAACAUUGGUUGGUCUGAAAUAGUUCUGAACAAAGUAAAAGUCUGUCGUUGAUAGUUUUUCCCAAACAUCUCAACACGCGGGCUUAUAUAGUAUAUGAAUGUGAUAGUAUUGUUCAACCAACCCAGACUGCUUUUGGUAGAUUUUGGUCCAUAAACUUGUAAUUUUCUUCCAUGUCAAGUCCCUAUCAACAGAAGCUAUAGCUCUUCAUGUUAGAGUUUCACUGUUUGAAUUUUAUUAAUUCCUGCUCAAUAUUCAUCUAAUAAUCCCGUCAAAUCCUCAUAAGUGAAUUAAGCCUGUUGUUCAAGUCAAUGUGUCCGUCCCCUUGCAUCUUUAAGUUCGAGCUCCCUUUUCAUUUACCGUCAAAAAGAAAAAACUCAUUGAAUUCUUCCACAAUCUGAAAAAUACGAAACUAUGAGCUAUUAAUCUGAUAUGCAUGAUCAUUGAGGACCACGGGGCAAGAAGAAGCCAUCAAAUAUGAAACAAUGGCCAUUAUCCUUUACAAAAUCUGUACUCAAACCACUCAAGGACAAUUCUUUCCAUUGGCUUUUUCAUCUAAAUUUACCACAAUAACCUUUCUUGGUCUAUUAAUAUACACUACUAAAGUCCGAGUCUCUGGUCUGGACCCCCCCGCCCUUUCCUUGAUUCUCUUCUUUUAGCAGCAUGAUAUUUGUAACCAGGCCAUUCUUGAAUUCACUGGAGGCAAAGAUAAAUAUCAUAUCUUUUCAUGCUCUGUUGAAAUAAUGACAAAUCAAGCACACGAAUAAACUUGUAUAUACAUCUUAUGAUUACUGCAAGGUGUUUGCAUAAUAUAUAUAUAUUUAGAAUGUGGGACCUUUGCUAUAUAUCAAAAUAUUUACCAUAUCAUAUAGCAUAAUUAAAUAAGUUUAUUUAUUUUAGCUUAACCUAUGUUUUUAUUUAUGAUAACGAUGUUUCUUGUAUAUUGAGAUAUUGUUAGUUGCGUGGGCUAGUUUUGAUAUUCAAUACAUGUCGAAUGCACAAUAAACCGACAUUCAUUUCACAUUACGUAAGUUCUUCAUAUAAUAAUGUAUGGAGAGCGAUAUAUAUUUUAAAUUAUUAUAAUAUAUACAUAGUGAGAUCGAAUUCAAGUGUCAGAAAGCGGACAUACAGUUUUUUAAUAAUUAAAUAAAACAAAAACAAAAAUUGACCGAUAAUUUGAAGGUAUUAUGCAAAAGUAUACAAUCACACACUACACACUACACACUACACAAGUUGGGUGUUGCAAUUUGCAAAUCACGGAGUAAAUUGCGCGGCUUCCUAAUGAUGAGUCAGACUAAAUUGUACAGCUGAGAUUGAGAGCGAUGGAAGGGUGGGGCCCAGGAGUAGGUGGGCCUCAGAGCUCUAAUCACUAAUCAAUCGAUCACACAAACUGUGAGGAAGGAGGGAGAUGAGUGGGCCCCACCGUUGAAUGUGAUGUGACGCUCGGCCCAAGAGCAAGCAAAGCCGAGCAAACACCGAACCGAAGCAGCGCAUGCACCGAGAGUGUGUGUCUCAGUUUCUCUCUGCGUUCCACCAGGCGCGUACUGUGCACCGUCAAGACAGAGUUGCGGAAACUUUGGGGUACAUGGCGGGAAGACUGGUAACAGUCUCAGUCUGCAUGCAGAGUUUUACUUUCGUGUGGCCGCGUUUACUGAACGCGCGUUUCUACUGGCGGAAAGGUUGGUUUUCGCCUUUCAAGGUGGAUGUUGGUCCAAUCCCAUAGGGCCGAUAGUAUAGUAAACUGUAUAGCAUGCAUUGAUUGGACCUACUAAUCCAUUCCAUCUUUUUCACCAGCCUCUUUUGUAUUUGCCACUUGUGAACCAAACGACAGUUUCUUUGUUACAUUCGACUCAUCUCAUUUUAUUUUCACUUCGCUGCAUAUAUAUAUAAUAUAUAUAUAUAUAUAUAUAUUUUUGGGUAUUGAAAUAAAGUGUAUUUCAUGAUAAUGAUAUAAGGUAAUUCUAGCUAAUCCCACUAUUAAGCUAAAUCAUAUUGUGUUGUGCCGAUAAUUCUGAACCGUUAAUUGAAUAGACUUAAGUAUAAUAUGAAGCUCGUGUCAUUAAAUUAAGAUUGUGAAUAUUAUUCAUAUACAAGUCGAGAAUAGAUUACGUAAUUGAACUUUAGUUAUAACGGAAUCCGUCCGAUGUUGUAAAUCGUCGAUGUAUGAUUGAGUACAUGCAGAUGCACAUCACGUACGAAGGCAGGCCAUAGACCGCAGAGAGCAUGCAAGCAUGGCAUUGCCAUGUUUCAGGUAUUAGCAUAUUCAAACCCAAAGUUUAUAGGUGAGAGAAAAUAAUGAAGGGGAAAGGGAAGCUUUUAUGCUGUCACCAAAAACGAUGGGCUUGGCUUUGGCCUUUGAGAAGGACAUGAGAGAUGAGAAUUGGUUUAUAAUUUGCUUACGGUGGCAUUCGCAUGCUAUCAACUGCUGGAUAUGAAGAAGAGGUUUGGAAGUUUAUGUGAUUUUGAUAUAUACUUGGUUGGUUUUGGUUGUAUAGCUUGUAUUUUCUGCACCUCCUUCCCGACAACUUUUGGAUAGACAUUAUACCUCUUUUUGUACCUUUCUUGGUAAAAGAAAGUAACUUAUAAGUAAGUAAAUAAAAGGACUGAAGGAAGAGUGCUUCACUAUACUUGCAUUAUUGGAAAUUAAUAUAUGUACACACACAUGCUUUGUGCAUAUAUACGUAGCCUAUAGCUAGCUAGGCUUUAACUUGGUGGUAAUGAUGUGAAAGAAGAGAGGUGAGUGAAAUGUAAAUUCAGGAAUUUAAUAUGUACCUUGCUCUGGUGGUUGAAAUUUCUUAUUUAUUUUGUCAAGUACUGAGAGAAGAAGAAGAAGAAGAUGCAGCAUGACUUUCUCUCUUUUCACCUAACCAGAUUGACAAUAUAUAAUAUUGCGGUUUCAUGAUCCAUCCAUGCAUGUGUAUGCAAAUUAAAUUGCUCUAUCGCCACAUUGCACAUGAAAAUUAUUAAGGCCACCUUCCAUGCCUUCCAUGGUGGCUGGCUAGCUCAUUCAAGAUAUGUAAAAUUGCGACAACAAUGAGUCACGUCAUAGUUCCAUUAUGGGGAACAAGUUAUGGAAAAGCUUAAAUUGAUUUUAUGAUAUGAUUUUACAAAAAGCUUGCGCCCCGCAGAUAUGAUGGUGGUGUGGGUGGGCACAGCAAAUGACUAAAGUGGCUGGAGUUUUUAUGAAUGAAUAAAGAUUCAAAGAACCGAAAGAAGCCACGCAGGUGAUGAUGAAAUGAAAAUGGUGUUGGUGUUGGUGUUGGUGUUGUUGUGGGUAAUAAAACAAAAGCAUGCACAUAAAUGAAUGAUUGCUAAAGAUCAGAGUGUUGAAAAAAAUGAGCAAAAUAUAUGAAAUCUAUGUUCAUAUAUGUAUGUGAUUGCAAAUGAUUUCAAGUUUCUGUUAAUUAAUCUUUGGAUAGGAUUUUGGACUUGAUUAGAAAAACUAAUCAUGAAUUUCAAUGCAUGUUUUUCGAUGCUUAAUGAGGUAAAGGAGCCGAAAGCGUACCAACAAUAUUCGUCUUUUUUGUUUUUGUUUUUUCAAAAGGAAAAAUAGAAGUGACUGAAGAGACCAUGUAAGAAGGAGAGGCCUAUUAAUAUUAAUUAACCAUGAUUUUAUAGAUUUGACAGAAGCAAGCAGCUUUGUUGCUUGAUUUGUUCGAAAAAUUCCUCUAAUCAGACAUAUCAAUGUUCAAUGUUUAAUGGGUGAAUUUAUACUUUGGUUAAAAGUCAAGUGAUAUGACCCCCUCUUUGUCUCCUUUCCCCCAUCCCAUAAUCAGCUCACCAAAAAUAUCUUCAACAGUUGGGAAAUUGAGAUUCAAGUCCACUGUGGUGCUCCUCAGUGUCAGUUGAUUUAUUUUUGGUCUGGUGCUCAUUAGUUUGAUUGGAGAAAGAGAGGGAAAAAGUGAAUUACCGUAUCUUCUGAAAACGAAAACGUUGAAAACGAAAACAAUCCACCGAACGGGUAUUUGCCGAAAAACAGAAAACCGGAAACAGAAACGGGCUGUAAAAACGAUACCGAACAGGCCCUUAUUUUUCUUUGAUACUGCAAAAGGUGUUUUCAGGCUUUUAAGAUUCAUGUUCCUCAGAACUGGGAUGGCUUCUUCUGUUUGGGGAGUAGGAAUAUGAAAGCAAUCCCAUAUGUGAAAUAAUGUAUUUAUUUGUGAAAGCAAUCCCUUUCCUUUCAAAAUUCUAUUUGUUUAGACUCCUUUGCAAACUUUGCUUCCCUCCCUUAUCCAGUUUUCCUUCAUUCAAUCUCUCUCUCUUUCUCUCUCUCUCUCUCUCUCUCUCUUCGGCACACAGAAAACUUGAGCUUUCCACACAAGAAAGCCAGAAUCUUCAAUCAUUUGCAAUUUUUUUUUUAAAGUUUUGUUUGAUUCUCUGUUGGGUUCCUUACACUUUGUACAUAGAUAGAUAGGAGGCAUUAAGAUAACUACACCAACCAACAAGCAAAUAGUAACCAAACAACACAGAAAUUAAGUUACAUUUGGAGUCAUUGGACCAUCAAGGAAGAUGAGGACAAGCCCAAUCCCUCUGUCACCCGAAAACCCAACUUUGAUUUUUGACUUCAAAGUCUUCAAUUCACAUGCAAACUCCUUCACAUUACAAACUUCAUAAAUCCCGAUUAACGCAAAACUCUUCCCAUUUAAAAACCAAUAUUAAAAGCCCAUAACCAAAAAAAAAAGCCGAAGAGAAAUUUUCCCGGGAAAAUUUCUUCAAUGGACAAACCCAUACACACUCAUCGGUUUCGCUACCGCUGCUCCAUAACCAAGCUCAUCUUCUGCUGGUUCACCAUCCUGCUCGCCUUAUUCUUUUUCUUCCUCCUCAAAACCCCAUCUUCCAAUGCCAACCGCCGAGUCCUCCCAAGCCUAUCCACAUGGGAAAACGUCGUCGUCCAAUCCGCCAAGCCACGUGAUAAUUCCACCGGCCACUCGGUUCUCGUCACCGGCGCCGCCGGUUUCGUCGGAACCCACGUCUCGCUCGCGCUCAAAGAACGCGGAGACGGCGUCGUCGGAAUAGACAACUUCAACAAGUACUACGACCCGUCGCUGAAACGCCGUCGUUCGGAUCUGCUACUGCGCAAUGGGGUCUUCGUACUGGAAGCAGACAUCAACGACUCUGAGAAACUCGCCAAGCUUUUCCGGCUGGUGAAGUUUACCCAUGUCGUCCACUUGGCUGCUCAGGCCGGCGUUCGCUACGCUCUGAAAAACCCAGCUUCUUAUGUCCACAGCAACAUCGCUGGGCUCGUCAAUGUCUUCGAGGUCUGUAAAUCAGCGAACCCACAACCUUCGAUUGUUUGGGCUUCGUCUAGCUCUGUGUAUGGUCUCAAUUCUAAGGUACCCUUUUCGGAAGAAGACCGUGCGGACCAACCAGCAAGCUUGUACGCUGCAACGAAGAAAGCUGGGGAAGAAAUAGCACACGCUUAUCACCAUAUCUAUGGGCUGUCCAUUACUGGGUUGAGGUUUUUCACUGUGUAUGGGCCUUGGGGCAGGCCUGAUAUGGUGUACUUUUCCUUUACUAAGAACAUGUUGAGCGGGAAGCCUAUUGUGGUUUUUGAAGGCCCAGAUCAUGGCUCUGUUGCCAGGGACUUUACGUACAUUGAUGAUGUUGUGAAGGGUUGCUUGGCUGCGUUGGACACGGCUGAGAAGAGCACCGGGAGUGGCGGCAGGGUUGAGGGGCCGGCGCAGUUGAGGGUUUUUAAUCUCGGGAACACUUCACCGGUGCCAGUGAGUGAGGUGGUGAGUAUUAUGGAGAGGUUGCUGAGGGUGAAGGCUAAGAAGGUUGUGGUGCCAAUGCCGAGGAAUGGGGAUGUUUUGUUUACUCAUGCUAACAUAAGCUUGGCGCGGAGGGAGCUUGGUUAUAUGCCCACAACAGAUUUGAAGACAGGGCUGAGGAAGUUUUUAAAUUGGUAUCUUGAUUAUUAUUCGGAAUCAAAGAGGGAGAGUGUUUGAUAAAUGUGAAAUCAUGUUGAUUCCAACUGCAAGGGAGACAGUGAGCCACGGAUGUGGCGCACGAACGCUCUCUCGGUACUCAAGGAGUAAUUCCCCCCGAGGGGUAUUAUGGUGUUCAUAAAUUAUGUAGGUCAAUCUUAAUAGUGUUUAAUUUCUUGUUUCAAUUUGAUGCGCAUAUAGCAUCUCAAUUUAGUGUUCAUUGACAAUUUUGUUCAGAACAGUGAAUUUUUUUCUUAAUCAACAGGACAAUGUGUCAAGAAGAGAGCUUAUUUUUUAAAGAAUUUUGGCAGUGUUGUCAAGUUCAUUAGCAGUAUGCAAUCAGCAGCUGAAUUAUGCCUAGGAUCUAAAACAUUCUACUUCAAAGAAAACAUGGUAAACAUUCAUCGUACUCGUGACCAAGAGGCAAGCACAUAAGAAACAAAAAUUAUGAAACAGGUUUUGGUUUUUUUGGGUUCAACGACGACAAUCGGAAACUCAAUCCAACCAGAAUAAAGUAUAACAGGAGAACAUUUCUCCGUUCCACAGUGAGCAUCAAUGGGAAGGAAACAACGCUACAGUACUUCUAUUUAACAUCAAAACAUGGGAGUGCAUAUUCAUAUCAAAACAACUGCUCAAGAAAAUUGCAAACGACACUACCAAGUCUUUAAAUUCAAGAUUAGAACACAACAAACAAGCUCAUUUUAAAGUAGGAAGGCUACACUGAAAACGGGUCCAGUUUAAGAGUCUGCGAUUGUAACCUCCACUUCCACACCAGGUUCAAUUGUAAUGGAAGUAAUUUGCUUGACGACAUCAGGAGAACUGAAGAGGUCAAUCACCCUCUUGUGGACACGUAACUCAAAUCUGUCCCAUGUGUUGGUACCUGUAAAUCACAAACACAAUUUUAAAGGUACAUACAUAACCCUUUAAAAUGCAAAUGCAGAGACACUGUACUUCAAUAACUGGUCAUUUAUGAAUAAACCACAGUAAGCAACAAAUUUUACUUAUGUAACUUGGCACAAACAAGGGAGCUCCAAACUCUGAGUAAAUGGCCAUAAAAGCCAUAAGCCUUGCCCACAAAGCAAUAAGUUAACAACAAGAACAUUUCACAGUGAAACAUACCUUCACCACAAGGAGACUUCCUGGUGGUAAUGUGCAGAACCUUGGUUGGCAUUCUCACGGGUCCCUUAACCCGGAGCCUCUUGUCCUUCGCACCACGAACCAGAUCAGUGCAAACUGUCAAUAAAACAGAUGUCAAUCCAGCAGGCUAAAGAAAUAUUCAAACAAGAAAAAUCUUAUUUCUUAAUAAUCUAAACAAACUUAAAAACUUUAUGUAGUGGAUAAAACCCAUUUCAACCACGUCACACAGCAAUUAAGUAAAACUGAAAUUGAACACAAUGAAGCUCAUAAAAACCAGAACAAUCAUGCAGAUUAAGAAGACAAUUCGGGUAUAACAAACCAAAUUUAUUGAAAGUGUCUUGCAGUGGUUUCAUGUUAUAUGCACAAACAUUUCUCCAAAGUUCAAUAUACACUAACAGAUAUCCUCCUCCAGCUAUCAAAUGGGUCUUAGUCUUUAGACAACUGAAAAUUGGAACAUGGUAAAACAACUACACAAACGCGUCCCUAGCUAAGAGAAAGUAAUUUGUUCCAAUUAAAAAUAAAUAAAAAUAAAGAAAUGGGCAAAAAUUAAAUAAGACCGAUGAUAAGCAAAAGGAGAGACCUUUCUCGAGGUUCUUGACGUUCUUGGAGGAGAGAGUGAUCCUGAUCUUGUGGAUCUGCUCCUGCUCCUCCAGACCUGCCUUGCUUGGUUUCAUCGCUGCAUAAGCCAUUUUCUUCAGCCAAGCUACUCGUUCGCUUUCCUAUACAUCAACAUAGCAAUACAACGAUUAAUCACAGAUAUCAUAUAUAAUCUAUCAUAAAUAAGACAAAAGAUUACUCUGUUUCACUCAGUUUUGCUAGAAAUUAUUAAAAUAAGUAUAAUCUAAACUCUGAGAGAGACGAAGAAGAACACAGACCUGGGUGAGGUGAGGGUUUAGGGCAAGGGAUUUAUCCAAAUGAAGCAAAAUAUCUAUUUUAACAACCUGUUGACCCCAAAAAAAGCAAAACAACCUAAGUGACAAUGUGAAAGUUAUGGACGGGUCGGGUCGGGUUGUCACCAUGUGUGCCAGAUGUGUGAUAGUUAUGGACGUGUCGGGUUGAAGAUUUUUUAAGUUGGGUUCAACUUAUGAGUGUAGCCCAAAUAAUAAUCGGGUUAGUUAGGCUUCUUCAGACAAAUUACACCGAUAUUGUCUUUUCUUUUUGCAUAUUUUAUCUUUCGUCAAGCGGCAAGAGGGACAUUGUCGUGACCAAUUGGCUUAAUUCAUAUUUUUGAGUUUACUUUUAAUUAUUAAUAAUGAUAAUAAGGUUCAUUUGGUUGCCAAAUUUACUUUUGGAUUUGGAAAAUUUUCUUACAAAUUUUUGGUCGACAUGCUUUUGAAAUUAGGUUAGUUCCAACUUGUUUAAUCGCCAUUUCAUACAAAAAUUAAAGACACAUAAUUACUUAUUUAUUUUUGGUGAAGUAGGGUUGAAAAGGUUGAACCACAAACAAUGCUUAAGAAGAUACAAUGACCUUGAUAAUUGGUGGUAUUAGAUUCAUUGGAGAUGAUGCUUGGCUAACAAGACCCACAACUACCAAUGGUUUUGUUAAAAGUCAGAAAAUUUAAGGACUUCGAGUGGACAUUUAAAUCAACAGCCCACUACAGAUGAUUGAGAUAUGUUUAUUUCAAUCGAUAUAGGCAUAUGGCAAGCUAAAAUCACUAGUUUUAAUUAGAGAUUAGUUCAUCUUUGCUUCAUGAGUUCAUCAUCAGCAGCAGCAGUAUGCAAUGAGCUGAAUUAUGCCAUUGCCAAGCAUCGUAAACAUUCAUGGUUCACUUCACGUGAUCAAGAGGCAAGAUCAUAAGAAACUAUGAAUACGUCAACUUGUAUGGUUCACUUGUUUGUGACCAUUUUAGCUAUAUAGGUUUAGGUUUUGGGGUGCAGGCACAUCCCUCCUUAGGGAAUGCAAUAAGUUCCACAAGGCAAUCCAUGACAACCAUCAAAAACUCAAUUGCCACAUAAUGAUGUAGAAGAACAAGACCAGGAAGAAAACAUUUGAACGCCCCAGAGGCCAUCAACAACAAAACUCAAUUUAAGAAUUUCAAUUGGUCUUGAUUCUCUCUCACGAUGUACUUGACAUAUAUAGGAUAAAAAUGAAAAGGAAACAAAGGUAAAACAUUUGCAAAACGUACUUCUAUUCAAUAUCAAAAUAUGCACUGACGUACAUAUCCAUAUCAAAACAUCAGGGUCAAGAAAUUGCAAACGACGCUACUAAAUCUUUAAAUUCAAAAUUAGAACAGAAAAAACAAGCUCAUUGUCCAACUAAUUGGGAAGGCUAUGCGGAAAACUGGUUCAGUUUAAGAGUCGGCAAUUGUAACCUCCACUUCCACACCAGGUUCAAUUGUAAUGGAUGUAAUUUGCUUGACCACAUCAGGAGAGCUAAAGAGGUCAAUAACCCUCUUGUGGACGCGCAACUCAAAUCUGUCCCAUGUGUUGGUACCUGUAAAUCACAAACAAAAUUUUAAAGAUACAUACAUAACCAUUUAAAAUGCAAAUGCAGACAAUGUAUUUCUGCAACUGGUCAGGUAUGAACAGGCCACAGUAAGUUACAAAAUUUACUUAUGUAACCUAGCACAAACAAGGGUAAUCCUAAACCAACUCUAAGAAUGACCACAAAAGCCAUAACCCUUGUCCAUAAACUAGCCCAUAAGGCAUUCAUAUAUACACUAAAACAACUAAAACAACGACAGAAAUAUAACAAUGUCAUUUGUCAAGCCGUAAAUUAAGAGCAAGUACAUUUCACACCGAAACAUACCUUCACCACAAGGAGCCUUCCUGGUGGUAAUGUGCAGAACCUUGGUUGGCAUUCUCACGGGUCCCUUAACCCUGAGCCUCUUGUCCUUUGCACCACGAACAAGAUCAGUGCACACUAUCAAUAAAACAGAUGUCAAUCCAACAGACUAAAGAAAUAUUCAAACAAUAAAACGUGAAUUCUUAUAAUCUAAACAAUGGUGGAUAAACCGAUUUGGACCACGUCACAAGCAAUUAAAGAAAAAUAAAAUUGAAUAACAGUUAUACAAUCAAGCUCAUAAAAACCAGCAAAAUCUAAGAGAUUAAGAAGAUAAUUCAGGUAUGACAAACCAAUCUUAUUGAAAAGGCAUUGCACUGGUUUCAUGUUAAAUGUACACAAUAUUAUAUUGCAAGCACAAAGUUUUCUCCGAAGUUCAAUUCGCACUAACAAAUAUGCAGCUACUGAACGGGUGUUACGACAAUAGAAAAUGGGAAGAUGGAAAAACUAUUAAACAAACGCGACCCUAAGAGAUACUAAUUACUAAAAUAGUACAUUUCAAAUUAAAAAUAAAGAAUCAGGACGUAUUACAAGUAAUGCGAAUCGGGCAAAACUAAAAUAAAUAUAAUAAGCAAAAGCAGAUACCUUUCUCGAGGUUCUUCACGUUCUUGGAAGAGAGAGUGAUCCUGAUCUUAUGGAUCUGCUCCUGAGGCUCCUCCAGCCCUGGCUUGUUUUGUUUCAUCGCUGCGUAAGCCAUUGUGUUCAAGCUACUUGUUCACUUUCCUACAUAUUGAGAUCAAAACACAACGAUUAAUCACAUAUAUCAUAUUCAAUCUAUAAGAAAUCAGAAACGAAAUGAACUUGGUUUCAGUCUGGGAAAAUCACAGACUUGGGUGCAGGUGUUGAGGGGGGGAAGGAGGGCUGGAGCUGCGGCUUCUUCAAUACCUCUUUUCUCAAAGCGAUGUAAGGAGCAGCCAAGUCUUGUGAGUUUAUAUAUCAUGGGUUAUUAGGGUUUUGCCACCAUGUGCGCGAAAGUUAAGGCCGGGUCGGGUUGACGAUUUUUGAACGUGGGUGACUCUGGCCCAAAUACUCUGGGUUGGUUGUGCUUCAUCCAGAUAUAUUAUAUUUUUUACUUUCUGUGUUUCCCAACUAUUGGUUAUUAAUCAUGAUAAUAGGGUUCUUUCGACCAUUAAAAAAAGUGAUAAUAGGGUUCAUUUGUUGCCAAAUUUGGUUUUGGAGAAUCUUCUUAGAAAUUUCUGGUUCCCAUUUUGUUCUGUGGUACCUCUUCCAAAAACAAAAUUAUAGACAUAUAAUUAUUCAUUUUUUGUCUGCCAGUGCCGCCCUCAAAUUAACAGGACAAGUACUUAUUUACAAAACAUCUAAUGACCUUGAUUAUUGGUGGUAUACAAACCCAAAACUAGAAGUAGUUUCGUACUCAGAACACUGAAAAGAGGCGUAGCAUUCUGUAACACCAUUCUCUUUUUUAUGAUAUUUUCUUAUUUUGUUUGAAAAACAGUGAACAAAGCACAAAAUUUUUACCAAAAGAAUCCUUGAUCUUUCCAUAAAAGAUAGCAGUAAACCAAUAAAUAGAAAGAAAGGCCUAAAGGUAUUCCUCACAAAGUUACCAAUCCUUGUGUCCUGAGACUAAUGACUAAUGGACAAUUUGUUCACAUAUACAGUAACAAGAAAGGGUCAUGGGUUAAAACGCAACACUUGAAAGAGAUGAAACAUUGAAAGGAGAAAGAAUUUCAAUGGCGGCCACCAUCAUUUUCAUGCUCCAUUUCUUCAGCAUCCUCAAAGCGUUGAUCAUUGAUUUGAAGCUGCCAGGAAGAUAAAAAAAAUGUGAUCCAUAUCAUAUGCUGCUCUCAAUUAAAGAAAUAAAAAGCUCAUACAAAGGCACCAACUCCAUAGCAGCAUUUAAUGGAUAUUCACACCCUACCUCAAGCACGGUACGAGCUAGGUCAUGAUCCCCAUUAGAUUGACCAAUUGAAGGAUUUUCAGAAACAUGCCACUCAGAAUCUUCCCCUGAAAAUAUCGUCAUAUUCAAAACAAAGAUAUCAGACAACAAUUAGAUUUUUUGUCACACAAAUUGACACAUAAACUGGUACAAAUUGUUACAUGGUGCAUCCCAUACCUGUUGCGUCAUCUUCCAACUGAUCAGCACUAAAAAUCCAAUUAUGCUCUUCUUCCUCUUCUAGAAAAAGAUAAAAACAAUUGUGUGAUACUAGGAUGCAACUCAUGAAGCAAACAUAAUACAUUAGCAUGCAAAAAGAGAAAAUAAGAAAUAAAAUAAACCCUGGCAUUAAGAGAAAAUCUACUAACCUUCAAUCGGUUCAGGAUUAAGCUCAGCACACUCGCAAAAUACCUCAAACAGAGAAUCCACUGCCACAUAGAAAUUAAUAUGCCAGUUACACUUCUCCAGGAAAAUACUAAGAAAAAUCAAGACAGUAUGACCUUAUUAUAGCCACAAUUGAGAGAGAGAGAGAGAGAGAGAGAGAGAGGUACAUUGGUUAGGAUCUGAAGGAACAAGCCUCAUUUCUGUGAUCUUGGACAAAUCUAAGACACCAUUGCAUUCUGAAUCUGAGCCAUCGGACUCAUGCUCGUCAUCCUCAGUUUCAAUCUAUAAAUAUAAAAACAUUAAUCAGAAAAGCAACGCACAAAACUUGAAAUUAGACAUUGUAGUUAAUGAUCAGUCAGGAGACUCCGGACCAACAAUCCUAAACCCAGCACAGCAUACAGUGAAGACACAAACCUUGAAUACAAAAUAAGUAAACAAGUGAUUCUUGUGUACAGUAGAUAAAUACUAAAAAGAUCUGAAUUUCAAUGAGAUACAGUUCCACACACAGAAAUAUCUUAUUCGCACAAUGGGUCACUUUUCUCUUUAAUGUUUGCGGAAUUAAUAUAAGAACACGAUUCUAAAGCCCACGAAAACAACAAAGACUUUUCAACUUAUUAAGAGUUCAUAUAGCACAAGCAACAAGAACUGACCAAAAAAAAUUGAAAGAACGAAGAAAGGGGUUACAAAUUCAGUGAAUCAAAUAAAAUUGCCAUACAACUUUGACACCAAACAAUUGGAAGAACUGUUUGGAGACCAAGUACAUUUCAGACAAGAUAAAGAUAAAAUCCUAUAUUACUGCUGGAGUGCCUUGAUGAAUAUGAAAGCAAAUACCUGAGUGUAUAUACAAGGAGAGGUGUAGGCCUCUGGGUCCCUGGAUACAGCAUGCAGUGAUAUAGACAAGAAGUCCACAGCAUAACCUUUCGCCCUGUCAACAUCACUCAACCAGACCACUUUCCUGCAAAAUCCCAGCUAACUGUUUGAAUGGAUGCCAUUUUGGUAGAAGGAAAAAGAAAAAAAAAAGUUUUCCCAUCCCUUCAGAUAUGUUUUCUUUACUCUAUCCCCUUAAUUUUCACCCAAACAAAAACAUAUAAAAUCAUGAGAGAUAUAAUGGCGUACUUGGUGGAGAUGUAGAGAGUGCCAGGGGACUCAGGAGGGCGAUUACCAAGGACGAUAGAAACACAAGGCUGAACGUGCAUCAGCUCCUCACCAUUCUCUGCAUCCAGAACUGGUUCGUCAACACCAUUUCUUUCAACUCUUGCAGUGAACUCUCUAAGCCCUGCCACCAUUUUGCUCGCUGACUCAGGCUUCUUCCUUUUCUUUGACAAAAGAAAAAAGGAUGGUUACGGACAGCGGACAGCCCAUGAUCACUAGAUUGCUCCAACUAACUUACUGAACAAACUAAUUUGCAAACUAUGAGUAUAUUUGAAGUUAACAAAUAAAAUGGGAGGGCCUAGCCUCAAAUUUGAUGAGGAAACAGCCCUAAUAAAAUUUGAUAUUUUUUUUUAAGUCAUAACCAGUGAUGAGCUCUCUCUCCCAUUUUGAUAAAGAAAGAAGGGCGAUUAAUAAACUAUUUAAACAACACAACAUUUUCUCAGAAAACAAACAGUCCUCUAAGCUGAAAAGAAUCGAUAACGUUAUCAAAGCCCAACGGUUGAAGAAUUGUCAAAUUUAUCAAAACCAUGAACUGGAUAAAAUGAACCAUCAGCAAUAUAUACCAUUUUUUCAAAACAAAUACAGAAAAAUUAAUCCGGAAACACAUUCAAAGAAAAAAAAAAAAAAAAAAAAUUGGCGUUUACGAUUUCAUACCUCGAUUCUGAUGUUGAAGCCAAGUAUGUGAUCGAUACCACUCUUUCCUUUCUUCUAUCUACUGCAAAACAUGCAAGAGCUAGGAAGAGCUCUCGUAGUCCACACAGAAGACACUGACUUUGAUUUCUGUGGCUUUCUAGGGUUUUACCAAUCCUUGCUUUUUGGGGUUUAAAGCGCCAUUUUCCUUUUUCUCAGACCCCAAAAAAGAACCGCCAAUUUGGUUUUAUUUAGCGACGUGGGCUUCUACGUUUAAGUUGGACAGUUAAGGGCUGGCUCGGGCAAAAUAACCAUCGCGGCCCAAACAAUUUUAAAAUGUUUUUUGUGCGGUCCAACUUUAUUUAACAAUUUAACAUUUGAAUUUUUAUUUUUAAUAUUAGCAAAAUAUUGUUUUGCCUGUGAAUCUGUGAUAAGGUCUCACCUAUC
rnacentral:lncRNA from 1 species